rnacentral:lncRNA from 1 species
CGUUGGAUCUCCCUUGGCUGCCAAAGCCUUUGGCUCUAUGUUGAGUAACAGGACUAGUAUAAAUGAAUGGAAGGAUGUAUUAGCUAAAAGUGACAUUUGUAGUGAGAAAACCGGAAUUUUACCGAUCCUCAAGCUCAGUUUUGAUGACCUAUCCCCAGAUAUGAAGCAGUGCUUUGCAUUUUGUGCUUUAUUUCCUAAAGAUUAUGAGAUUGAUGUGGACCUCUUGAUUCGACUGUGGAUGGCACAUGACUUCGUACCUGUGCAAGAGGAUGACAAUCCAGAAACCGUAGGAAAAUAUAUUUUCGAGGAGCUAACUCGGAGGUCAUUCUUUCAAGAUGUUAGGCAAACACGUCCAAUUGGCAAUCUUCGUAGGUCAACCAUAUGCAGGAUACAUGAUCUCAUGCACGACAUUGCUCUAUCAGUUCUGCGGAAAGAAUGUGUCACUAUAGUUGAUAAGCCGAGCGUCAACAAGCUGUUGCUAAAUCCGACCCGCCACCUCUUCUUAUCAAUAUACGGUGUUAGUCCUGUUUUCGUGCAAGAACAGGUUACAAGUCUAUUGAAGAAACAAACUGCAAUGCUCCAUACGUUGUUUAUCAAAGGUUAUGGUCAACCCCUUGAUAUAUCAAAGUACACUUCACUGCGAGCAUUACACCUUCCAGCAGAUAGGUUAUCAUGUGUAGGACAGGAACAGCUUACAAGACACAUACAGCACCUAAGGUAUCUUAAUCUGUCGUCACAUGAGUUCGAGAAACUUCCUGAAGGUAUAAGCAUGAUGUAUAAUCUACAAACGUUGGACCUCUCUCAUUGCAGACACCUUCGUCAACUUCCAAAGGAUAUGAAGUAUAUGGCAAACCUCCGACACCUCUAUACCCAUGGAUGCAAAUCAUUGACGUGCAUGCCUCCAGGACUUGGACAGAUCACUUCUCUGCGGACUCUAACUUAUUUUGUUAUUGGUGAUGGCUUGGGAUGUAGUACUAUUGCGGAACUUCAAAACUUAAAUCUUGGUGGAGAGUUAGAGUUAAGUGGUCUGCAAAAUGUAACAGAAGUGCUUGCAAAAGCAGCCAAUCUUGAAAAAAAAGAGAAACUCACAUACUUAUCUCUCAAGUGGAAUGAUGAUGCCCGUGAGAAACCAGAUUCUCAUAAUGAGGUGUUAGAUGCCCUUAAACCUCAUCAUCAGCUGGAGAUGCUAAGAAUAAAGUCCUACAAAGGCACCAAUUUACCGUCAUGGAUAACAGAUCUUAGUAUGUUGCAGCACUUGACUGAGCUCCAUCUGCUUGGUUGUAUGCUGUGUGAGGAAUUUCCUCAAUUCUGCCAUUUCAAAGCCCUUGAAGUUCUGCAUUUGGAAAAGUUGGACAAAUUGCGAAGCCUAUGCAGCCAUAUGGUGUCUACGCCAUUUCCAGCACUGAAGCAACUCCGGUUACAUGAUUUGGAGAGCUUGGAGAGAUGGGUCGCAACAGAAGGAAAAGAAGAUGAUGAAUUAACCUUUCCUCUACUUGAGGAGGUCGAUAUAGACAACUGUCCAAAGUUGACUAGCCUACCUGAAGCACCAAAGCUCAGGGUUGUAAGUUUGGAUGAAGGCAAGCCGCUGCUCUCCUUAGGAAUAGUUAAAUCAAGGCACAUGUCUUCAAUUUCUAAGCUAAAGCUGCGUGUCCAUGACACAGAAGCACUGCCUGAGAUAGAUUAUAAUUGGGAUUCAUCACAGAAACAGAAACUAUCUUUGGGUGGCACAGAAGCCGCACCUCUGUCAGAACUGAACAUAUCUGGCUGCAACUUUUUCUUCGUAUCAAGCCAGUCACAGCUAACACCUGGGGUCUGGAAAUGGUUUGAACAUCUUGUAUAUUUCACAAUUGAAAACUGUGAUGUGCUCAUCUACUGGCCAGAAGAAGUGUUCCAAAGCUUGGUAUCUUUGAAGGAGUUGUGGAUUCAGUCCUGCAACAAGCUAAUAGGGCCCACACAAGCGAAAGGUGUCGAACCUACACAAACGACAGAUCAACUCCUACCACAUCUAAACAUGAUACGUAUAUACUGUUGUGAAAGCAUGGCACAGCUCUUCAUUCUUCCCCCAUCUAUCAGACUUAUUCAUAUUGAGGAAUGCCCUAAGCUUGAGUUCAUAUGGGGAAAGGAGGAGCAUAUUGACACAUAUACAUCGCUGGAACAUUGCCGCGACCCUGCAUCCACCACUGGUAACCUAGAGCAAUCGCCGUCUCCAAUUAUUCGCCGUCCAUGCCUUGUAGAUCUAUCUAUAAGCAGUUGUGAUAGCCUGUUAACACUUCCAAAUCUACCACCGUCCCUCAAAUAUUUACACAUCUGGAGCUGUGAGAAGCUCUGCUCUGUGUCAGGAGACCUGUGUGCACUCGAGGAGCUACAUAUUUUUGACUGCAAUAAGUUACAGUCAGUCAAUUCCUUGGGAGACCACCCAUCAUUAGAAACACUGUAUCUUAAUCGCUGCCGAUGCCUUGCAUCUUUAGGAUGUGAUGGUGGUCGUGGAAGUUACUCUGCUCUUCAGAGCCAUAAGAUCGAAGACUGCCCAGCCAUAGACAUGAAGCAGUUUUACUAACGCCAUCAAACAGCUGCUUGACAGCUUUGAAUAUGAAGACGUAUCACACGUUCAUUCAAGCAGCUCUGAUGAAGGUACGACCUUUCACUUUCCUCUUAUUCAAUUUGUUUCCUUCAAAUUUCCCUGCUUUGCAUGCCCUCCUAUUUUGUUGACUAACUGGUGUAACCCCACAUAUUGGUGUUGAGAUCAGUUGAUGCGGAAUCACUGAAGUACUACUGAAACGAGAUCCUGAUCGGUCUCAGUUUUGGAGAGCAAUUUGUGGUGAACGGAGGCAGUCCAAGGCUUCAAGAACUCAUGGAGUCGUGCUGUACCAUUCUGCACUGCCAGGGCCAAAACAACACAAUUCCUUUAUAUAAGUUGGGUAAGUAAAAAACCAUGCCUUCGUCUGUGUUAAUCAAAUCUCAUUUAGCACAUAUAUGGGGACGUGUUGUUAACUUGUUACCCCAUGCUUUUCAUUUUUUCUGUGCAGACAUGACCCAUUUGUCCUUAAAAAGCAUAAAGGAGGGCACUCACAUGUACACACGACUGCUAUCUGGAAGCUUCAUUGCAGAUCUAGAGAUCAGGAGAAGAAGGAAAUCGUGGGGAUGCAGAUUUGCUUUCAACGGUCAAAACAGAGCUACAAAUGAUUAGUUGUAGUCGUGUGUGGUCCUUCCAUCACGAGUCGGUUUUUUCUUUUGCGCUAUAGAGAAGCUUUUCAGUUGUUGUCUCUUUUACGGUUGAUUUGAUUCCUUUUUUCCUUUCUAUGGGCCUGUUUGGCUCCACCCUAUUAAAGUUUAACACCUGUCACAUCGGAUGUUUGGAUGCUAAUUAGAAGUAUUAAAUAUAGACUGAUUACAAAACUAAUUGCACAGUUGGAGUGUAAUUCGCGAGACGAAUCUAUUAAGCCUAAUCAGUCCAUGAUUUGAUAAUGUGGUGCUACAGUAACCAUUUGCUAAUGGUGAAUUAAUUAGGCUUAAUAGAUUCGUCUCGCGAAUUAGCACAGGGUUCUGCAAUUAAUUUUAUAAUUAGCUUAUGUUUAAUUUUUCUAAUUAGGAUCCGAACAUUCGAUGUGACACUAUUAAAGUUUAGCACCUCGUAUCCAAACACCCCCUAUUAAUAUAACAUGAAAAUCCUCUUGCCAUCUUUUUUUAAAAAAAAUCGUAGGGAUGCUGCUUGAUGAAGCUAGCAACAUGGAUUUCAUGGUUCUUCCGAUUGUUGGAAUGGGUGGGAUAAGCAAGACCACCUUUAAUUUGUGCAACUCAUUUUUUCGGCUGUCAGAUGAACAUCCGAUGCGUUUCCUUCAUCUUCUAGUAAGUAUAUAUCUAGGUGCAUAGUAAAAAUUAUAUAUCUAGAAAAAAUGACCUACAAUUUAAAAUGGAGGGAUUACGUUGGAACAUCAACCAAACAAAUGGACGAACCCGUUUAAUUAUUUGGCCUCCAAGAAUGCUAUACGACCUGAAUGAAUAACUGAAGGCUAUCAAGGCACUUAUUGUUGUACAUAGGAACUGAGCUUGACUUAGAUAUAUUUAUUUGCAAACAGGUGUGAAAUGUGAUACAAUAAUUCAGAAAGCUAGACGUCGUGAGCCAUCCGAGAGAUAAGAAGAAGCUUCUCAUUACGGUGCACAUCCAUCCCAUACGACUCUGACAUUUCGAUGCCUGUCAACACUGGCGGAAGCUCCCAAUUGAAGUGGUAGAUGAGGUUGGCAAGAAUGAUUUCGAAAGUGGCGGUGGUGAAGUUUAUACCCAGGCACAUCCUUCGCCCAGACCCAAACAGCAAGAAACAGAAGUCGUUCCCCCGGAAGUCGGAAGCAGCAUCCAUGGCUUCUUCCAUGAACCGCUCGGGCAUGAACUCCUCUGCACUCUCCCAGUAGGUGGUGUCCCUGCAUAGAGCCCACGCGUUGACGAUUACACGUGUCCCGAAGGGUAUGGUAUAGCCCUCCACAUUGCAUUCCGACUUUUUUAUUUUUUGAACUUUUUUUUGAAAGAUUCUUACAAAUAGGUCCUUGGCGAAAACAUUUCAAAAUCUGGACCCUUAGCUUGGCGCCACCAUCGUACACGUCUCGGCGCUAGCGGCUCUGGCGCCUAGGUCAUUGCGCAGCUGGUGACGUGGAUGCUGACAUGGCGGGGGCUUGGCACCAAGGUGGAUGACGCCAAGCUUCGUAUUUCAACCACCUGCCUCCUUCCUACCCGAGCCUUCCUCCUCUUCUUUCUCCUCCCUCUCGGAUUUUUUCUCUCCCCACUUCACCCUACAUCACGAAUCGGCCUAUUGGAUCUUGAAAACUUUGAUUUGAUCCGUGGAUCUUCGAGAGCAAGGUAUCCUCGCUCCCUCAUAGUUUUUUUUCACGUCGAUUCGGUAUAUAUUAGUCGGAGUUUUGAACUUAGGGUUCAUGCAACCGUAGGAUGUCAAGGCGUGGAAAAGCUAGGAAACUAAGGUAACCUCAACGCACGUUGUUAUGUUAUGGGUUCAUUGUUGUGGAUCGAAUGGGAAACCCUAGGUAUAGGUUUAAUGUUAAUUGCUUUCGGUUCUUACAACGAAAUGGACUAAAUUGUAGUUAUGGCGGGAUGACUGGAAAUGCCUUCGACCCAUUGCCUCUGCCAAGUGGUGUUCCAGUGCCCAUGUGCUUUUACAGCGAUCCUUGCAAGGUAGCCAAGUCCGAUGCAGAGGACACGUAUAGGAAGAGGUAUUGGAUGUGUUCCAAUUUUGCGUUUGAGCCUACACUUCGUCAGCGCCGCAUUAACAAGAUGGUGAGAAAUUGAUGUUGUCUAAUAAUUAUUUUGUUUCGUAUGACAUCUUGCAUGAUUUUUUUAUUUUCUAACAAUUGCAUUUGUUGCAAACCCCUCUACUGCUCUGUGAUUUUGAGCAGUGGAUUGACACUGAGAUCAAGCCUGAAGAUAAGGAGGAGAUGCAGGAAAUGUUGCGGUGGGAGGCAGAGAAGAAGGAGACAACGGAGAACAGACACAGAGAGGAGGCUGCAGAAAAGGAGCACAAGGAAAAGGAGAAAAAGAGGCAUGCUGCUGCGAACAGGGAGGAGAGGGAGAAGAAGCUUGAGCGUGCACGCUGAGCGAAAGCAGCGAUUGAGGAGAAUCCCAAUGCCCUGAGGAAGGGAAAGUGGCCUCGUUGCACACAGUAGUCUUCAGUACUUGCUAGUUCUAUGGUUUAUUCAUGAACAAUGUUAUCUACUGUUGGACUUUUCAUUGUGUUGUCAUGUAAUGGACUUUAAGUAUGGAUGAUGAUAAAAAGAAGUACCGACAGAUGCUCAUCACUGAAUCAACACAUGCCAUCGAAAUUUUGGCAGAAUUUCCCCUAUUAUUUUUACACAAUCCAUACAUGUAAGUGAGAUGAAUUUUUAACCUCAAUACAACAUGUUCAAACAUACAAAUAUAUGCCACAUUCAUAAUGAAAGUCCACAAAAUGCAUAAUGAAAGUCCACAAAGUUCAUAAUGAAAGUCCACAAUAGUACAUAUACACAAUAGUUCAUAAUAAAAGUCCAUAUACACAUUAGUUCAUAAUAAUAGUCCAUAUACACAAUAGUUCAUAAUGAAAGUCCACAAAGUCCAUGUUAUUACAUAAUAACAUCUACCACAAACGUUCACUACCUCCUAGUCUUACCCUUACCCUUGUGACCAAGAGUGUCGGUACCUGGAGUGUAAGGGGAAGGUGGACGAUAUCUCCUAGUGCCUGCAAGCUGUGUAGGCUGAGUCAAGGGAGCGUCCUGGAGCUGAAACGGGCCAAGCUCUUCGUGCCUCUCGUCAUCCUCAUCCUCGUAUGCAAUGCCUUUGGCCUGUGUAGCUGCUUGGCUAGACGAACCUAUGCCUCCUCUGCUUGAGGAAGGAACAUGCAUGUCUCGCAUUGUGGCUGUCCUGCAACCACAAUGAGCAGCCGCACGGCGUAGCCGACGUGAUAGUCUCUAUUGUACAAGAAAUAGGUUAAGUGAAAGAAUUUAACGUAUUAAUAAUAUAUUUGAAAGCAUAUUUAGAAUCUUAUGUCUAGGAAGCUACGCGUCUCGUCGUCUCUGACUCUCGGACGAAACUGCUCAAUGUCUUCAACCGAGGUUUUGAGGGUAUGGCCCUACAACAAAGUAAAUGUACCAUCAUUAAAUCACUAAGUCACUAUCUACCUAAAUCACUAAGUCAGUAUCUACCUAAAUCACUAAAUCACUAAAUCUACCUAAAUCACUUAAGUCAACUAAUCACUAAGUCACUUAACAUAGAAAAAUAAGGCAAUUGACUUACCAAUCUAUCCAAGAUUGGUCCUGCCUCCACUUGCCUUCCUACACAAGUACUUCGGUCGUAUGUCGUGUCUUCAUCGUCGAAGGACUCGAUGUCGCUGUAGUCAUCUUGUGUCCAUUGUAGCCUCAGCCUGCAACGGCUCGCACCUUGGUACCAAGCUUGGUAUCGCAUGUACUCACUGUUUGUGUGCGGCUCGUUGUUCUCAUCCACGUUGUCGUGGAACUCCUCCCAUUGCUCAAUGUAAGGCUGGUGGUAUACAUGUCACUCAAAAACCUUCCUGUUCUUCUUAUGAUCCAACCUGCACGUCACGUAAGAUGUAUAACUGCCCAUAGUCGUAUAACCUGAGUUAAUGUAAGGGACCAUCAUGAGAUAAUUGAAAUAGCAAAACACUUCCUUGUGUAAACUCUACGCCAGUCGAGAAUGGAGCCGUUGGCCCAAAUCUGUUCUCAUGCCAAAUUAGAGUGCAACUCGAUCAGGCUGGGUGGAACUCGACCGGCAUAGAAAACAUAUAAGAGGGCACCUCAUCUGUAUAAAGUCAUCCAUCGCUCGCACACAUGGUGCUCAAAAGGAAAAGUAAGUGCCCCCUCUCCCUAUGUAUGGCUCCCACGACACCUGCAACAUGUCCAAACAAGAUGUCAGAUGAUAUACUAAAACUAAUUGAAAUCAGCAUGGGAAAUAAAAUGUACUUACACUAGACACCGUGAGCGUGUCUAGCUCGUUCGUGAAAUCAUGGUACGCCCACUCCAACAUCGUGUGUAGAACCCUAACCUGGUCCCAAAGGUACGCCCACGUAGGAUGCUGUCUCGGAGGCUGACCUGGGAACCACUCAUGGCGAGACAGAACCUCAGGACGGCCAACUGGUAGACGCGCCCACAUCCACAACUGCUGUAGGUACACACAUCCACCAAGUGAUGCUGAGGAUGAAGACCGACGACAAGCCUCGCACAGCUGCAGGUAGAGAAAACCCAACAUUGCAGAGCCCCAGCUGUACUGACCCGCCUGGUGCCAGUCGGUGAGGCAGUGGAUCCAAAACCACAAUGUAGUGUCACCCGUGGCAUCGGGGAAGAGAAUGCAUGCAAAGAGGUGUAGGAUCCAUGCCCUGCAGUAGUUCUCAACUGUUUGCUCAUUUACAUCCUCGAGGCAUUGUGCAAACUGUUGCCGGAGCCAGGAGAUUAGAACACCAGAAGUGUGAGCACCUUGCUCGUCAACCUCAUGCCCAAGGAAGGCUGCUACUCGUUCUCUCCAACCAUCUGACCUGCACGGCCCAGUCACUGCAUCACCGCGAAUCGUCAAACCUAACAUCUUCUGACAGUCCUCAAACGUAACUAUUAUCUCUCCGAAAGGCAAGUGAAAGGUAUGAAUCUCAGGCCGCCACCUACAGUUUAGACAAAGGAAGAUUACAUGUCAAAUAGGCUAGGGCAUGAACGAUUGGCUAUGAAUGGACGCAAUGAUUGAAGAUAGUACCUGUCAACCAACGCUGUUAUGGCUGCUGAGUUGAACUUGGGCAACCCAUGACGAACCUGAAAUGAGAUGACAUCUAGGCCAGCAGCUUGCACCAUAGGAGUGUACCGGUCGUCGUACCGCAUGUCCAAGAACCCAUCGUGGGUUCUAGAACCAAGGAGCGGAAGGUCAUGCAUGCAAUGAAACAGAGUCUUCCGUUAUUUCACGAACAACACAUGUACGCUUACAAAAAAUCAAUCAACACGUACAUAUUAUUACUACCCCCCCACCCCCCGCUAUGAGACAUCCUUGAUGGGUCUGGUCGUACACCGGGUCGAGCAAGUGGAGUUGCGCCAUCCUACAAAAAAUCAAUGAAAUAUAAAUUAAGUAUGCAGUGAAACAUAAACUUAGAAAUGUACAAAUAAUUGACACAAUUGCAAGUAUAAAUUGAGACAUGCAUAAUUAAUUGAGUGGAUACGACAUAUAUGAAAUAAUGAAAAGAACCACUAGUCGCACCUCACUACUCUGCCAAUGGCACGUGCAUGAACUGUGGUCCAGUCUACCGCACUUGCUGCACUCGUUCUGCUCGGGGUCAGUAAGAAAUGGGGUUGCCCUACCACGCCUCGCUCUUCCGGGUAUUUGAUCCAUAACCAUCAUGUGCCUCGUCCUCUUUCUUGAUCCACGCCUGUUCCAACGGUAAGCUGGAUCCGCAAUGUACUUUAGCCCAUCAUCAACAUGAGGGACAUGACUAGUAUUCCAACAGAUGCGCUCCUAUUCUUUCUGCACUUCUGCUCCCAUCUCCGUGUCAAAUUGUAUUACGGGUGUAGUUUAGCACUGAACAACAUGAUUUUGUGGUGCUGGGAUUGAAUCAUAGGAGUGCUAUUUGUGUGUCCGGAGCCAACUUUGACUGAUCUGAAUUUUGGUAAAAUUUCAUCCGAAUUUGUUUAAAAUCCAGUUGAAUCCAGGCCCGAAAUUUCCUGAAUUUCCGAAUUUCGUCCAUUUCGGAAGGCUCCGAAUUUUUUCAACUUUUGAAUCCCAGAACCUUGGUUGAGAAGCGGAGAGAUGGGAGACCUAGUUUUCAUCUUCGUUGCCUCGUUGGAGGGGAAUACUGCAUCUGGAGGAAUCGCGCGGAGGACAAGCUCAUGGAAGGCCCCGCUUUCGAUUACAGAGAAAAUCUUCGUUGGUCCGUGGGAUUUGAUUACAGCGAAGGCGAAGCAAACAUGUUUAACCGGUAUCUGAUUACAUGGUACCAGAUACGGAGCGAUUUUUACUGAAACAAACAUCACCUAGAGCUGACUAUUAUAUUCAAAUACUGACAAAAAGUAGAAUACUUCUCAGACAAGCCAGCCAUUACAACAAUAACAACACAACAACUGGAUUACCGGCGUGUCACAAUAACACACAACAAGAAGCUACGUACCACGAAGCAACAGAAACAGCACUCUUGCAAAUUAAGGGAUAAACAACACCCCCAAGGAAAUGGCGAUGAAAUUAAACCAGGCCCCGCCUGCAGAGCUUUGAGCACCUACACAUAUAUAGCAGGUGCAUGCAGCUCUCUAUUACAGAAACAGUAGAUCGAAAACGACGAGCAACCAAGCAUCGAGCAGCAACACUACUUACUUCUUCUCUCAAUGCAAGCAGGAAGAGAAGGCAAGCUAGCGAGCUGAUCAGCAGAGAAGUCGCCGGGAUUCAGAUGACUGCCGCGGUCGGCGUGCAGCGGCGCUCGCAGAAGUUUCCAGCAAAAUGCGGAACUUCAAGCGGGCCGGGGCUCCUAGAUAGCAUGUACAUCUUUGGGCUUGUUCGCUUCAGCUUAUAAGCCGGCUGAAAAGCUGAAACGGCUGAUUUGUUGUAAGAGGAAAACACUGUUUGGUGGCUGAUAAGCCGGCUGAAUAAGCUGAAGCGAACAGGCCGUUUGAUCCAACAGCAGCCCAUGAACAACAAACAGUAGCAGCAGCUAGCGUAUGAGGGUGGUGUGUGGUGGGGCCAAAGGCCAAUCUUGCAAGACAGCAGGAAGGAGCGUAACAUGCAUGCCCGUGUGCAGUACUGCCGUGGGUGUUGAGCACUUUUUUUUCUUGCUCCCGUUGUACUCAUGGAAACAUUUCAAAAGUAUAGAUUCAAUAUUUUGCAUAUUAUUUAAACAUUUCAAACAUUUAUGGAAACCACAUUUUAGAUAAACUGGUUCAAUAUUUUGCAUAAUAUUGUUGAAAUAGUGUACCUUAAACGUUGAGCUAAAUAUAUAAAAAUGUUGAGCUAAUAUAUCUAAAAUGAUGAAACUAAGAAAAUAAAGAUGAAAAAAAUAUAUACAGUCAUGUGGGAUCUCAAUCCGUUAGAAAAAUUUCGAAAAGGCUCAUAGUUUAUUCGGAAUUAAAAUUAAAUGAACCGUUAGAGAGAUAAGUAAGUUGAAAAGUUCGAAAUCAAAACUCACAUCACCCAACAAGUAGCUGACACCUAUCCGUCCUUUCAGCAGCUCCACCCACCUCGCGCCAGCAUACUAGCACAUGGUGGUCCCCAGCCACCUCUCGCCAGAUCGCAGUGCCCGAUGGGAGAUCCGGCGAUGCCGUUGCGUCGAAGGAGAGGGCGGAACCGACGAGGGUCGCCGGCGGCUCCCACCCCGAACGCGUCCUGACCCACUCCGGCAGGGCCUCCCGCAGGUACGGUGAGCGCUUCCAUCCGUGGUCCGCAAGCAGUAAUGUCUGAUUUUUCGCUUUCUUCUCCGGAAUUCGUCACAUAUGUCAUCGUCCUGUGUUUAUAUAUCCUUUUUAUGCUGCAAAGCUUUCACGAUUUUGAUGAGAGAUUUGUUCAUGUUUGUGCCCACAUAGUAGUCAAUGUGCCACUAGUACUGAUUGCAAUACGUACGGAAAUUGGUUUUGUGUCUGUUCUUUCUCCAUCUCAAUCAUCAAUCAAAUGGGGGUAGUCGUCGGUACGCCGGGUGGGCCGAGUUGGCCAAACUGCACAGUGGUGGUGGCAGCCAAGGUGUUGUUCAAGGUCGGGCUGGCACGCACACGGCCGUACCACAUCAGGGUGUGUCCUGCUUCCCCGUCAACUUCCUCAAUACGACUCGGUACGCCACUGUACCUAAUCCUCCAAAACUCCAACUCCAAAGGCUCGCUGAACGGAAAAAAAUUCUAGGAGGACGGUCCCCAAAUCCUUCUCCGUGAGGAUCCACUCCCGAUGGUUGCAGGCAUGGCAACAUAUAAUUGAUCCGCCGCCACCAACGACUGAGGUUUCUUCCACCUCGUCAACUACCACCACCUCCUCCACCCACCUCUCUUCUUCUCCGGCUACCCUGCGCGCGCCCUCGCCGCCGUGCGUGCCUCCAGCGAGCUCCCAGGCCCCGACGGCGCCAGCACUACGGCCGCGCCCCGGUGGCCGGCGGCGUCUCCUACUCCUCUAACGUGGACCUGUUCCGCUCGCCUUCAGCUGCCGUGGGAGCCGCGUAAUGGAGGAGGGUGGUGGGCCAAGCGACAGCUAGCUGUGGUGUGGUGGGCAUCCUCAUUUACUAAUCUCCACCCACCUUCCGAUGAAUAAAAAUUGACCUCUUUAUGCUGCCUUUGUCAUNNNNNNNNNNNNNNNNNNNNNNNNNNNNNNNNNNNNNNNNNNNNNNNNNNNNNNNNNNNNNNNNNNNNNNNNNNNNNNNNNNNNNNNNNNNNNNNNNNNNCAUCUAAGGUUAGCAGCCUCUUUCAGUGUACAAAUGAUUAUGCACCUAAUACUUUCCUCACCUUUGCAGUGCCGUGGGCCGCCACUUCCCUUCUGGCCCACAUGUCAUGGAGGCGCGCGAGGAGGGGGAUCGGUUUCACGUAUGAUUAAUAAAGAAAGGCCCAAGACACGUCACGCUGCGGGGGACAAGGGAAGACACCGCACCGCACGCACCUCCACCACUUGCGUUGCCUUUGCCUUUGCUUUUCCCCUAGCUCGCCCGCCUAGGAGCUCCAGCAGCCGGUCCGCUCCGCCGCCGGUGCGGCAACCACGCCGCCGUCAGAUCGCCUCGCGCGGCCACGCGGCCACCGAUCGUCCCCGCGAUACACCGCCGCCGGUGCGCCGUGCGCGGCGGCGCUGUCCCGCCGCUCCUCCGCCUACCGUCGGCCUGCGCCACCGCCAGCGCACCGGCAGCACCGCGAGCUGCUGCGCCGCCCCGACGUUGGUCCUUCCUGAGCCCGGUGUCGUCACCAGCGUCGCGGAGAAGCUAAUUACCUGGAGCAAUUUGUAGAAACAAAUAGUACUGGUUCGUUCACUUAUUUCUUUGCUCAAACUUAAUUUCUGCUUAGAGUUUGUGCCUAAAUUAGCUGCUUAUUCUGCUGGUUGCACGCAGGAGAUCGAGCUGCGGGCGUACGGCCGGAUCGGAGGAGGACAUAUCAGCCGGGUUCCUGUUGGUUGUGUACUUGUGUUCCUGCCGGCGGAGAAGCAACCAUGGCCGAGUUACUGAUCGGGCCACUGAUCUCCAUGGUGAAGGAGAAGGCAUCCAGCUACCUGCUGGACCAAUACAAGGUGAUGGAAGGCAUGGAGGAGCAGCGCAAGACCCUGGAGCGCAAGCUGCCAGCAAUCCUGCACAUCAUCCAGGAUGCGGAGGAGAAAGGAGCCUCCCGACCUGAAGUUGCAGUUUGGCUUAAAGACCUCAAGACAGCGGCCUAUGAGGCCAACGACGUCUUUGAUGAGUUCAAGUACGAGGCGCUUCGGCGAGAAGCCAAGAAGAAGGGCCACCACAGCAAGCUUGGAAAUGAGGUAGCAAGACUCCUAGUCCCCGCUCGUAAUCCCAUUGUAUUCCGUUACAGGAUGGGCAAGAAGCUACGCAGGAUUGUGCAGACCAUCGAGGCCUUGGUCACCGAGAUGAAUACAUUUGGUUUCAGGCACUUGCAGCAAGCACAGCCAUCAAGGCAGUGGCGACAGACAGAUUCCAUAAUCAUUGACUCCGACAGAGAUAUUCUUAGCAGAUCUAGAGAUCGGGAGAAGAAGAAAAUCGUGGGGAUGCUCCUUGAUCAAGCUAGCAACAGGGAUCUCAUGGUUCUUCCAAUUGUUGGGAUGGGUGGGAUGGGCAAGACCACCUUUGUGUUGGAGUUGUUCUAAAUUCACUCCAGGAAUAAAGGCCGACCUUCCCGACCCUUGACACUCAGGGUCGGGCGAGGCGGAGAAUCUCCCGACCCCGGGACUCGGGGUCGGGCGAGGCGGAGCGUCUCCCGACCCAGGCUUGAGGUCGGGCGAGUCGGAGAUCGACCCUCAAGGGGUCAGGCGCAUCCGACCCCAGGCUUGAGGUCGGGCGAGGCGGAGUCCCAGGCGCAUCCGACUCCAGGACAAAGGACUCAGGGUCAGACGAGAAGGAGUUCCAUCCUUGUACGGGACCAAGAGUCCGUACAGCUCAAUACCCCCUGUCUGGGGUUUCGGUACUAUAUAUACAUACACCCUUGCUAGGGUUUUGGGUGGUGACAGAAGAGAUAGAAGAGAGAGAGAUUAUCAGAUUCUCUUGUAAGCCGCCAUAGGCGUGUAGCCCUAAACUCUUGAUAUAGUGAGAUUGUUGCCGGCUGGUGCCCGUGGUUUUUCCUCUUCACAUUGAAGGGGUUUUCCACGUAAAUCGUGUGUCUUCUUUUGUGGUUUGAUUCUUUACUUCAUAUUCCAUACGUCGUACCUAACAAGUGGUAUCAGAGCUUUGGUUGCUGUUUGGAUUUCAUGUCGACGUCGAUGAAGUUUGAUCUACCGCUGCUGAACUACGACACGCGGUUCUCUCUAUGGCAAGUCAAGAUGAGAGGAAUUCUAGCGCAAACUCAUGAUUAUGAUGAGGCGCUGGAUAGCUUCGGAAAGAAGACAAAGGCCGAGUGGACUCCAGAAGAGAUCCGCAAGGAUCAGAAAGCACUCGCCCUAAUACAGUUACAUCUUCAUAAUGAUAUUUUGCAGGAGUGUCUGAAAGAAAAAACUGCUGCAGAACUAUGGCUGAAACUGGAAUCGAUCUGUAUGUCCAAGGAUCUAACCAGUAAGAUGCAAAUGAAGAUGAAGCUGUUCACCUUGAAGAUGAAGGAGGAAGAUUUAGUGAUGAACCACAUCACUGAAUUCAAGAAGAUCGUCGCCGAUCUAGUAUCAAUGGAGGUGAAGUAUGAUGAUGAGGACUUAGGUCUUUUACUGUUAUGUUCUUUGCCAACUUCAUAUGCAAAUUUUCGUGACACCAUACUCUUGAGCCGUGAUGAACUAACCUUAAAGGAAGUUUAUGAGGCUCUCCAAUCAAGGGAGAAGAUGAAAGGUAUGGUGCAGACUGACAGAACGUCGUCCUCCAGAGGCGAUGCUUUGCUUGUGAGAGGCAGAACUGAUAACAGAUCCUCCAAUGAUGAUGGAAGAAAAAACUAUGAAAGGAGAGGCCGUUCAAAGUCCAAGCCGCAUGGUAACAAAAAAUUCUGUGUCUAUUGCAAGCUAACAAAUCACAAUGUUGAGGAUUGCAGAAAAGUACAGAAUAAGGAGAAGAAGAAAAACAAGUCGGCUGGUAAGGUCUCUGUUGCUGCUGCCGUGUCUGAUGAAGAAUCUGGAGAUGGUCUGGUGGUAUUUGCCGGUUGUGUUGCUGGUCAUGAUGAGUGGAUCCUUGAUUCUGCAUGUUCAUUUCAUAUUUGCAUUAACAGAAAUUGGUUUAGCUCUUAUAAGUCUAUGCCGAAAGGAGAUGUUGUGCGGAUGGGAGAUAAUACCCCGUGUGAUAUUAUGGGAAUUGGAUCAGUUCAGAUCAAGACUCAUGAUGGCAUGACACGCACUCUGAAAAACGUCAGGUACAUACCAGGGAUGUCCAGAAAUCUUAUUUCAUUGAGCACGCUUGAUGCAAAAGGUUACAAAUAUUCCGGUUCGGAUGGUGUUCUGAAGGUAUCAAGAGGUAAUCUUGUCUGCUUGAAAGGUGAUCUCAAUUCUGCAAACUUAUAUGUCCUUAGAGGGUGUACUUUACCUGGUUCUGAUUCCGCUGUUGCUGCUGUUACUAAUGAGGAACCUAGUAAAACUAACCUUUGGCAUAUGCGUCUGGGACAUAUGAGUCACCAUGGUAUGGCAGAAUUGAUGAGGAGAAACCUACUGGAUGGCUGCACUUCGAGUAAAAUGAAGUUAUGUGAGCACUGUAUUUUCGGGAAGCAUAAAAGGGUACAUUUCAACACUUCUGUUCACACCACUAAAGGUACUCUUGAUUAUAUUCAUGCUGAUUUAUGGGGUCCUUCCCGUAAGUCCUCGCUUGGUGGUGCUCGUUACAUGCUCACAAUUAUUGACGAUUACUCUAGAAGGGUGUGGCCUUAUUUUCUGAAACAGAAAGAUGAUACCUUUGCUGCUUUUAAGGACUGGAAGGUCAUGAUUGAAAGGCAAACUGAAAGGAAGGUGAAAUUGCUUCGUACUGAUAAUGGUGGAGAAUUUUGUUCGCGUGAAUUUAAUGAUUAUUGCAGAUCAGAAGGUAUUGUAAGGCAUCACACCAUACCCUAUACUCCACAACAGAAUGGUGUGGCCGAACGCAUGAACAGAUCCAUCAUAUCCAAGGCCCGUUGCAUGCUGUCUAAUGCCAGGAUGAGCAAGCGUUUUUGGGCUGAAGCUGCUAAUACUGCCUGUUACUUGAUAAACAGGUCACCUUCUAUUCCACUAAAUAAAAGAACUCCCAUUGAGGUAUGGUCUGGAACGCCUGCUGAUUACUCACAGUUGAAAGUUUUUGGAUGCACUGCAUAUGCUCAUGUUGAUAAUGGAAAAUUAGAGCCUAGAGCUGUUAAAUGUCUUUUCCUUGGUUAUGGUUCGGGUGUCAAAGGCUAUAAAUUGUGGAACCCGGAAACAGAAAAGACCUUCAUGAGCAGAAGUGUUAUUUUCAAUGAAUCUGUGAUGUUUACUGACAGCUUACCCUCAGAUCAAGUUCCAGACAAAGGACUGCAGCGUAUGCGCAUGCAGGUGGAGAACGCUCGUAAUGAUGUUGAUAACCCCGACCCCUUGGUCUCGGGGUCGGAUGCGCCAGACCCCUUGGCUCCAGGGUCGGCUGAUGCUCAAGCGCCAGACCCCUUGGCUCCGGGGUCGGAUGUUGCUGCGCCAGACCCCUUGGCUCCGGGGACGGAUGUUGCUGAUGCGCCAGACCCCUCAAUCUCGGGGUCGGCUGAUGCUCAUGAUAAUGUCCAGCAAACUCCAGAGGAGGAUCUACCCAUUGCUCAACGCAAGUCCAAAAGGACAGUUGCCCCUCCUAACCGCCUCAUUGAAGAGUGUAAUUUGUCUUACCAUGCUUUGAGUUGUGCUGAACAGGUGGAGAAUGUUCAUGAGCCAGCAACCUAUAAAGAAGCUAUUCAUUGUGGCGAUACUGAAAAUUGGAUUUCGGCCAUGCAUGAGGAGAUGCAAUCUCUUGAGAAGAACAGUACAUGGGAACUUGUACCUUUGCCUAAGAAUAAGAAGGCCAUCCGCUGCAAAUGGAUCUUCAAAAGAAAGGAGGGUUUAUCUCCAAGAGAGCCUCCGAAAUAUAAGGCAAGGUUAGUUGCAAAAGGCUACAGCCAAAUUCCGGGUGUCGACUACAAUGAUGUUUUCUCUCCAGUGGUAAAACACAGUUCAAUUCGCACUUUCCUUAGUGUUGUUGCUUCACAUGAUCUUGAGCUUGAGCAGUUAGAUGUGAAGACUGCGUUUUUGCAUGGAGAGCUCGAGGAGGACAUAUACAUGAACCAACCAGAAGGUUUCAUAGUGCCUGGCAAGGAGAAAUAUGUGUGCAAGUUGAAAAGAUCCUUGUAUGGUUUGAAACAGUCCCCUCGACAGUGGAACAAGAGGUUUGAUUCAUUUAUGUUAUCACACAGUUUUAAAAGAUCUAAGUAUGAUAGCUGUGUUUAUAUCAAGCAUGUUAAUGGAUCACCUAUAUACUUGCUGAUAUACGUUGAUGAUAUGUUGAUUGCUGCCAAGAGUAAGACUGAAAUAAAUAAGUUAAAGAAGCUAUUGAGUAGCGGUUUUGAUAUGAAAGAUCUUGGUAGUGCUAAGAAAAUUCUUGGUAUGGAAAUUAGUAGAGACCGAAAUUCUGGUUUGCUAUUUCUUAGUCAACAGAAUUAUAUCAAGAAAGUUCUUCAGCGUUUCAACAUGCAAGAUGCUAAGGCUGUAAGUACUCCUAUUGCACCUCACUUCAAGUUGUCAGCUGCUCAGUGUCCUAGUACAGAUGCAGAGGUCAAAUACAUGUCAAAGAUUCCUUAUUCUAGUGCUGUUGGGUCCUUGAUGUAUGCCAUGGUUUGCUCUCGCCCAGAUUUGUCAUAUGCUAUGAGUCUUGUUAGUAGAUAUAUGUCUAAUCCCAGCAAAGAACAUUGGAGGGCAGUUCAGUGGAUUUUCAGAUACCUCAAAGGCACAGCAAAUUCCUGUUUAAAGUUUGGAAGAACUGAUGAGGGUCUUAUUGGCUAUGUGGACUCAGAUUAUGCUGCUGAUCUGGACAGGCGAAGAUCACUCACAGGCUAUGUGUUUACUGUUGGCAGUUGUGCUGUGAGUUGGAAGGCUACUUUACAGUCGGUUGUUGCUUUGUCUACUACUGAAGCAGAAUAUAUGGCGAUUUGUGAAGCGUGCAAAGAAUUGAUUUGGCUGAAAGGUUUGUACGCCGAACUUUGUGGAAUUGAAUCUUGCAUAAGUUUGCACUGUGACAGUCAAAGUGCAAUUUACCUCACUAAAGAUCAACUGUUCCAUGAGAGAACUAAGCACAUUGAUAUCAAGUAUCAUUUUGUGCGUGAUGUGAUUGAAGAAGGUAAGCUAAAGGUAUGCAAGAUCAGUACUCAUGAUAAUCCUGCCGAUAUGAUGACAAAGCCUGUUCCUGUUACUAAGUUUGAGCUGUGCUCAGGCUUAGUUGGUUUAAUUGGAUAGUCCAAGAGACUAUUAUUGGCACCAGUGGUUUUUCCUGUCUUUGUUCUGUUCAGAAUGAAGGGUUGAUGAUACAAGAUGAAUUUGUCUCAAGGUGGAGUUUGUUGGAGUUGUUCCAAAUUCACUCCAGGAAUAAAGGCCGACCUUCCCGACCCUUGACACUCAGGGUCGGGCGAGGCGGAGAAUCUCCCGACCCCGGGACUCGGGGUCGGGCGAGGCGGAGCGUCUCCCGACCCCAGGCUUGAGGUCGGGCGAGUCGGAGAUCGACCCUCAAGGGGUCAGGCGCAUCCGACCCCAGGCUUGAGGUCGGGCGAGGCGGAGUCCCAGGCGCAUCCGACUCCAGGACGAAGGACUCAGGGUCAGACGAGAAGGAGUUCCAUCCUUGUACGGGACCAAGAGUCCGUACAGCUCAAUACCCCCUGUCUGGGGUUUCGGUACUAUAUAUACAUACACCCUUGCUAGGGUUUUGGGUGGUGACAGAAGAGAUAGAAGAGAGAGAGAUUAUCAGAUUCUCUUGUAAGCCGCCAUAGGCGUGUAGCCCUAAACUCUUGAUAUAGUGAGAUUGUUGCCGGCUGGUGCCCGUGGUUUUUCCUCUUCACAUUGAAGGGGUUUUCCACGUAAAUCGUGUGUCUUCUUUUGUGGUUUGAUUCUUUACUUCAUAUUCCAUACGUCGUACCUAACACUUUGUGCAACUCAUUUACAAUGACCCUGCAAUCGAGAAGCACUUUGAGUUUCGGAGGUGGUGCUGCGUGUCAGAUGAUUUCGAUGUCAGUACCAUUGCAAGCAACAUCUGCCAGACCAAUGAGAAAUAUCGUGAAAAAUCAUUGCAGGAGCUCCAGAGUACAAUAAGUGGGAAAAGGUACCUCAUUGUGUUAGAUGAUGUCUGGAAUCGGGAUGGUGAUAAGUGGGGAAAACUAAAGGCCUGCCUUAAGCAGGGUGGCAAGGGCAGUGCAGUACUAACAACAACUCGUGAUGCAGAAGUGGCUCGCAUUAUGACCAUGGGUGUAGCUGAAGCCCAUAAUAUCGAGAAUCUGAGUGACGAGCAUUUAAAGGAAAUUGUCCAGAGCAGAGCAUUCAGCUUGCAAAAUCCAAAUAUGGAAGAGCAAGAUGGCAUUCUCAGUGGAUUUGUUCGUCGAUGCGUUGGAUCUCCCUUGGCUGCCAAAGCCUUUGGCUCUAUGUUGAGUAACAGGACUAGUGUAAAUGAAUGGAAGGAUGUAUUAGCUAAAAGUGACAUUUGUAGUGAGAAAACCGGAAUUUUACCGAUCCUCAAGCUCAGUUUUGAUGACCUAUCCUCAGAUAUGAAGCAGUGCUUUGCAUUUUGUGCUUUAUUUCCUAAAGAUUAUGAGAUUGAUGUGGACCUCUUGAUUCGACUGUGGAUGGCACAUGACUUCAUACCUGUGCAGGAGGAUGACAAUCUAGAAACCGUAGGAAAAUAUAUUUUUGAGGAGCUAACUCGGAGGUCAUUCUUUCAAGAGGUCAGGCAAACACUUCAAUUUGGCUAUUUUGGAAGGUCGUCACUUCGUAAGUCAACCAUAUGCAAGAUACAUGAUCUCAUGCAUGACAUUGCUCUAUCUGUUCUGGGGAAAGAAUGUGUCACUAUAGUUGGUAAGCCGAGCAUCAACAAGGUGUUGCUAAAUCCGACCCGCCACGUCUUCUUAUCAACAAGGUGUUCUCAUUUCUGGAAAGAACAGGUUACAAGUCUACUAGAUCAUCUAUUGAAGAAACAAACUGCAAUGCUCCAUACGUUGUUUAUCAAAGGUUAUGGUCAACCCCUUGAUAUAUCAAAGUACACUUCACUGCGAGCAUUACACCUUCCAGCAUAUAUAUAUAUACCAUGUUCAGGACAGGAACAGCUUACAAGACACAUACAACACCUAAGGUAUCUUAAUCUGUCGUCACAUGAGUUCGAGAAACUUCCUGAAGGUAUAAGCAUUAUGUAUAAUCUACAAACGUUGGACCUCUCAUAUUGCAAAUGCCUUCGUCAACUUCCAAAGGAUAUGAAGUAUAUGGCAAACCUCCGACACCUCUAUACCCAUGGAUGCGAAUCAUUGACAUGCAUGCCUCCAGGACUUGGACAGAUCACUUCUCUGCAGAAUCUAACAUGUUUUGUUAUUGGUGAUGGCUUGGGAUGUAGUACUAUAGGAGAACUUCAAAACUUAAACCUUGGUGGAGAGUUAGAGUUAAGUGGUCUGCAAAAUGUAACAGAAGUGCUUGCAAAAGCUGCCAGUCUUGAAAAUAAAGAGAAACUCACACACUUAUGUCUCAAAUGGAAUGAUGAUGCCCGUGAGAAACCAGAUUCUCAUAAUGAGGUGUUAGAUGCCCUUAAACCUCAUCAUCGGCUGGAGAUGCUAGGCAUAAAGUCCUACAAAGGCACCAAUUUACCGUCAUGGAUAACAGAUCUUAGUCUGUUGCAGCACUUGACUGAGCUCCAACUGGUUGGUUGCACGCUGUGCGAGGAAUUUCCUCAAUUCUGCCAUUUCAAAACCCUUGAAGUUCUGUAUUUGAAAAAGUUGGACAAAUUGUAAAGCCUAUGCAGUCAUAUGGUGUCUACGCCAUUUCCAGCACUGAAGCAACUCCGGUUACAUGAUUUGGAGAGCUUGGAGAGAUGGGUCGCAACAGAAGGAAAAGAAGAUGAAUUAACCUUUCCUGUACUUGAGGAGGUUGAUAUAAAAAACUGUCCAAAGUUGACUAGCCUACCUGAAGCACCAAAGCUCAGGGUUGUAAGUCUGGAUGAAGGCAAGCCGCUGCUCUCCUUAGGAAUAGUUAAAUCAAGGCACAUGUCUUCAAUUUCUAAGCUAAUCCUGUGUGUCCGUGACACAGAAGCACUGCCUCAGAUAGAUUAUAAUUGGGAUUCAUCACAGAAACUGGAACUAUCCUUGGGUGGCACAGAAGCCGCACCUCUGUCACAUCUGAACAUAUCUGGCUGCAACUUUUUCUUCGUAUCAAGCCAGUCACAGCUAACACCUGGGGUCUGGAAAUGGUUUGAACAUCUUGCAGUUUUAGCAAUCAAAAACUGUGAUGUGCUCAUCUACUGGCCAGAAGAAGUGUUCCAAAGCUUGGUAUCUUUGAAGGAGUUGUGGAUUGAGUCCUGCAACAAGCUAAUAGGGCCCACACAAGCGAAAGGUGGCGAACCUACACAAACGACAGAUCAACUCCUGCCACAUCUAAACAGGAUAUGUAUACGCAGUUGUGAAAGCAUGGCACAGCUCUUCAUUCUUCCCCCAUCUAUCAGAAUUAUUGAUAUUAUGGAUUGCCCUAAGCUUGAGUUCAUAUGGGGAAAGGAGGAGCAUCUUGACACAUAUACAUCGUUGGAACAUUGCCGCGACCCUGCAUCCACUACUGGUACCCUAGAGCAAUCGCCGUUUCCAAUUAUUCGUCGUCCAUGCCUUGUACGUUUAUCAAUAAGAUUGUGUGAUAGCCUGGUAACACUUCCAAAUCUACCACCGUCCCUCAAGGAUUUAAGCAUCUACAGCUGUGAGAAGCUCUGCUCUGUGUCAGGAGACCUGUGUGCACUCGAGGAGCUACAUAUUUAUAACUGCAAUAAGUUACAGUCAGUCAAUUCCUUGGGAGACCACCCAUCAUUAGAAACACUGAUUCUUUAUGACUGCCGAUGCCUUGCAUCUUUAGGAUGUGAUGGUGGUCGUGGAAGUUACUCUGCUCUUCAGAGCCAUAAGAUCGAAGAGUGCCCAGCCAUAGACAUGAAGCAGUUUUACUAACGCCAUCAAACAGCUGCUUGACAGCUUUGAAUAUGAAGACGUAUCACACGUUCAUUCAAGCAGCUCUGAUGAAGGUACGACCUUUCACUUUCCUCUUAUUCAAUUUGUUUCCUUCAAAUUUCCCUGCUUUGCAUGCCCUCCUAUUUCACUCAUGUAACCCCACAUGCAUUUCAUUUUUGCUGUGCAGACAUGACCCAUUUGUCCUUAAAAAGCAUAAAGGAGGGCACUCACAUGUACACACGACUGCCAUCUGGAAGCUUCAUUAUUGCGAGCCUCUGCUAACGAUGACAGGCCUGCAAUGGACGACAAAAACGACAAAGUUUGUUUUCACGGCACUACCAGCUAGCUGCUGGUAAUGCUCUUGUCACUAAUGUACAGUACUCCAUUCUGUCAUCCAUGAAAGUCGUGGAGAAUGGUCUAUGAUGUUACUCCAUUCUGUCAUCCACGUGAGCCGAUGAAGCAGAAACAAAUGAUGAUGAUGAUGGAUGAUAUAGCUGCCGGGACCCACUGCAACCUCGUGCAUCAAUCAUGACGAUCUCUAACGGCAAAGGCAUGCAUCCAGUAUGGCCUGAUGAAGUAAUUUAGUCUGCCAAAUUUCUUUCUGCUCGUUGCGCAUAGAAGGCGUAUUUUCUUUUCCUUUUUUCCACCCGAGAAGGAAGAAGAAGAAGAAACUGCUGUGGCCAAUUCAAUCCGGAUCAUCAAAACAACAGCCCAUUCCAGACUAGAAGAAUUUGGUCACCAAAUUCGGAUGGAGGUAAAAAGUCACUAGUUACCUGCAGCACCGAAUAGUACUGGUUCGUUCAUUUACUGUUUCCAAAAACUUUCUGCUGAGAGUUUGUGCAUUGUGGUGACACUAAAUAUGCGCGUGCGCGGUUCGUAGGAUUCGAACCCACAACCUCCAACCUCGCGCGUAGCUUUCUUGCCAUCCCACCUACACACCACAUCUAAGUAUGUAGGGGAUCCUAUCCUUUUGUAUUAACUCGUGGGGGACCCUUUUAUCCCGGUUGGAAACACCAACCGCGAUAAAAGACCCCCUUUUAUCCCGGUUGGUAUUACAAACCGGGAUAAAAGGGUUCGAGGAUUUAAUCCUCUUCCAGCCACCUUCCAGUCACCUCGUUGGGGACCCUUUUAUCCCGGUUUGAAACACCAACCGGGUCAAGAGCCUUUUAUCCCGGUUGGUGUUUCAAACCGGGAUAAAAGGCCCCUCAGAGUCUUUUUUCCCACUAGCCUUUGCAACCGGGAUAAAAGGUCCCGGUUGGUGAGCCCCCCACCAGUGACCGAGUUUUAAUCCCGGUUGGUGAACCUUUGUCCCGAGCCAACUUUAAACCGGGAUAAAAGAGGGCGCAUGGAAAGUUAAUUCUCUACUCGUGUUUGCGGGACACAAUCAUUUCAAGCAGGAGACGGUGGUUCAUCUGGAUGGACACCGGCCUCCGAUCAACAAUUUCCCCAGUUUCCCGUGUAGGCAAGGGGGAAGAUGGCAGGUCGCCAAGAAAUAGCAGCAGAUAUGUCCCUUGUCAAAACUUCAAGCCAGUAGUCUGUAAAAUAGAAAGAGAGAUUUGUUCCACUUAGGCUGCUACGCCUACAACAAUAAUGACUGUGGGGAGCUAGGAAAUAGCAUCAUGCUGAUAAGCCCAACAUCAUUGGAAUACAGUAACAGCGUACUGAAAACAAAAGAGGCUACAUCAUGGGCCAACUGAAAUUGUGUUAUCCAUAACAUUUUUUUUUAGAAAAUCCUCAGCCAUCAACACACGCAACCAAAUUAUUACAGAAUCUUAAGCUCAGUUGCUGAUUAAAAAAAUAAAAAGAGAAAAUAAUUAUAAGCAAUGUUUAAUGUUGCUUAUCCAUCCAUUUUUAAUAGAAACUUUCCAAAGCUUUCGUUGCUCUACUAUCGAACGGACGGUCUCCCUUAUGUCUUCACACCACGUUAAUAAAUCGCAAUUAAUAUGUUCUCCCGAAGGUAACCUUCAAAGCGAUGAAUGUAGAUCACCCACGAGCAACCGAGCACGCACAAGGGAUGCUGAAACACCACAUGGAUCUCCAUGACAACACCUUCAACAAGAACAUGACGCUAAUGACACCAUUGUCAUUGGCCCAAGUAUUGGGUUGGGUUUACACCCGGAGAAUUAAAAAAUCACCAUUCGGGGGAGGUGCAAACAAAGUCGCCUCCAAGGAGGCAACGGCACCCGCAAGCGUCACCAUCCACACUUUCAUCCCGACCUCCACCAUGCCAUGCCGGCAGCAGCCUGAGCAGAAAUCCACUCACCAAGCUGUUGAUGGUGCUGAGCAAGUUCGCAAGUGCCAGCCAUCAUUAUUGAGAGCCAGCUGCUGCCGCCGCAAACUCAUGCCCAUUGCGCUAGGGCUAGGGCGCCGGCCAUAGCAAGGCCUAGAUGCACGUGUUGCGUCAUGGCUGGCACCACACUAAGCCCACCAUGUCACCAGACUGUCACAGCCGGAAGGGCGCCGGUCGUCAGAUCCGACCCCCAGCGCAUGGAAUCCACCGCCUAGAAGCUAAUAUCUCUAGAGUGAAAAUCAACACUUCAGAAGAUCCCUGAGGGAGGGGGAACGUGAAGGAGAGGCUCCCCGAGUGCCGUCAGCAUCACCGGAGAACCCAAGCAGCCACAUAUCCAGGGGUCUCCGAGGGACCCGUCGUCGGAUCCGGUCACGCCAAGGGGAAGCACCAUCACGUUCAAAGGUUUCACCUCUAUGUGUAACGCUGCACUGUCCGACUGCCCGAGUACCUCCAGCAUUGGAUGGAGUGAUGGCAAUCUUAUUAGGGGGAAAAGAAACUACACACACCAAUGACAUAUGGUAACAGCUUACAAUGAUGGUAGUGGAUAAAAGAAAUGGGAGCACCAGAAACAAAAUCUAGAGUCUCAACAGUCAAAAUCAAAUUAACAAGAUCAAACAAUAAAAGUUAUGAGUACCACAAGAGCUUACACUGUCCGACUGUCCGAGUACCUCCAGCGUUGGUUGCAGAGCACCAGGGGGGGGGGGGGAUCAUUUCCAAAGUGGAUGCAUCAGUGGAGAUCUCUCAAUGUUUGUCACAUAAGCAGUGUGGUGCCCUCCAGGUGCCCAGGUUGGUGUGUUAAACUGCCUCCGAUCCACAGCCAUCUUAGAACACUGCAUUCCAAGUUUCCAACACUUUUCAUGGUCUCAACUCUACUUUUACAUUCUCUCAGGGGGUGUUUGGGAACACCGUGCUAAACUUUAGCACCUGUCACAUCGGAUGUUUGGAUACUAAUUAGGAGUAUUAAAUAUAGUCUAAUUACAAAACUAAUUGCACAGAUGGAGUCUAAUUCACGAGACGAAUCUAUUAAGCCUAAUUAGUCCAUGAUUUGACAAUGUGGUGUUACAGUAACCAUUUGCUAAUGAUGGAUUAAUUAGCCUCAAUAGAUUCGUCUCGCGAAUUAGACUCCAUCUGUGCAAUUAGUUUUGUAAUUAGCUCAUGUUUAGUCCUUCUAAUUAGCAUCCGAAUAUCCGAUGUGACCCUGCUAAAGUUUAGCACCUCGUAUCCAAACACUCCAAUGUGCUUUAUCUUGCUCCAAUCAUCUCCUGACUCGCUGCAUCUUUGCUUAAACCUCUUUGUGCAUUGUGACAGUGUCAAGGUAUGCAAAGAGGUCAGCCUCUCAAUGCACGGAGGCAAAGUUUUCAUCCAGUAGGCCUCUACUUUGAGCUCACGGAGAGAUGCCAUAUCUCCCAACCAUUCUGGCAAGGUUUCCAUGUCCUCACAGUUCAGUAUCUCUAGCUUCCUGAGGGAUUUCCAGCCUAGAAUGCACUUUGGCAAAGGUACAGGAUCGAUGCAACUGUCAACAGUUAAUUCUUCAAUGUCAAGCAGUUGAAGAGAAUCAGAGUCAGAAGAUAUAUUUUUGAUGUACUUGAUUUCCAUUUUGGAUGAUAAAGCAGAUGUUGAUAGCCCCAUGAUCGACUUGGUAGAAUGAUGGCCAAUUGAAUAAGAACGGAUAUUGUUUAAUUCCAGAUAUGAUAUACCUGGCACUCCAAGGGAUUGAUGGUUCGAAUCUUACAUUCAAACAACAGUCUAUCUCCACAGUAACUUCCCUACUCUUACUAUUGUAACUCUUCUGAGAUUUUUCACUGGCUGUGUGAUCAAGAUGCAUAUCGAUGAUUUGGCAUAUAGGUUCACUAUAACUUCACCAUCCCCCACAAGCAGAGACACCGGGACAGACGAGAUAUACAAGUCUUCAAGAGAUUGUAAAUAAUCUAAAUGGAGGUCACCAGAUUGAACAUUGAAAAGCUCCAAUCGUACAAGAUUUGGUAGCCAACGUAACCAGUUAGGAAAAUCACCACCAACAUAGUUCUUUAUGCAAAGCCUUUUAAGGUUUUCACGAGGCUGGAGCUCUUCUAACGCGACCUUGUUCAACACUGGCCCACUCCACUCCAAACUUAAAAAUUGGAGCUCCUCUUUUUGCGCCAAUUCAAUUAUGUUUGCGUCUGAGCUUGAUAGAUCUUCGAGAUGUUUAAUAUUAAGUUCAGUAAGCUGGUGACUUGUAGUCUUUUGUAGAAGAGCCAUGUCCUUUGAUGAACUGACGGCGAAACUAGGGCCCUGCUAUUUUACAAAAACAAAGAAAAUGAAAAAUAAAACAUUCUGCUUUAGUCAAGAUGGCAUGCAUACUAUAUAAAACCAUCUCUAGGUGCAAACAUGCAGCUUAGAGCAUCUCCAAUAGUCAUCUAAUUAAUGUUUCUAGAUAACUAGUUAAUAGGGAUAUCCCGAGUUGCUUUUACAGUCUUCUAUAACCUCAUCCCAAUCUAACUACCGUUGUUGGGAGAGUCACAGCUCCUCAUUUAUUUGGGGAGUUGGGGUGAAUUAUUUGUCGAAUAAUUAUUGUAAAAAAGGAAAGGUAAAGGGAGUGUGUUAGAGCACUAUUUUUUCACAAACUCUCCAAAUAUGGUAGUUGUAUUGGAGCACUGAAUAGUACUGGUUCGUUCAUUUACUGUUUCCUCAAACUUUCUGCUGAGAGUUCGUGCAUUGUGGUGACACUAAAUUAGCUGCUUAAUCUGCUGCAGGACAUCAAGCAGUGGGCGUAUGGCGCACCUAUCAGCUGGGUUCCUGUUGGUCAUCUUAAUUCUUGCUUGUGGUAGAGCAAACCAUGGCCGACUUAGUGAUCAGGCCCAGGGCCGGCUCUAGGGGAGCGGCAGGCCGUGCGACCGUCCGGGGCCCAUGAAGCUGCGGGCCCAAAACCAUAUAGGUAAUCAAUACAUAUAAUUUGGUUGGUGGACUUUGUUUCGGCCUUUCUAAAUGGCCCGCGUAACAACUGCGGCCUGCCUCCGUCCGUGCCAAAUCAGGCCUACCAAAUUGCUCCAUGACUAUGCUGUCCCUGAUUCUGUAUACAUAUACGCUCCUGACUCCGUGGUUGUGCUGUCGCUGAGCACCGCGUCUGGAGCGCGUCAGAGGAUAUAGGCGAGCCGCGAGCACCGUUAGGGUCAGAGGCGAGUGCUUAUUUGAAGUUCAAUCUUUGUUUUCUUUUUCGCCAAUUUCGUCAAAAAGCAAUCAUUUAAUUAAUAUUAUUUCUUUCGUGUAGUAAUUCCAUUCUUCAUCAAUUGCGUAGAAGGAGCAAUGCCUUACGACAUUGAAGGAGAAUCUUGGUAAUUCUAUCGUCAAUUGCAUAUCAGAUUCUCUUAACUAUUCCAAUGACAGUAGUAUCAGCCGAAAGUAGUUUCUCCAUUUUGAAACUAUUGAAAAAUUAUUUGAGAUCAACUAUGUCACAAGAAAGAUUGAAUGGCUUGGCUAUGUGCAAUAUUAAGAAGGAUGUUUUGGACGACAUUAAUCUUGAUACUGUUCAUGAAGACUUUGCAUCAAGAAAUAUAUCCGAAGAUGUUUUUCUACAAAGCACUAAAGCAUUAUAUUUUUAUUUGAGAUAAUCAUAAUGGUUAUUGUUUUUAGUUUUUUUGUUACACUAUUAUUAUGUUUUAUGAGAGAUAUAUAUUGCAAAAAUGAUGCGUAGCUCUCCUGAAUAUAUAUAUAUAUAUAUUGCAAAAUAAUUUUUAUUAUUCGUAUUAUAUACUUUAGUUUUGAUAUUAAAAAUAGUUCAACGGGUCCUUAUGUUUGCCCAAGGGUCUUCAAAAUUAUAGAGCCAGCCGUGAUCAGGCCAUUCAUCUUCAUGGUGGAGAAGGUGAUCGAAGGCAUGGAGCGCAAGCUGCCAUCAAUCCUGCAUGCACAUUAACAAGGAUGCGGAGGAAAGAAGAGCCUCCCGACCUGAAGCAGCAGCUUGGCUCAAAGACCUCAAGACAGUUGCCUAUGCGGUGCUGGCCGGUGGCGCGAUCCAACGCUCUUGGGCAGCGGUAGCGAUGGCUUCCUGUUCCGCGGGCAGCCACAGCAGCGGCGACGGCGCGCUCAGCGGCCUCAACCCGUGCGCGGGCCCACUAGGAUUAAAACAAUCUAACACAUCCCAAUCUUAAGGAAGUGCACCAGUAGGUUCUUUUGUAUCACUUUUGGAUAGUCAUCGAAUUGCCGAACCUUUGAGCAGCGGAUCGACCCCCGCAUGCACUCAUGUCACACCCGAUUUUAAGGACAAAAUCGAGUGCAUUAAAUACAUGUGUGCCAGGAUCAAGUUACACACAUGUACGAUAAUAGUGAAUAACAAAGAUAGUGCUAAAACGAAUAAAGAGAGUAUUAAACAUUAUUACAUGACCGAAAGUCUCAAUAAACCAUAAGCCUAAUUUAUUAUGCAGCGGAACUCCAAGGACGACGACGACUCCACAGGCAGCUGACUGAAGAAACGUACGCCUAGAACUCCUCAAAGUCGUGUAGGUACUCCUCCCAAUUAGCUUAGUCUGAACAACGGUUUUGCAAGGGUGAGUACUGUAACAACUCUACCUAAAUUAAGUACUUUUAACUCUAAACCAGUGAUAAAUCCCUAAGUUAAGAAGUGAAAUGACCUUUAUAAACCUAAGAAGCUCGUUUUGGAGUUUGAAUUAAAGCUUGAAAUUUUGUAUACAAACCUGAGUUUCUGCCCAAGUAAGAGUUGUAAAACUUUUUAAUUCCAACAACUUUUGUUAAAGUCACUUUGACUAAUUCGGAGUGGAAGGAAGUCAAAAACAUCAACCAAAGCCAGUUUUUCUAAAGGACCCUGAAAAUCUCUUAAGUCCUGAAAUUCGAGUUUUCCUCCAUCUUGCAAGCUUUCAUCUCCUGUUUUCCCUAUCUAAACUCAAGUCAGGGCCUGAAUGAAAGUUGUAGUACCUCAAGAUUGUUCCAACUUUGUUACACUGAUCCAGAUCCAAAUCGGGCCCGAACUUGUUCAAAACUCCGGUCAAAGGGAGGUAAACCAGUCAACUCACCCCUGGUGCCUUAAAAAUCCUAAGUCUGGAAUCCCAGAUUUUUGGCUAACUUUGACCGGAAAUAUCUUUGAAUCCUUUCACAAUCUAAACCAGCACCUUAAACAAAGUUUGAAGAACAAUCAGAGUUGAGCAAGUUUGUUUAAGGGAGUUUUGGAAGUUGUGUUGAAAGAUUCGGAGGAAGGAUCACUCCAAAGCUGGUCGGGCUUGUUGCCCGAAGGGAGCCUCGACGCCCGCGCGCCAGAGCACGUUCACUCGCGCGCCGCGUGCCGCGUGGCCGCCGGCCACCGGCAGCUCGCCGGCACCCUAUCCCCAGCACGACAGCGAUAGGACGAGAGCCACGGCGCCCAACCCGCGCCCGCGACAGGACGGAGCGAGCGCAGGGCUAGCCAACCGCCAGCCGCGCGCAGGUCGCCUUCCGCCUGCCACGGCUCUGCUCCGCCAACCCUGUUCCGCCCGUCCGCUGAGAAAGCUGACACGCCCCCGACGUCCCGCGCCUCCGCCCGUUCGCCCAACCCCCACGGUAGCCCUUCCGUCUCGCCCGCCCGACAGACCGGAAGCCCUAGAUGUGCGCCGCCCAAGGCCAAUCGCCGCCGAAGACCACCCGGAGCUCCGCCUCCUCUGCCCAAUGGCGUUGUCGGCCAAUGGCCGCCUCGCCUGAGCACUCGCCGCUCCCGGCCUUAUCCUUUCCCCACCGGAGCCCCGCCUCGACCCUCCGCCCCACCACGACCCUAUAAAAGAGAACCCCCUCACCGGCAAUGCCACCCCUUGCCACCGCCUGCACCUGCGCCACCGCUUUCUCCUCUGCGCCCCCGCUUUCUCCUCUGCGCUACCGCUGAGCUUCCGUGGAGCUCACCCCUUUGCGCCACCCCACACUCCGGCGAUUUCGCCGCCACCCUCUUGAGAAAGUUCCCCUCUCCGCUCCAGCCGCUUCUUCCAACCCACCAGCCGCCCGCUCCUCCGCGUGGUACUCGAGCUUGCUAGUGUCCGCAAGAAGCACCGCCGCCGCCGGAGCACCGUCGAAGCAACGCCGCCGCCGGACCACCGUCGAAGUCUCGCUGCUGCCCAAGCCUUAGCGCGUACAACUUCCCGCCCCAGCCUACUCCUGUUCGGCCCCAAGGCUUCACCGGUAGACCUGGAGGUAAGUGACCGACCCCUUGUGUUCCGUCUCGACCGACCCCUUGUGUUCAGCCUCAACCGACCCCUUUUCUUUCCGUCUCGCCCGACCCCUGUCCUUUUUGUUUCGCCCGACCCCUGUCCUUUUUCGUUUCUCCCGACCCCUUUGUUUCGGUUCGCCCGACCCCUUUUCUUUUCCUCUCGCCUGACCUUUUUCCCGUUCGCCUCGCCCGACCCUGCCAAGUUUCGCCGACCCUUUCUCCGUCUCGCCCGAGGGCUCGGCUGUAACUUUUUCUUUGACCCGAGGGUAUCGGUGAAAUAUUUUCGGGGAUUCCUCUGUGUUGAGUCUGAGGACCUCGGUACGGUUUUCCUUAAACCUGAGGGUCAGACCCUAAGUUUCCCCUAAUCCGACCCUCUCAUCCUGAUCUCCUCCAACAGAAGUUGAACUCCCCCACCUUUCCUGUAGCUUGGCUACAAGUGUCCGUGUUAAAACAUUAGUGUGUUGAAAUAACCAUCUAAAAUGUUUAACCCCUGCAUUGCAUUUCCGUGUAGAGUUGAAUCUCGCCGAUGGAACGUACGAGCUUCACCCGGCACCGGAAGAAGACCCCGCCGAGGAACUGCAUCCCUUCGAAGGAGAGCCCGAACCGGAGCAAGACCCCGAGGACCCGCAAGCUUUUCCUGAAGGCAAGCCCCGGAGCAUAAAUUCCUAUCUUGAAUUCAUGCAAUAUUAUUGAUUACUUGAUUGCGCAUUUACGUUUCGAGGAGUUGUAAUGGAACCUUAGAUGCAUAACUUAGUACCUUAUUUUUGAAUACUAGUUGCUAAGGCCGAGUAGUUGCAUUGCUUAAUAGGUUCCGGUAAAAGUCGAGUGAUCUCCUGUCACUCGCGAGUUAUAGGAGUUGAAUGUUUCAGAUAUGUCGCAACUAUAAGGACGACGGACGGGGUCAGGCUUAUGUUCGAUACUUGGUGGAUUGCCCCGUCUGUCUAAAUGAAAAUGAACUAAGGUCGAAACGUGUCGGCGUUCGUGAUCAAGUGUUUGAAAGUACUAAUCUCAUACCUAGUAUGGGAUGGGGAAGCCUAGUACCUGAUUGAAUUGGGGCGUGGCAUACCCUCCGGCUGUCCUUGGAACGUCGUUCCCAUGGUGCAUCAUGUGGGUGCAAGUGCGGUCACAGUGCAGCAAUAGGCCGGGACUGUGGAGCAUUGCAUGCCAAAGGAAGUUGGCCCUGACACGUGCCUAAGGGAUCGAUGGGGACGGCUGAUAAAUGAAGCGACCCUUCGUGGUGCGCGGAUGUCAUGAGAUUAGGUUUGCCAUGCAUGGUUAAUAAAUUCGAAUCGAUUCAUCUGCCUCUCAUAGAUUGGGACUACUUGAUCGCUAUUCUGCACUGAGUAAAGAUGGAACAUGAUGAUGAUUUUAAUCUUGAUGCUUGUUAAGUAAUUGCUUGGAAACCAUGUUUGUUUAGUAUAAGUUGCUAAUCUGGAAUGGAUAAAGAACAUAGAACAUGAGCUAAAAUGUUGAAAGUAAGGACUGACUUUAGACGCUUUUGGCAAAGAAAACCCCAGAGCCAGAAAGCCUUGCAUGUCUAGGUCUCGGUCGUGUCUUUUCGACAGGUCAGUCUUGCGGAGUACUAGUUGCUCAGCCUUGUUGUGGCUAAUCUUUUUCAGGUAAUGUCAAUAGUUUGGGUGUUGGUACCACUUGGCCGACCCAGCUUCCUCCAGGUUGGACCGUCGAGUGGGAUCCUUCCUUGGAUGGCGAAGGAAGAAAUUUUUGAUGUCAUGAACGGCUCCGUCGUGAUGUCAUGUAUCGACGUUUAGUUUUCGCUAUUUUCCUUUGACUUCGAACCAUGCAAAUUUCGAUUUGAAUUUCAGAAACUCUGAUGUAAUAAAUUGUUGAACUAUGUUGUCAUGAUGGAAUGUUGUAACCUCUGUGCUACUCACCUUCGCGUGAGCGAUGCUUCUCGAUCCUGUUUAUGUGGUUUAUCGGAGGAAAUCCGACGGUCGACCAAGUUGACUUGCUUAAAGUGCAUAAUCGCGUGUCAGACGACUUCAAUGCAUUUUAGUCAGGUUAAUUUGGGCGGUUCCGCCACAAGUACACUUAUGGUUGGUACUCAACAAGUCGUGGGGAAUAGUGUAGUGUAAGGCAAAUCAAGGUACGGCUAAGGCAUAAUUAGCAUUCGCUUUUAUUUAAGUUGGUCAAGUUUUAUUAGCAAUUAACUAAGUAUAAGUUCGUACCACUCGAAAUUAAACAUGAUCAUAAAUAAAGUAAACAGCAUAUGCAUGAAAUGACAACAAGUUAAAUCCAUCUUCCGAUAAAUAUUAUCAUGUGAGGGUCCAGGCCUCUCUUAACCGUGAGCACGGCUGAUCGAUCAGUUUUACACUCUGCAGAGGUGGCACAUCUUUACCCACAAGUCGCGUAAAAGUUCAAAAGAACUUUGGACCCAACCAUGCGGUGUUUGCAAGGCACCAUACCACACUUCUGAGGUGUGAUUGCAUAGGGACGCUACGAGGCCUUUACAAAGAUUCAUUAGUCAGUGGUAACCCGCUAAGGUUUCGAUGUCUGGCGUGCACCACCCAUCCCAGGCAAAAAUGCAACGACUCAGUCCCCCCUCUUGCCUCAUCAUGAGUAAGGUCACCCUAGACUAAGGUUUCUAAUUAUUCAGCCAAGACCAGAGCCAUUUAGUCUUGUGGUAGCACUAUUUUCCUGGGUGGUCGCUCCAUGUUACGAUUAAUAAUACAUGAUCUUAUAUUAAUGAAAGGUAUAACAGAAGUAAAGCAAGAUUAAACAUUGUUUUUAGUUAAACCACCAUGUACCAAGUAAGCGCUAAGCAUGAGCUACCCAACAAAAAGUAAACCGGUUGAUCAAGGCAAAGGUAAUUCAAUCUAGGCGAACCUUAAUUGGGACCCAUCAAUUCAAUCUUAACAUGUGCAUAGCAUAAAUGUUGAGUACGAGAAAGUAAAGGUGUAUAGGAUGAAAAGUAGUGAUCAAGGACACGACUUGCCUUCUUGGCCUUGCUCCUACUGUUCGUACUCCUCGAAGGCUUGGUCUUCAACUCCCUCGAACUGCGGGACGUCUACACGCGUCACACGAGCACAUACAAGCAAACAUGGGCAAAAAGUAAGAAACAGUACACCAAUCACAAUUAAACAGAGAAAACAAGCUUGAAAAGUUGAUCUACGCUUUAAAACGAACACGUGGAUAUAAAGAACGCGAAAAACGGAGUUAAGAUGCAAAAGAGAUGAUUAAAACAAGAUCCAGGGGCUUUUCUGUGAGAAAAACAAAACUUUUAGGGCAAAACCGCAAAAACCGAGGGCUUAUACGUAAAUACGCGUAUAAACCAAAGGUCUAACGCGCAAAAACUCCAAAACGGACGGCGGGUUGAUUUUUAGAAAACUCGGGGUUUAAACCGAAAAGCACGAGGGCAGAUCUGUGAAUAUUUUCAACGCGAUCUGGACCGCGGGUUGAUUUGCGGAAAAGGCAGGGGCUUAAGAGCAAAAUGGCGCGGUGCGGCACGGUUGACCGUUACGCGGUCUUGUUUGACUCGCUAUCGGCCGUCGGAUUUAGGUCCGACGGUCACGGUCGGCGAUGACUCGCGACGGCGACGGGAAAAGGGCAGCCAGCGGCGGUGAGCGACGGCGAGGUCGCCGGAGUAGGCCGAAACAACGCCACGGGGCUCGGUUUCGCGCGCGGAAAGCACCAGAAGAGAGCGGGGAACAUGGCGAACCCGUUUAGUGCCUUGGCGGGAGCCACGGCGCGGCGGCGCUCACCUUUUGGCGGCGGCGUGCGGCGGAGAGAGGCAGCGGCGCAAGAGCUUGCGGCAGCUAGGGUUUGGAGGGUGCUGGCACGGGUGCUCGUGGCCGGGGGAGGCGGCAGCUUAAAUAGGGGCGGACGGCUUGGAGAUAGAGGCGGCCCCGGAUUCAAACCGGUCGGGGAAUACGGCACCCACCCGGAGAUCUCGCGCGGCGGUUGCGGGCGGAGGAGAGUCUGGUCGGAGGUGGGAGACGAUGGCGGGUCCCACCUGUCGGCGGUAGCGGGCGGUAGGCGGGCCGUAGCGGCUGUGGGCUGGCGCGCGCGUUCGCGGGCCGCGGGAAAGGGGCGAGCGGAGAGCUUCGCAGGCCGGCUGGAGGUGGAGCGGUGGGCCGCACGGGCAAGGGGGUUCGCGGGCCGGCGAAGAAAGGCGGAGCGGGCCGAGCGGCUGGCACUGGGCUGCCGGCAGAGGAGGAGGCGCUAGGCCGAAAGAAAAAGAAGAAGAGAAAGGAAAGCAAGGUGCGGCCCAGGAGGAGAAGAAGAAAAAGAAAAAGAAGAGGGAAAAGGAAAAAGGUUUUGGAGAUUGAAUUUAAAUUUGGAAUUCAAAUUUUUGAUUCAAACCCAAGCAAUCAAAAUAAAUGCAGCAGCAUGAAUGCACAAUUAACUCCUAUGAUGAAUUAAUUAAAUUAAAGAAAAUGAAAUUAAAUGCCUAGAAUUUAAAUGACACCCUAAUUUGAGUAAAUUUUAAUGAAUUUGAAUUCUCUAAAAUUUUGGGUGUUACAACUCAUGAAACUAAAAGGGAAAUCCUUUUCUCAUAGCUGGAUAAUAGCGCGCGGCGACAGAAAAGCCAGCAUCGUUUCUGAUCUCAUUCACGUAUAUACAGCCAGUUGCUCGCUUCCGACCAUGCAGCUGCAUGAAGAAUAUGGACCGAAUGUUUAGUCAGUAAGCAAACACUGCCUAAAGUAAGUUUACAGAGCUACAUGCUGGGCAUUUCAGACUUGUUUAAACAGAGGUGCAAACAAAGUCGCCUCCAAGGAGGCAGUAGCACCCGCAAGCGUCACCGUCCACGCUUUCGCCCCGACCUCCAUGCUAUGCCAUGCCAGAAGCACCAUCACGUUCAGAGGUUUCACCUCUAUGUGUAACGCUGCGCUAUGGAGAGAUGACAAUCUUGGGGGGGGCGGGGGGGGGGGUACCAAUGACAUAUGGUAACAGCUUACAAUGAUGGUAGUGGAUAAAAGAAAUGGGAGCACCACAAACAAAAUCUAGAGUCUCAACAGUCAAAAUCAAACAAGAUCAAACAAUAAAAAGUUCUGAGUACCACAAGAGCACCAGGGGGGGAUCAUUUCCAAUGUGGAUGCAUCAGUGGAGAUCUCUCAACGUAUGUCACAUAAGCAGUGUGGUGUCCUCCAGGUGUCCAGGUUGGUGUGUUAAACUGCCUCCGAUCCACAGCCAUCUUAGAACACUGCAUUCCAAGUUUCCAACACUCUUCAUGGUCUCAACUCUACUUGAACAUUCUCAAUAAGCUCUAUCUUGCUCCAAUCUUCUCCUGACUCGCUGCAUCUUUGCUUAAACCCCUUUGUGCAUUGUGAUAGUGUCAAGGUAUGCAAAGAGGUCAGCCUUUCAAUGCACGGAGGCAAAGUUUUCAUCCAGUAGGUCUCUACUUUGAGCUCACGGAGAGAUGCCAUAUCUCCCAACCAUUCUGGCAAGGUUUCCAUGUUCUGACAGUUCAGUAUCUCUAGCUUCCUGAGGGAUUUCCAGCCUAGAAUGCACUUUGGCAAAGGUACAGGAUCGAUGCAACUGUCAACAGUUAAUUCUUCAAUGUCAAGCUGUUGAAGAGAAUCGGAGUCAGAAGAUAUAUUUUCGAUGUACUUGAUUUCCAUUUUGGAUGAUAAAGCAGAUGUUGAUAGCCCCAUGACUUGGUAGAAUGAUGGCCAAUGGAAUAAGAAUGGAAAUUGUUUAAUUCCAGAUAUGAUAUACCUGGCACUCCAAGGGAUUGAUGGUUCAAAUCUUACGUUCAAACAACAGUCUAUCUCUAAAUAUUGAAGUCCAGGAAAUAAUGUGCGCUGGUUGGAGGAUUCCCUGCCACUAUCACUGUGUCUUCCUCCCUGCUGCUCUCUUUGAAAUACGUUCUUAUCAUCCUUCUGCUCAAUACAAGGCAACGUCGAUGUUUUCCACAGUAACUUCCCUACUCUUCCUAAUGUAACUCUUCUGAGAUUUUUCACUGGCUGUGUGCUCAAGAUGCAUAUUGAUGAUUUGUCAUAUAGGUUCAGGUCAUUUGGCCUAUUAAUCACCGGGAAAGACGAGAUAUACAAGUCUUCAAGAGAUUGUAAAUAAUCUAGAUGGAGGUGACCAGAUUGAACAUCGAAAAGCUCCAAUCUUACAAGAUUUGGUAGCAAACGUAACCAGUUAGGAAAAUCACCACCAACAUAGUUCUUUAUGCAAAGCCUUUUAAGGUUUUCAUGAGGCUGGAGCUCUUCUAAUGCGACCUCGUUGAACACUGGCCCACUCCACUCCAAACUUAAAAAUUGGAGCUCCUCUUUUUGCGCCAAUUCAAUUAUGUUUGCUUCUGAGCUUGAUAGACCUUCGAGAUGUUUAAUAUUAAGUUCAAUAAGCUGGUGACUUGUAGUCUUUUGCAGAAUAGCCAUGUCGUCUGAUGAACUGACGGCAAAACUAGGGCCCUGCUAUUUUACAAAAACAUAGAAAAUCAAAAAUAAAACAUUCUGCUUUAGUCAAGAUGGCAUGCAUACUAUAUAAAACCAUCUCUAGGUGCAAACAUGCAGCUUAGAGCAUCUUCAAUAGUCAUCUAAUAAAUGUUUUCAGAUAAAUAGUUAAUAGGGAUAUCCCGAGUUGCUUUUGCAGUCUUCUAUAACCUCAUCCCAAUCCAACUACCGUGUUGGGAGAGUCACAGCUCCUCCUUUAUUUUGGGAGUUGGGGUGAAUUAUUUGUCGAAUAAUUAUUGGAAAAAAGGAAAGGUAAAGGGAGUGUGUUAGAGCACUAUUUUUUCACAAACUCUCCAAAUAUGGUAGUUGUAUUGGAGAAUAGGGAUCUGCUGGAGAUACUAUGUAAACCAUUGGACAAUUGAAUGCUGAUGAGGCUUAUGGAAACAGAGCCAGCCAAGGAUCCCUACCUAACUCUACCAAUCACGGGUAUGCACAGCAGAUAUGCUGGCAACAGAUCCUACCAGUAAGUUUUUUUUUCCAAAAAAAACAUAUCCUACCACGUACACAGCACAAAAAUACAAUUCUAAAAAAUUUGAUGUUCGCCUGGUAUAUCCCAAAAGUUGCAUGACUAUUUUAAUUUGGAACUUGCUUGGCUACUCCUUCCAUCCCAUAUUAUAGGUCAUUUUGGCAUUUCUAGGUUUAUGAUUUUUUGUUGUACACCUUGAUGUAUAUUAUAUCUAGAAGCUAUGAAUCUAAAAUUGUCAAAACAACCAACAAUUUGGAUAAUUUGGGAUGGAGGGAGUAUUUUAAUUUGGAGAAUCAGGUCUACUAUAAGUGCCACAAUUAAGCAAGGUAGUGGCAUAUCAAACAAUAAAUUAAAUAUUUAUGUUAGAAAGGGAUUCCAUUAAUUCAUUCAUAUAUACGAUAUUCACUCCCUAGAAUUAAUGAAAAUACAGUAACAAAUCACAUGCCUGCAUGAUAGAUUGAGCCUCUUGUUAUGCAACCGUAAUUUAUAGUAUACAUUGUAGAACAAAAAAAGUAAUAAUUAAAAACAGUGCAUAUUACCUCAUGUGCAUAUACAUGUUUGAUGGGUUUAAUCUUGUCGUAGUCCUCUCCUAAACGGCUGCAGCAUUCACGCAGUUUGUAAUUGCACUUCUUAAGAGUUAAUGUCUUCAAGGAGGUUACAUCCUUGAUGGAGUGAGGCAAACGCUGCAGUUUGGCAGAAUAAACUUCUAGAUGCUCCAGAGAUGCCAGAUCCCCCAACCAAUCUGGGAGUGCCGCAAAAUUACAACAACUGUCCAAUAUCUGCAAGCUCCUAAGGGAUGAUCUCCGGCAAGGUGAUCAGAUCACUGUCAGAUUUAAUAGUUAAAUACCACAAGUCGGUGCUGACGUAUUGGAGAAAUUCUGAAGCGUCAGAGAAGCCAAACAUAUUUGGUUCCAAUUCAAGUGUAAAAAGGUGUGAAGAUCCAACAAGUAUCACGGGUGAUAGUUCUACCUUACUGCAUGAUGCAACUAUAUGCUCUAUGUAUCCUUGAAAAGCUGAACCGAGGGUCAACGUGGAAAUAUUUCAUCUCCUUGCACCUUCUGUUCAUCAUCAUCCCAAGACAUCUCUCUAGCAGACAGCUCCAAGUUCGUGGACAGCACCUCCAAAUUCUCCAUCUUAUUAAUACAAAGUUCCCUUAAUUUCCUGAAUGGGUUCCUGCCUCCAUAAAAACUAGUAGCCACUUCUCGAAUAUUAGGCAUAUCUGAAAUGUGCAGUUCUUCAAGGUUUGCUAACUGUCCUAGUGAAGGGAGGCGUGCGCACCUUGGCUGCCCAUCAGCACUAUCUUCACAAGAUUUGGAAGAUCGAGAUUUGGAUCGCUCAUCCAGCCACAAAAUGUGGCAUCUCCAUAACCUUCUAUUUCAAGUGUUGAUAGGUUAGGAUGAGGAUGGAGUCUUUGGAGAACUGAAGAAUCAUCAGCUCUGGAGAAUUUUUUGCUCAGAUUAAGAUAUACAUUGUUAGGCCUAUCGUCUGAUCCAGAUAAACCAUUGCUGGAAUAAGAGUUUGCGUCAGCGUGCGCAGCUGGUCAUAUGUAGCCAACUCUCCAAGGCCAACUUCAUCAGCGCUAUUCACCUUCUCAAGAUUUGAAAUAAAUAGGUCUGUGAUUCCAAAGUCUGUAUUUUGACAGAGGAGAAAAUCACUUUCUUGUACUGCAAAAUACACUCCCUGUGAAGGAAGAGACAGAGUUAGACUAUUACCAAAUGCAACGAAAAUAUUUAUGCAUCCAUUCUGUUCUAGAUAAGAAUUAGAAAAUGUCCAUUGUAAAAGAGGAGUAACAAAGCACAGCCAAGAGAACUUACCUCAUUUAUCUUGAUGCAUUGAAUGUGAGGAAUAGCCUGUAGGAUUGCAGCUUUGUCUCUGUCCAAGAAAUUCCCAGGAGAUGACAAAGUUAGCUUCGCCAAACGAUCCAUGCAUCUCAAUUCAUCAAAACGGUCAAACAUCUCGAGGCAAUCAAUUUCAAGCUCAUGUACUGAUUGAAUGCCAGGAAGUUUCUGAAGAUCAUAGCUCUUACAGUUCGAUAUCUUGAGUUUUUGGAUGGUUUGUGUCAAUAUAGGGGUUUAUGACCACAGAUUAAUCUUGGAUAAAUCACUCUCGUUGAUGAAUAACUCCUUGCUGUUGGGGAUUCUUGGAUAUAGUUCCAGAUAACCGCAGUGUUCUAUCUGCAGAUAGCAAAGCGGAGGGAAUUCUUCUUCAUCAGUGUUCAUCAGUGCGGAAGAAGAUACAGGAACGUGUGUCAUCAGUGUUCUCUUUUUAGUCACUCCCAAAAAUAUUUCCAUCAUGUUCCUAAACUUUGCUUUUCCUUUUCCUCGGGAAGGAUCACCAGACUGCGCCCUGAACAUUUCAAGCCUCUUGAAUUCUUCUAAAGGAUCUAUUUCCAUGUCACGUAUCUCUUCACCAUCUUGGCAAAACCACAAGGUGCAUCUGGAUGCUAGUUUAACAAGCGACAGUCGCUUUAGGUUUCUGCAUGGUGCUAAACAUGCUUCCAUAAGUUUAGGCAUAUUACGAAUUUCAAGCUCCUCUAAGUUUGAUAGAUUUCCUAGAGUUGGAAGCUGGUCACACUCUACGAGAUCAGACAAUACCAGUUUCACCAGAUUUGGGAGUGUAGAACAUAUCUUCCUCAUCCAACUAGGAAACAUACUGUAAUUAUAGCCCUUUAUAGUGAGAUGCUUUAAAGCUGGAUGAGGCUUCAAAUUUUCUAGCACAUCCAUUGUCGUCACUUUGGGUUCCUCUGACCAUUCUAAUAAGGACCACUCCAAACUCAAAGAAGCAAGCCGAUGUCUCCUUCCCAAUUGCACCCCCUUUGCUUCCUCUGCAGACUUCACAACCUCAAGGCAUUUGAUAUUUAGUUCACUGUUUGUAGAAUCAAGGAUAUUCUGUAGAAGGAUAAUGUUGCUGCAAUCACCACUGCUGCCACUUUCUGAGACCACAAAAUCCGGUAGGGUUAGUAGGUCACUGGAGAUGCCUUCCUUUCAGAACAGUGACAUCCCUCCAACUGAAAGGUACUCAAGACGAUGCAUGUUUUUCAAUGUGUCAUGCAGCAUUUUCAGGCUCAACUCCUCACCAGAAUAAUCAGAGGAAUGCUGUGUAGAGGAGCUUGGAGCUUCAGAAUCUUUUCUUACAUCAAAUCCUGAUAAUGCUGAUAGGUUUAGGUACUCCAAAUUUACAAAUUUACCAAGAAAGCAGAUAAUUUUCAAAAUGCAAGGACAGCCAGAUAAAUUCAGAAAUCGGAGUUUAUUUAGUCUGGCACAAGAUUCAGAAAGAUCAAUAAGCCUCGCACAAUCAGAUAAAUCCAAAAUCUCCAGGUUCAGGCAGCCAUUGUUGCCCACACAAAAUUCAGGAAGUGCCUCAAGGCAAGUACAACCAGACAUAUUAAGAUAAAGAAGUCCCUUCAUUCUAUUGAAUGACAGGGUACGCAGUUGCUUAAGCUGGCAGCAGGAGGACAGAUUCAGAUGUUCCAAAUUUUUCAGUAGACUGAAAGAGUCUGGAAGCAUCUCAAGCUUUGAACAACAUGAUAAGUUCAAGAACGAAAGCUUUGGCAGCUCUCCAAAUUGUGAAGGUAGCUUUUGUAGGCUGGUACAACCUGAUAGAUCGAGGUGUUCCAAAUUUUCCAGUAGACUGAAAGAGUCUGGAAGCAUCUCAAGCUUUGAACAACAUGAUAAGUUCAAGAACGAAAGCUUUCGCAGCUCCCCAAAUCGUGAAGGUAGCUUUUGUAGUCUGGUACAUCCUGAUAGAUCAAGAUGUUCCAGGACUUGGAGUCUGUGAAUGGGACCUGGAAGUUCACUAAGAUUCGAGCAGCCAUGUAGAUCCAAAUAGUGAAGCUUCUGAAAGUCACAAAUGGAAGUGGAACUAUGGAGCUUUAAUUUUUCAGAAAAGGAGCUAUGGAGCUUUUUGAGGCUGGUAUUUUCUGAAAGAUUUAAAAACUGCAGGUGGUGCAAGUUUUGCAUAGAACUGGGUAGCUGGACAGUUUGCAUGCGUGGGAAGUCCAAUACACGCAGCCAUUUAGUUUCUGAAAAGGCACCCUUCGAAGGCUGACAUCCUGUGCAGCCACUAAAAUGAGCAGCCCUUGCUUUGAAAGGCGUAUCUUUGCAUUUUGGGUACUGACCUUUGAAAUUCAACAACAACGUGUAUCGAUAGUUGUCCUCUUUACCGAAGCUUCUUUGUUUGCCAUCACAGAUGGCAACUUCCUCAAUAGCAACUGACCUAGCAAGUUCAUGAACUAAAUCGUGCAUUUUGAAUAAUACAUUAUGCAUAUGAGGGUUAUUAAGCUUGGAGUAUCUUGCAGAAAUCUGAAAAGCAAAUUUGCAGGUCGAUUAGUAGUGCACUAGAUAUUUUUUUCAAGGACUCAACGGUAGGUCAAAAGAAAAAAAUAUAUAAAGAGCAUGCCAAUUUCACAUUUAGAAACGAGAUUGAUCAUUGCCACAUCAGCCGUCCCGCAUGGAGAUGCUAGAGCAGUCAAAGGGAGUGCAAAGGGUUUAAAAUUGCAACGAAUGAACAUUAUUUUCUCUCCAGUAGCAAUUGUGUCAAGACAACCAAGUUGACGUUUCUUCUAUCUGAAAUGAAAGAACACUGCCGAUUUAUUUAUUGCUAUAUCCAAUUUAUAGAAUGGAUAUACCAUUUAAUUGAUAUCUUUUCGUAAAAAUGAAACGCAUAAUAUGCAUCCACAUUUCAGCUUCGAAUUUUACUGGAUAGAGAUACAUGAUCUAGGCUAUUAAGUAGCGACUCAUAAAAGCUAAAUCUUGUAACCAAUGGUGGGUCAAUAAUGAUCAUUUUUGUAUAUAUGUAUCGACUGUUGUAAAAAAGUGAUUCGCUUUUCCUAUGCAGUAACCUUCUGCUCCUAAAGAAUGCCAGGAUUGUGUUUUAAUUAUUGCAAUUACUAUUCACUUAGUAACUUAACUCGCUGUCUUGGCAAUGUUGUAGAGCUUAUGCCAAAAAUACAGCUCAGCCCUUUUUGCUCAGAUUCCAUGACUUUAUGCAGAGAAAACUUGACUUAAAACAAAACUUAGGCUAUGUUACUAGUAAUUUGCAACCUCAGGGAGUUUACUUGUCAUGUUUAUUUGCUUGGUUGAUUUCAGUAAGCAUAAAACUGGCAACUUAAGAAAUAAUGUUCGUGUCGCUAUAUUUAUCUUUUAAAUAAUGUUGACUCAAAUAUUUAUAAGGUGUUAGAAUUGAGGAACCAAUACAACCAUGUCCGAAUGAUUCAUCGUAGGAUCACUCCAUGAAUUUUACACCUUGAUCAAUAUGCUUGUGCGAAAUGAAGUGGAUUAUUCAAAACUAGAAUCAAAGGAUUUAUGACUAUCUCAUUCUUCAAACCAAAGAUUAUAUUGAAUUAGUAGUAGAUAAACACCAUAUUCUGAAAUAAGAUUAAAAUACUAAUAAAUCAUGCGAGAAAUGACAGCACAACUCGAUACAAGGAAAAAAGUUAACUGUACCAAGCUUGGGUAUAUAAUAUAACUCACCGAGAUAGAGUCACUUGAAGCCUCCAGGAAUGACAUCUGACAAAGUUCUAGUAGGUAUUCCUCAGCACGAUGUGUGGUCAGAACAAAUCUCAGAGCAAUCCACUUAUGAAUCAGUUCUCUCUUCUCUAUGAUGAAGCCUUUUGGGAAGGCAGAAAAGUAUACAAAGCAAGGUCUCAGAUAAUAUGGCAUGUGGUAGUAACUAAUCUUCAAGGAUGGUAAUAUUAAAGUAGAUGUUGUUCCAGUCGUUGGAUCGCAUUCGUCUUCCCACAGGUCACUCUUCAGUGUUUCUUCCUACUUGUGCAUCGGCAUAUCUAGCAGACGAUCCCCAAGAGACUUGACUGCCAAAGGCACUCCACCGCAUUUCUUUACUAUUUUCUCCCCCAUAUGUACCUUUGCCAUUUCAGAUUCUUUAAUUCCAUUUGGAAAUGCCUUAGCUUUGAACAGCUUCCAGCAGUCAUCGUACGGCAAGGCACCCAACUUGAAUGGCAACUCACGAUUCAGCCGCUUAGCAACCUGUUCACUUCGAGUGGUCACAAUUAUCUUUCUGCCUGGUGCGCCACCUUUCAACAUCGCUUCUAUCUUUUCCAAUUGUCCUGUGUUUUCUUCCCAUAAGUCAUCUAAAACAAUAAGAUACUUCUUUCCACGGAGGAUCAUCUCCACGCGCAUCUGCACGGAGGACAGGUCAUACUGGUUACUCUGUCCAUCUACUUGGGAGAUAAUUGAUCGACCAAUCUUUUCAUCGCUAAAACUUGUGGAGACAUAAACCCAAAUCUGGAUAUCAAAAUCUCUCUUAGUUGUAUUGUCGUCAAAAACCAUUUGGGCGAGAGGUGGUUUUACCCAGACCACCAAAGCCAUAUAUAGGGAUGAUGAUGUGUUUGCAAUCUUCUUGCAGCAACUUCAUCAACUCUACCUUGUCCUUGUCCCUCCCAAGUAUACCUUCUACAAGGCAAGGGCCUGUAGCCCUUGUCUGGAUCACGUCCUGGUCGUCAGAGCUUGUGUCCACCAUCAAGUCGAACUGCCUCAGCUUUUCUAUGUCGUCCAAUCUUUGCUUCAUGGCCUUCAACUUGCUAGGCAUGUUUAGCCGCAACUUCAGAGGAAUGGAGAUCUCCUGCAAAUCCAUGUCGUGAAUUAGAAAAGGGACGAGAAAUGGAAAUGGACAUAUCGACAUCAAACACACUCGAGACCUACCGUUGUAGAUUUGUUAUUCUGAGAGCCAUCUUUAUUACUCAGGAUAUCACCUUCCAAUUCCAAUAAUAAUGUCCUCCAUGUCAUAGGCUGCUGCCUUUAGCUUCCUCAUCCAGACGCAGACGUCACCAUCUUUCAUCAGCCGCUUCUCCGCCCUAACCAUGCUAUUUUGGAUGGUAUCCACAGUAUCCUUGAGGCCUUUGAGCUCAUCACCUAGCUUCAGCUGCGAGGCGAUCGCCUCCCAGAUGGCACUACCUAGCAUGCCGCCGACCUUCUUCAAUGCGGCCGAGGCAAGAAACUCCCCUACCCCCACCAUGUGGCUGAAGGGGACGCCAAUCACACAGUGUGAUGAGUGCUUGACGUCAGGCCGGGUGAGGAACAGUCCCAAGAGAAAACUGGAGAAGACACAGCGAGAAAUUGUCAGAGUCUCUCUGUUUUUGACCUGAAAAUCACAACCCUUGCAGCAAACUCUGUAUCAAGGACAGGCAGGAAAUAUUUACAAGCAAGGAGGAAAAGGGCAAAUAUUUCAGUCAGAAUUGAGACAAAUAAUAGCACCCAAGGUGCGCUUUAGAUCGCACUCUGUUUCAAUUAAACUGACUCGAGAUGGAAACCCCAAUUCGGAUGCGAGGUGGAAGGAAAGAAAGGUGAUUAGUUCUCAGCUUUUACCGUGAGGGUGGUGUGUUGUGUCCAGCACCCGAUGGGAUGGCAGGUAACUAAGGCCCCGUUUGGGAGGGCUUCAGCUUCGGCUUCUCUACUGGCCGAAGCUUGAGCCCUACCAAAUGACGAGAUGGCGAAAGGCUUCGGCGGAGAAGCUCCGCGAAUCGCUCUGACUGAAGCUGAUUGAGGGAGCGGGAGCUAAAAAAAAUUGGCUCCCCGCGGCUUCUCGCGUCGUUGGACACCCUUGUGCUUCGAUGGGGCCCGCGGGUGGAGGUGGCUGGCGGUGGGCGCAGACGAGGCAUGAGGAUGGCGGCGCGGGAGCAGAAGUGGCCGGCUGCGGACAAGCCGCGACAGAGGACGGCCCAGGACGACCGGCGGCGGUGGGCACGGGGCGGAGGACGUCCGGCGGCGGCGGGCGCGGGGCAGAGGUGGCCGGCGGCGCGCGCUGGGGCGUGGGCGCGUGAAAAGGGGAGGCGGGGGCGCUAGGGACGUAUCUCAGAUGGCAGCGGUGAGAUUCAGCCGGGAGAAGGAGGCCGGGUCAGAUCUUUCACCGGGUGAGAGAGGGGCGCGGCGGAUGGAACGGUCGGUGGUGGUGGAUGGAACGGCGCGUCAGUGGAUGGAACAACGCGUCAGGGUGCCUGGGAAUCAGGGGGUGAGGAGGUGACGAUAGGGUUCGGGGCGCGAUCGAUCCUACCUCAACGUAUGCGUAAGUAGAAGAAUGCAGUGGCGAGAAAUGCGUACGCGAUGGAGAGGGCUAGAUCCAGAAGUAGCAAGUUGCCGAUUCGUAGAAGCGGAAUAAUAAGCUAGUGAUGAAACAAUGCGUUAUUAGCUCGCGUUACGUUGUUUAGGUCCAGAGAGGAGCAGCAAACUCCAUAGCUUAUAGUUUUAAUUUCUCAUUGUUUAUUGCGGCCGGUCUUUUGACAGUCUAGGGACACAGUCGUCGUAGAUCUCGGGAGCCCUGGUGGAAAACAGAUCAGCUUGCGGUUGUUUAUGUAGAGUCUCUCGAGACAAGGCAUGCAUGGCUAUACUCCCACUCACCAAGCCCAAACAGUGCCAGCUCUACUAGUUUAGUUAAUAAUGUUUUAAGUGACUUUUGCCUUUGCAGAAUAGCCCAUUCUACUACGGAGAGGCGACGAACAAGCUGACCAUGUACGUAGCUGCCUGCUUGUCGUCGACCACCACCGCAGAUUCUUCUCUUGCCAUGCAUGUACUCAGCAAAGGAGCGGACCACAUCGUCGUGCAUCUCCAGUUAUCCAGUUGCUCAGGCAGUCCAGCUACUGACCAUGCAGGACUUGUCAAAACAACAUUCCACUCACGCUCGCCUUGCGUAUCUUGUGCUUAAGAGCCCUCCAAUCGCUUUAAUUGCAAGUGGUAAUUAUGCCUUCACACUUCUCAAGAAUUUCCAUCCCAACGUUUUUUAGGCGGUCAGUGCCGACUACCUGCCAACAGUUAAUUAUUUAUUGGAUUAUUAUUUCUGACUACAGUAAGGUCGUCGCGGCACUACUUGCUUAAGUACAUUUUCUUACGUUCCUGUUGUAAAAAACAAUUGGUCAUCAUUUUUUUCAUCCCUUGCACAAAGCAUGAACAGACGAUCCAAUUUCAAAUGGGCUUUACAAGGAUUUUGCAUAAACCGCCACAAAAGUUGUAACGAUCUUACGUAAAUCCUGCAUUCCAAAUGGGGCCUAAACAUUUCAUUUGGGACCUUGGAAUGCAGACUAGAUUGUGUUCCAGUAGCUUGUAUCGUCUUUCAUAAUCACGUUGCCUUUUGUUUUAAAAGCAACAAUUUCAACUAAUAAUGCCAUAAGAUCAAAUUUGUCUACUCCAUCUCAUUUCAAAUAUAAUUCAGUCGAGCUUGUGCACAAGAAUUCAUAAGGUAGGUGGUGAAGUGACACUACUUGCUUAAGUACAUUUUCGGGCAAAAAAGAUUUGGCUACGUUCCUGUUGUAAAAUAAAACAAUUGGUUCACCCUCAGCAUCAGUUCAACAAUGGCCGACUCAUCAAACUCGGACGUCAUCUUCUGUAUAGAACUUGAACUUGAACCCGGACUCAACAGUUAGCAUCCUCGGCUCCGGAUUGAACUUGAACUCGAACCUGUCUGCCUCCUUGUGGAUGCCAUCAAGCCUCUGGUUGACGUCCCUGAUGCUGCUGCCUAUCUCGUGGGCGAACACGGGUUACGCAGGCAGAAGAGCAAUCGCUGGAAGAAAUCCUGCAUCUUUUCUAUGCUCCUGCACGUGAGGGUGAAGAUGGGGUUCCGUAGGCACAUCAACCUGCACUCAUCAGCCUUGAGUUGGCACAGGUCUAGGAUGUCUGUGUGGCAUCGUACAUGGCGUCCUUGAGCUUCCUCACCCAUCUUUGCACACUCUUGUCAGUGACGCGCACCUCCUCUCUGCAUCCGCGAGGAAAGCUUUGAGGCAUCCGGGAUGGCGGCCAUGGCUCCAGAGUACGAUCUAGCUAGUACACAAUACAUGAUCCCUCCGUUUCAGUGGGAUGAGCUCAACCGGAUCUCAAAGGAAUAUACUAUAAGGGUUGGGAUUCAACUCACACUCCUUUGCAACCAGAUAUGGGUUGAAGCGGGUCGAACCCAUCCUAACCCACUUUGACUCCAGAACCAAACACAUGAAAAAAGAUUGCACGAGGAAAAAGAAGGAAAGAGAAAUCGGCGACUCGUAGCAGGGAUGACUGUACGUUGAUUUGGUUGGUUCGGAGCUAAUGUCUUAGAAGAAAUAUCUCUGUAGGAUAAAGGAGAGAAAGUAUUUUUAUUGUGUCACGGCAGGAAUAGAGCAUUCGUCUAACGCGUUUGUCGUUGUCAAGAUUAGCGGAUCAAGACUUAGACUAGUAAAUUUCUUUUAUGCGCGUAAGGCUUCGGAUGGUGGCGUGGGAGACACGGGGUUUAGACUGGUUCGGGCAAGGGAAUGCCCUACGUCCAGUAUCGGGAGCUGCUCGUGUUGCCCACGCGGGGUUCUGUAGUAGGGGUUACAGGAGUGCGAGAGAGGGAGCUGAUCCCAGGUCUCUUGGGUGUACACUGAUGCUCUAGGUGGGUAUGAGUGUGUUUUGUGGCUUGGAGAACCUCCUUUGUCUCAGGCCCCCGGUUCUCCUUUUAUAGCGCAAGGAGGCCACCAAGGUUACAGGCGAGACCGGGUGUAUGGAGAAGUAAAAGAAAUAAACAAAGCUAGGUAAAAUACAACACAAGGGGAGGGACCAAGUCCCCAGGCCACCGGCAUCCUCGCCGGCCUUCGGCUCCUGCCGGCGCGUCUGCCGGAGGAGGGCGGCCGCCGUCACGUCCCGUCGAUGGUCUCCUCGGCGGCUGUCGCCGCCAGGCGUGAUGAUGGUGUUUUGUUGUGGCACCUGUGUCCGUUGGGGCAUUAACGAGUCAAAGUUAAUGCCCUCUCACCGUGUUAUCUUGUCUAAGUUUAAUUACAUAGUCAUGAAAUUGAUUAGAUUUUGUUAACUUAAUUGGCUUGUAAGCGGUAGGCAAGAUGUCUUUGGUGAUUGUGCUCUAGUCUUUUAUGUUGAUAGAUUGAGGUUAAUUCCCUCUCAUUCGUGUUGCCUUGUCUAAGUUCAAUACACUUAUCAAGACAAUUAUUAAGAUCUAUUAAUGUAUCUAGGUUGCGUAUAGUCAGCAUCGGCUGGUCCUUGUUGUUAUGUUCUAAUCUUUUAACUUAGUAGAUUGAUGCCAAUACCCUCUCAUUCUUGUUACCUUGUAUGAGUUCAAUACACUUGUCAAGAUAUUGGCUAGAUCUGUUAGCUUAUCUGAUAAGCAUGUGGUUAACAAGGACUCCCCUUUAUGGUUGUUGCGUUACAAUGCUUUGUCUUAGCGCGUCGGCUGAGAUAGCCGAUGGCACAUGCCAUUAAUGUUUUAUUUAUUUACACUGCAUGCUUACAUUAAAUAUCUAUCUGUCAUAGUGUUUAUUCCAAGAAUGCCUACCCAUGAGUUCGAAAGGCUUCGUCGCCGAUCGGCAAUGUUUACCUUGUCAAUUUUCAGGUCAAAUUGACUGACAGGCCUUGCACCAUUCGCGAGCUGAUUUGGAGCCUGCACUGGAGGUAAGCAGAUCUCCCAGAUCAUCCGUGUUGUUCAACGCAGAAGCCUGAAGUCCGGAUUUUGCAUCAACAGGUAUAGAGAAACAAAAGGAUCUAAGGAAAUAAAACAAAAGAAAAUUAAAGGGUAUUGAGCUACGCAGACAUAGCCAGAAUCAAAGAGGGUUUGGCUCUGAGCAACAGUAAGGAGAAUUCAGACAUAAAUUUUCUUUUACAAGCUUCGAUUAUAGGAUCAAUGUUACUGAAAAUCCGUUCGUUUCUAGUGGACCAUAUGCUCCAUAACAUUAAAAUGAUGACCUCCAUGAAGAACUGGACUUGAAGCUUGUCUUUGAUGAGCUUGAAAAUUUGAAGGAGGGGCCUUGUUGUUAUGACUGACACCCCUAUAGAGGCCCGUCAAGCCUUGGUAAAGUUACAUCUUAAGAACAUAUGGGCAACCAUUUCUAGCUUUUGAAGGAUUCACAAGUCACAAGUAUAAGAGUCUAGGAUCAUGUUUUUUCAUCUAAGAAACUCUCUUGUGCUUAAACGGUCCUUGAGACUAACCAGAAGAAUACCUCGUGUUUCAUUUGGCAUUUUGAACGUUUUGAUGUCCAAUGAUAACGGGAAGCGGCAAGACGGUGAUGUCUUGCAGUGUAGCAUUGUCAUUAGUUGACGGCCAAGAGCAGAAAAAAUUAUGAGAGAAGGAAUGAUAAUGAUUUAGCCAAGGUUGAGUGCCGAUGUGAUAUACAACAAGGGAGAACUAGGAAAUCGAUGUUUGUCAUGCACAUCCAUCCGUAGUAAGCUGAAUGAAGUGGUUGACUAGAGAGAAUGAUGUGCCCAGUAAGUGAUGCAUAUUCCAUGACCACGGUAUAGCUGGCAAAGAUCACAAAGGAGAACUCUAUCUUACUAUUACUAAUUGGAGGCUCCUUUUGAAGCCUCCAGGUGAAGCCACCUAGGAUUACUAGGUGGACACUCUAAAAAAAGAGAGAAAUCCUAGAAAUUCUCACAAAAAAGCAAAACAUCCAACCAUCAAUCUAUAGCUUCAAAUCAUCAUAGCCAUUGGAUCUAUUAUAUUUUCUAAAAAAUUACCCACCUAUGCCAUUAUGAAAAUAGUCUAAAGUAACCCCCUAAAUCUAUAUAUAAAUUACCCACCCCACCUCUGCCAUUAUAGAAAAUAAACUAAAGUAACCCCUAAUCUUAAUCAAAAUUACCCACUUAUGCCAUUGUAAAAAAUAUUUAAAAUAACCCCCUAAUUUGCGACUGAAUUGCCUACCACUAUUACUUAAAAAACUUAAAGUAACCCCUUAAAUUUGCAUCUAUAUUACCCACACAUGCUAUUAUUAAAAAUAACAUGAGGUAAUAACCCUACGUAAUGUACAACAAUAUAUGAUUCUAAAUUAUCUAUAUCUUGCACUAUUGGUAUACAAUAUAAUAAUUAAGAUCUAUACGUAUGAUGUGUGUCACCAUUUAUAAUUAAAGAUAUAAAAUGAUGGGAAUAUAGAUUUCUAUGCUAAAUUAAAGAUAUAAAGUGAUUGCAUAGAGUAAUUAUUAAUUAAAAAUUAAUCAAAACUGAAUAAAGAUAGGUACAUGUAUUAUGUUGAAGUAUUGAAAAAAUAAGAGAGUAGUAGGUAAACAAUUUUGAUCAUUAGCUAAGAGUUUAACUUCUAAAUAAUUUUCAAAUACAAUAGCUUCUAAAAAUAUUAGUCCGUGCGGGAGCACGGGUUGAUGGACUAGUAUGUAAAAUAAUAUGGGAACAUUUAUUUAUGGGGCUACAACCACCGGAUAUUGGUGAUCAAAGUAAAGAAAGGAGAUUGUCACACCCGGUUUUAAGGACAAAACCAAGUGCUACCUAUAUGUAUGCCAGGAUCAAGUUUCAUACAUAUAGUGACAUCAUAAGUGAAUAACAGCAACAGUAUCACGUAAAAAGAUACAAAUAAAGACUUACGAGACCAUCAGAGAUACACAGCUUAAAUACUGAAAACGGAGACUCCAAACUUCACAGGCAAUCGACUGGGGGUUGCGUACGCCUAGAACUCAGCAUCAUCUUCGGAACAUUUCACACACCUUCUUCUUCUGAGCAGCAGUAAGCAAGGGUGAGUACACUUAUGGUUGGUACUCAGCAAGGCCACAAGAAAUAACCAGAAUAACGAUUUGAGUCCAUCUUCAAGUUUAAUUAAUCAUGUGAGGGUCCAGGCCGCUCUUAACCGUGAGCACGGCUGAUCGAUCAGUUUUACACUCUGCAGAGGUGGCACAUCUUUACCCACAAGUCGCGUAAAAGUUCAAGGAACUUUGGACCCAACCAUGCGGUGCUAGCUAGGCACCAUACCACACUUCCGAGGUGUGAUUGCAUAGGGACGCUACGAGGCCUUUACAAAGAUUCGCUAGCAAUGUGGUAACCUGCUAAGGUUUCAGGUCGAAGCAGAACAUAGCAGUCCCCUAGUUGGUAUAGUGUCUUAGCAAAGCCCACUUCCCCCAAGAGCGAGUGCUAUAUCCCAUCAACGCCUCCCCUCUUGCCCUUUCGGUAAGAUCACCCCAGACUAGAGUUUCUAAUUAUUCAGCCAAGACCAGAGCCAUUUAGUCUUGUGGUAGCACUGUUUUCCUGGGUGGUUCUCCAUGUUCCGAUAACAUAAUCAUGAUAUUAUUAACAAAGCAUAGGUAGAAGGAUGGUUAGGGACACUUGCCUUUCUCCAACAGAAAGUUACUCUUACUGCUUUUCAGCUCUUGCUCUCUUGAAGCUCUUACUCUUCAAAACUUCCGAAUAGGGAUCCUUCUACUCAGAGCAAACAUCGGCACAAACAUGCAAGCAACAAACAAGUACAACUAAGAACAAUACACCAAAAUAAAAGGAAAGCUUUAAAAGAGCGUACUAAACGACAAGGCUCGAUCUAAGGUCACGCGAAUGUAAGGAACGCUUAAAACGGAACUAUGGUUGAAAAGAUAAAGCUAUCGAGCAUUUUAAAUUAUAAAAGAAAGAUGAGAGCUACAAGCUUCAUUUAUUUUAGUUGAGAAAAACAAUGUAAAGAUAUUUCACAGAAAUAUCCUUAGUUAGAAUUAAUCAAGUCAUAUUUAUAUUUUCAUAAGAAAAGACGGUGUAAAGCUUAGUCCAAUUUUAUUUAUAAAUAUUUAAGUAUAAUUUAUGCAAUUUAAACAUUUAAUAAAAAAAAUACAUGUAGACAUCUAAGCGUAUAGCUUUACAUUUCGACUUCAACUAAGUAGAUUAAAUUAAAAACAUAUUUAUAUUUAUAUUAGCCAAAUUAAUAUUUAAUUAUGAAAACUCGAGAUAUAACCUAUAUAUAUUUUAUUUAGAAAAAAAAUUAAAUAAACAUUAAUCAAAUUGAAUUUAAUUUAUGAAACACCAAGGUAUAACUCUAAGUGGCUUUUAAUUGAAAGAAUUAUUUGGACAGGCAUUAAUCAAUUUAAUAUAAAAUAUAUUUUCAAAAACAUGUGUGAAGGAAAACUUUACCACUAACGUGUAAUUUACAUCAUUAUGAAUCUAAUGCAACUUGAACGGACAAAAACGGAAUUAAAACGUAGAAUCUAUGGUUUAAACAAGGUUGUAGGGGUCUAAACAUAAUUAACCGUAUACUUGGAGGGUUAGCUGAGAAGAUUACCAAGACUCAGAGAAUAGUCACUGCGAAUAGAUGGAUCUUCGGGGUUAGAUCUGCAAAAGAGGAUGGCUUGGAUCAGAUUGCAAGGAACUGAAAGUUACAGGGGGUUUUCUACAAGGUUUGAAAGACACAAGAAAUAUGAACAAAAAUUAACAGAUUUUCCAGGGGCUAGAUCGAAAAGCAGCGCUUCAUCUUCUUCCUCACGCCAGGAGCAUGGUGCAGCUCCUGGCCGGCGGCCUGCCGGCGUUCUGGUGCGGCGGACGCCCGGGCGGGUGGUGCAGCGCGAUGCGCAGGGCAAGGAGGCGAUGGUGCGCGUGCAGGCAAUGGCACAAGCGAGCCGGAGGUGCUGGGCGAGCAGGAUGAACGGACCAGGCGUGCUGGCCCAAGUUGCGUACAGAAACACAGAAACAGGAGGGAAAGAGAGAAGGAGGGGGUAGCCGGAAACGAAAUCCGAUCUCGCGCAUGAACGGCAAAAUGGAACGAUAUUGAUGAGACGAACAAGAUGGUGUGCUCACCUUCGGCCAGAGACGAACAAUGGCGGCGGAAAAGCUCGCCGGAGUUGGGGAAGACGACGGAGCCGACAUCGGAUUCAUGCAAUUCACCACACCACGGCGUAGAGCUCGAAGAGAGGAACUCCAUGGUGGUGUCGGUUUUCGCCGGAAGUCCACGGUUUCGCCGGAAAAGCUCGCCGGAGUUUGACGAAGACCGAACUUUGACUUCACAUCUACGGAGUUAGGAGAUGCAACUCGUGAAAAGGUUUGCAGAUCUGAAAUCCUCGCGUCGAGACGAACGCGGUGAUAUAUAUAUAGGCCACACUCGGAAAAAGAUAUUUUCGAGUUGACUUUUUAUUUUCGGAAUUUCUGAUUUUAUUUAUCUGCGCGAAAACAAUUCCAGAAAUAGCUGGACUCGUUUUCUAAAGCGAGAAAAAUACCUAGAAAAUUCCGAAAAAUCUGAGAUAAAUCUCAGAGAUGGAUUGGGAUACAAAGAAUCCAAAUAAAAUACUUGGAGCUCGUGAAAAGGAUUCUAAAGCCUUCCAAAAAUUGGAUUUAGCUCUAGGAAAAGGAGAAUAAUUUUCAGAAAAAGAUGGAAAAAAUCCUCACAAGGGUCUGGGCAACGUCUAAACGCAUUUUUCAAACUUUUACACUCAAGAAACACCAAGAUGCAGUGACAUGAAUGCACAGACAUAGAACAACAUUAUUUAAUUUAGAAAAGCAAACAAUUAGUUUCCUAUACUAAAUUUCCUGUAAAGAAAAAUAAAUGUUGGGAAAAUUUUAAAAUGAUGAGAAAAUUAUUGUUUAUUUAUUCUUUUUAUUCACAUCCUGAAAUUUGGAAAUUUCAGGGUGUGACAGAGAUGAUUACUUCUGGUGCUAUACAUUGAAUCACUAACCUUAAUCAUGCAUUGUACCUCAAACUCUCAAGCAAAAAUUUACAUCACCAGCCAAAAUAAAUGUCAUAUUCAUGUUAAAUAUAUAUAUAUAUAUAUAUAUAUAUUAUUGUCAGUACGCACCAAAAAGUGUGUGUGUGUGUGUAAAAGGUACUCCCUUUUCUCUCCUAUCAUGUUCAAAAAAUACAGAAUAUAAUGAUGGAAAAAAGCAUAGACGACACUUUGGUCUGGGCCAUUAGGACAAAAACAAUUACAAGGAUAUGACUAAACAAAACUAUUUGCAUCCAUUUAUUUAUAAAUAAACAUCCAAAAGUAGGUUAAAAAAUAGUACCCACCCUAUUUGUGCGGGCCACAUUGCUAGUUUGACUCACAAGACUGAUCAUUUAUAGCAUGGGGAGAUGGAAAGGGAGAAGAACACAGCGCUUUUAUAUUCCCCAGCAUGCAGCUGGCAAGAUUGUGGAUGAGCAUGACCAUCACGAGCUGGUUAAUAGCCAUGGGAUCGACGACGAACCUGGUUCCUCCAGCCUCAAAAUGGGUUUUACGAUUUCUCCGGACCAUUUGGCAAGCUCGCUCUCCAAGUGUUGCUUGAGGCCGUCAUCAUAGGGACUGCUAAGCCAGACUUCCACCAGACCUUUUAUCUUCUGUAGGCCAGAGAACCGCAGUGCUGACACACACCUGCAGCGAAUCCUCAGCACCUUAAGAUAAAAGUCAUCGUGAAACGUUAUUGUAGCUGGCAACCUGGCGUCAUAAGAGAUCUCGAGGAAGGAUAAGAUGACAGGAUUUUGUCUACCAAAAUGGAGGUCAUGAAACUCUGACAAAAAAAGACGUGUAUUCUCCGGCCAACCAGGACUGUCAACGAGAUCUUGCUGCAACAUAAUCAUCUGUAAACUCAAUUUUGUGAGAUUCUUAAGCUUUUUGGUCCAUACUGGUAACUUGCUUACCAGCCCGUAUAACUUAAGACUCCGUAGGUUCACUAGAUGUUCGAAAGAGAUGCCGUCCAUGGUGCCAGCUUCAUCGUCCUCAUCGACCUGCAUUCUCAAUGACAACGAUUCCAGAUGGGCAAGACCUGAGAUGGCUGAAAAAAGCUUCCAGAUGUUGUCCCGGUUAAUGCCUGACACUCCAAGUUUGUGCAACUGAGUAAGCUUCUUGAGCUCCUCUAGAAUGGCGUCCCCUUUUCCAGUGCCAAUAUCAACGUCACCCAGCGUGUGCAAGUUAGAAAGUUUCCCAAUACCUCUGGGCACCUUCACGCAAUUAUGAGAGCCAUCGUCGAGAUGGUGGUAUCUGCUCAACUUGGACAACAAGCAGGACCCCAGCUGAGUAGCACAUGGCCAGCUCAUUGGCGUUGCGGUUAGUGAUGGGUUCUCUGCUGCUUCUGUAGCUUGAUGAUGCUUGGUGGUACCAGCACGAAUGUACUGCAGUUUCUCCAGCUUGAUGAUGCUCUCUGGUAGCUUCAUCACAGAUGUUUCCCUGAUAUCCAGAGUUUGGAGGUGCUUCAGAUCGCCCAGGGAAUCUGGCAGAUGAGUGAUUUCUCGGCACCUUCUCAGGGAAAGGAACUUCAAGCAGGGCAGCAGCUUCACCAUCUGCUCGACGUCACCAUUUGUUACACCUGAAGACACGUCCUCCAGAUCAAGCACACGGAGCAGCCUCAUCUUUUCAGAGAUGAAGAACGAUUUCCACUCACCAAACACUGUCAAAGAUCGCAGCCGGGAAAAGUCAAUGCUCUUAAACACAUUUCUGUCUCUGUCCCAGCUUCGAUCUAUGGCAAGGUGACGUCCCGUGCGAUGGAAGUUCUUUUCGCAAUGGCCCUCUAGUGCAAAGACAAGAUUAUCUUCCAUCGACUGUGAUAUGAUGUAUUCACGGAAGAAACCAUUAACUUGGCACAAUGGCAUCCUCUUGGAUUGCUGAACUGAUGCUGCUGUUGUUUCUGUUGUUCGUGGCACCUGGACCAUGCUUAGACUGACGAGCUUGGAAAAGGAUAUCUCCCCGUUUUUCUCUGCGGUGUUUUCUUUACUGUCUCUAGAGUAUCCCUCCGCGAUCCACCGUCUCACCAAACGCCUCCGCCGGAUCGUGUGGUUCAGAGGGAAGAUUGACAGGUAGAAUAUACAUGGCUUGAGGAUAUCUGGGCAGGAACGGAAGUAGGAAAGCAACCAGGCAAACAGAUCUUCUAGGCUUGGUUUGUCCUUCAACGCAGACACAAGGUUAUCUUUUCUGAGAAAAUCCCAAAAGAAAUUGCGUCGCGAUCAUCACCAGCUAUAGCGCAUAUAACUUUGGGAAGUCCACCACACUUGUGCAAGAUUUGCAUUUUGUCCUCGGUCCCUUGUCUCUGAAGGUUAUAUCUCUGAGAAACAUAUUGUCCAAAUGAUAUAUAUAUAUAUAUAUAUAUAUAUGAAUAAAUUUAUUUAUUACCAAAAAAAGAUAACCAUAACGAUGGCAUAAAAAAGAGUGUAAAAUUUCUCUUAAAAAAAAACCAAAAACAUCCCGCCCUGAGAUAUUAUGCAGCUACCAUGCAAAUUUGGCAUGUAUAGAUUACUGCAUACUACAAGGUCAGUCUUGAAUUGGAUUUUGAAAAUAGACUAUUUGCUGGAUUAGGUACAUUUGUUAGUUACACCUUCCAAUAAAAAUGGACUAUUAAUUUGACGCAAUACAUUUAUGAGACAAACCUUUUUCAAGAUAAAUGCUAAAGUUAACUGUUGAAUCUAGCCGUGCCCUACAAAUGCACGGGCCACCCCACUUGUUAUUUCUAAAUGAUAUAAGUUUGAUGCUGACAUUGUGCGUUUUUGUUGAUGUCUAAGCACAUGGACAACAUUGUAAGUAAUAUGAUUUAAUUAGGAUAAAUAAGCUGUGAUGUGGUCUAAGACGAAGAGGGAACAUAUGUUGUUAUGACAAGUAUCAAGUCGUUCUCCAGAGUCCAAAAAGUAAAAUAUGACCUUCAUUCCUACCUUGAUCCCAAAUAUCAGCCUAUUUCAAUUAUGUAUAAGAAUUUAGGUGGUCUACCCAUCACUUAUUGUUGCAAACAGUAAGGUAGUUGGAAUGUCUAUUUCAUUCAAUAAGCACAACUAUAUAGGGGCAAAAUAGGAAAGGGUGGGGUCAAAUAGAGCUGCCACGAUGUUUGCUGCUGGACAUGUAAAUAUGGCAUAUAUAAGAUGCCAUGCAAGAACGUUUAGUCUACAUGACAGUGACUAAACGAAGAGAGAGAGCAAAACUAUCUCUUCACCAAGAAAUGGAUUUGGCACAUGAUAUGAUGACCAGCACAAUUGACAAUGUUAUAUAAACAAUGCUCUACCAUUGUAUAUCUCGUCUAUGUGUCAUCAUUAAUUAGUAUAUAAUUGUUGAGAAACGAUGACAUAAUAAAAAAAUCUCAUUAUAUGAGCUAUUUAUAUUACUGUCUUUAUGUGACAUGACAAAAACUUUUAGAUGGUUGUUGUCUAACGGUUGUACAUGCCCUAAUUGUUGAGGUAAUAGAUAUGCUAGAUGGACUUCUAUUGGGGAUAAUAUAGUUCUCCAUUUUUAUUAAAGAUUUUCUUGGUUUAGAAAGUGCUUGCAUGAAGCUAACUAAACAAGGAAUUUUGUGCAUAAGAUGUUAAAUCUAAUUCAAAGAUGGAACUCAUUGGUAUACUGAAGGAAUUAUUAGAAUUGCGGAAUGCUUAUUGCGAGUAAACGGACCUCUGCGAUGAGUUCAAAGGCGCUGUCAACUCCGAGACCUUUGACAUUCCACACAUUCUUGCUGUUUGUUGCGCAGUAUUGUGCGACACAUUCUUCAUUGGUAAUGACAAAUAUAUCCAAGCCGAAUUUUUUGGUUCCUAGUUUCAAGGCAGCUUCUAUCAUGUCCCAUUCUUCUGUAGAUUGCAGACCGUCGAUAACAAUUGUGCAUCCAAAUUGUUCAUGUAGAUAUUCACGGCACUCUUGAAUUAGGUCUUUCAUCGUUGACAUCUGGCGGUCAUGGAGAUAUCCAGGAUUCAAAUCCAAAAGUAAGCGCCAUGACAAGUCCAUCAAAUCGAAUGGAUGGGAUACAUUCACCCAACCGAACUUGAUAUAAGGAUCUUCAAUCCGCAUCUCGUAGCAGAGAUGUUUGACAAGAAAUGAUUUGCCAACACCAGACAUCCCCCACACAGAGGACACAGGCCCAGUACGACGAGACCUGCGCAUAGAGAAACAAAGUAAAUCCGCCUCUUGGCCAACAAGUGGAUGUUUGUCCAGCCAUUCACGAGCAGUUUCCCGCAAGUCCGCCACGGUUUGCUCAACUUUUCCGGGCGCAUCCUGCAAAGAAUUGGAAAGAGCAUUGUCAAUUGGGUUUAUUUAUUGUGUCAAAAUUACAUCCUUGUAGAAGACAACAUACAUGCUCCGAGUGAAGUAAAAUGCAUCCAACAAAGACAAACAUACACGCGUGCAGUAUUAUGCUUUAUUUGUAGCAUCCAUGCAGCAAAAGGUUAAGAAGCAUGAAUCAGUUUUAUAUCACCUGGGCAAAAUGAUCUGAGUAUUCAAUAACACACUUUGACUAUCAAUAUAUAUCAUAUAUUAUAAUACUCAUGACCAUAAAAUUGGCAUCAUAUGAAAGUGCUUUCAAAUUGGAAUGAUAUGAUAAAAGUUUGUACGGUAUAAAAUUUACAAAUCCUUGAUAAUCCAUUGAUACCAUGUUGUAUAGUUAGAAAAUUUGAAUGUUGGAUCUUCGAAACACCCAGUGUUCGAUAGGCACAUCCUUCUAGAUAAACCAUUCUUUACUUUAGAGGUCAAAUCAAAAUGUUGGAUAAUUCUGCGAUCCACAAAUUAAUCACCUAUGUACAACCAUGCCAUAUACUACACGAUGCUAACCGCAAUUUGUGGUUGCCUGAACACUUGCGUCUCAGUCCCACAGACCAUCCGUUGCUUCCACAGUUUAACCUAGAGUAAUCACCGCCAUCCGCAGCUUGUUCAGUACCCCUUUCAUAGUUUUUUCUUUUGCGGAAUUCAUAGUUCUUCCUCGUGAUCCUAUAAUUUAACUGUUUUGAAUUUCUCAACCCCUAUGCAUCAACUAUUUACAAACGCAAAAUGAUGAAAAAUAAUAAUGGCAUAAUUGGCAUGUAAACUAAGUUUUGUAGAAUUACAUUAUGAAGCACAAGUCAGGAAUGUGAUAACAGUCAAAUACGUGCAUUGCAGACCACGUUGAUGCAAAAAUGUAAUGGAAGUAGAAGAGCGAGUAUAUCAUUUUAUUGGAAAUAAUUGAGCAUACCUCCUCGACAAGGGCAUAGACAGAGUGAUGAGCCGAGAUUUUUUCAAGCUCCAAUAGUCGGUGUGGAUGCCUGACACAAAGGCUUGCAACUUCAAACUGAUGCGUGCUGACGAUGAUGCAGCUGCCGUUCUUGUUGUCUGGCAGGUAAGCCCUUACCGCCUCCCAGUCAUCCAUGGUGGUCACGUCUUCAAGGACAACAAGGUAAUUUUGACGGCACAUUUGCUUCAUGAAUUCGUUGAUCAGAACGCCUUCUGUGGCCACCGUCAUCUUCACAACAAAAUCUACGGUAGCGCUUUCUUGUGGACUAUAGCUUCUGCAAAAUUGGGCCACCAAGCGCCUGAUAAAUUCCCGGGCAUUGAAAGGAUGCAUCAGCUUCACCCAGGCGCGGCAUCUGAAGUUGGUGCAGAUUUGUGUGUCUUCAUAGGCCUUCUUGAUGACGGACGCCAUCCCAACUGUUCCUAACAACGAGAUCACUUGAAGGGCAUGGUCACCUUUCCCGCUGAUCAACUUGACGAGUGCCACAGGUGGCCAGAUGGGCUCCCUGGCGGCUUCCCUCGCUGUGGCGGAACGAGGGAGGAUGUUUGAUGCUGUUGCGCUGGCCGCACCCUGCUGAUGCGUCUGCUCGGCAGGCUUGGAGCCAGGGUUACCGGUGUGGUUGUAGCGCAGGUUCCGCUGACCCAUGGCCUCGACCCUAGCCUUGAGUAGCUCUAUACCAGCGACAGCGUUGUCCAAGGCCACGGCCGGCGCCGCCGCUGGUACCCAGGAGGGGAGCAUGCGGCGCCACCAGCUCGAUUUGUUGUCCAGGUAGAGAAUGGAGUCAAUGCAGUCCUCCACGUCCAGGGCCAUGUCGCGGACCUGCCUCACGCAAGUCGUCGUCAUAUCGUCCGCGACACGAUCCUUGGCAACGUUGAGGAAGGAAUGCAUCAUCUCGAACUCGUCCGAGACAAGCAUAAGGUCACGCUGAACGCUCUUCUGCAGCUGCUUCUCCUCCUCAAUAGCGGACUUGGCAAUAUUCACCGUCUCCUUGACCGCCGACUUCGCCAAACCCAGCACAAGGUCCGCCAUUGCACUCCCGUUCACUCUUCGAUCUGUGUGAGGGGAGGUGGGUGGGUGGGUGGGUGGUGUACAAGAUAGAACCUGGUGACGAUGCUUGCAAAUAUAUAUUAUGCUUCAAAAUCAUGCAUGACAUCGGCUGCAAGACAGAAAAUUUGCACAUUAUAAAACAAGAGUGUCGCAGUAAAAGAAGCCAGUUAGAUUCCCUAAUUAAAUUAACAGUGGGCUUUCCCUUAUGGUCUUAUUUUUAGGGCUAAAAGUUGCUUAUUUGGAGGAACUAACCUCAAUCCUACCUGUUUGGUUCCAUGAGCAAAACAACAUUUAAUAAGGUGAAGAAUGAUUUGUUUACCUCUAAUCAUUGCGACGCGUGGGGGGAGAGAGAGGAAUCAGAUAGGCAUUGAAUGAGAGCAAUGGGUGUCCAGUGCACCUUUUAGUCCAAAUAAGCAACCCAAAAUUACCUUAUGGACUAAACUUUAAAAGCUAAACUUUAACUUAAAUAAGCAAGGAUGUUCGGCUCUUUAUUUGGUACUAUAAAAGGGACUAAAAUUUAAUCUCUAAAGUUUAGCAAGGGUACAGCCCCUUAAUCUUCGCCGGCCAAGCACUUAAAUUAAGCUAGGUCAGACAGCUGAUGCAUCGAACGCAGCAGCAGUGAAAAACAAAUAAAGGCCAGUGUGCUCUGUAAGAAAUAUAAACCAAUAAAAUACAUCUUGGCAGAAUGGGGUCAAGUGGGUCUAUAGUCUAUUCUUGUGGCAGUAAGCUGAUCCUUUAUAAUACCGCUGGAUCGGAUCUCGAUCUCCUUGAUUAGCGCUCCACUAGCCCACUAAUGCUUGUCUCGUACUCCAACCACCGAUACCCAGCCCAAAAACUAUGCAUCGGGGAUUCACUUAACUUUUUAUUAUUUCGAGGUCUAAUUAAUAACACUGUUUGGAUUACGUAUGGGUUGCCUGCUGCUGGUAAAUACAUCUAUUUAUCUUUCAGCAAAAGCAUGCCUGCUGGGAAAUAUUAGUUCUGAAAUCUGAGCGCAUACCAGCUGUCAGUUAACAUAUUGUCUGUCAGCAAAUCCCUGCCAGAGCUUACGAUAAGUGGUCCGUCAGCAGACGUCAUCCCCCAACGGAUAAAGUACCCCAUAUUGCCUUCUUCAAGUUUCAUGAUGAAUGCAAUUCUCACACCUUGAAAUUUUUGGAUCUCACGAGGUGAUUAGGAGGAAUAAUUAAACAAUCAUUUUCUCGUAAUUUUAAAAUUUUUCAACAUUUGUUUCUUGACAGAAAAUUUAGUGUAGGAAUAUAAUUGGUUGUGUUUCCUAAACUAAAUGAGGUUGUUCUAUGUGUGUGCAUUCAUGCCCAUGCAUCUUGGUGUUUAUUGAGUGCAAAGGUUUUAAAAUGCCUCUAGACGACGACAAGGUUCUUCUGAGAAUUUACCAGUUUUUUCUGGAAAUUAUUCUCAUUUUCCUAGAGCUAAAUUCUUUUCACGAGCUUCAGUUAUUUUAUUUAGACUCCUCGUGUCCCAAACUAUCUCUAGGAAUUUUUCUGGAAUUUUUAGGAUUUUCAGAGUAUUUUUUGUGGGUUUUAUUGAAUUAUCUGGAUUUUCCUUUAUACGGGAAAUUACUUCUGAAAAGAAAAAGAAAAGAAAACCUCAACCUACCCUUUUGGGUUAAGCCCGCACCCACAAGCUCUACCAUGGCCCAACUCUCCUUCCCACCCUCGGGCCUCAUUGGCUCAGCCCAGUCCAGGCCCGACCAGCCCAGCCAGGCCCAACCGGGACCAUCUGCUCUACAGCUCUCUCCCAAGCUGCACAGGCAAGCAACGCCACCACCAAACCUUUUUGGUGUGUGUGCCACGCCAGGCGCAACCACCGGCGCCCUAUCAAUAGCGAAGCCCGACCCCCGCACGCCACUGCCAUCCUCGCAAGCCACCCUGCCUCGCCUGUGCUGCACCGCCGCCUUGCAAGCCCGCCAGCCGAGUCGGGCACCGCCACCGACUUUCCACUCGAUUCACCAGCUCCGCUGCCCGCCGGACGAAGCCGGCCCCUUCUAGAGCUUCGGGACGUCGUACAACGGUAGAAGCACCAUCGGUGUAGCCUGGGAGGAUGAGCCACAGCGACGGCUGCGUUCUCUCACCGUAUUAACUCACGUACACGUAAGAUGAACUAGCUUUGCUGGCGGUAUACAGACGCCCUCGCAACCACCGUGUACGUGCCCUAAUCUGUCCUGAAAAUUCUAGAAUGCCUUAUAUUAGGAUAGAGGGACAGAGGUGGUACUCUUCAAAUAUCUAGCCCAAAAACCAUGUCAAGAACUUACAACAUGCCUAUAAAUACCCGACUCAAUUCAUUGCAUGCUGCGACACUCCUACCUUUUGCCUUUUUCUUAACAAAUCCUUGCAAUGUAAAUAUAAAUCAUAAGCAAAUCAAAUCAAUCGAAAUUUUUUAUAUAUCGUUUCUUUGUAAAUAGCCACACCAAGAACAAUGUCUUGUAGUCUGAACAGACGAAAAUGGUGGAUGCCUUGGCUUGCUCAGGUGGCUUCUCAAACUUGUAGUCUUAAUUGAUGAAAAUGGUAAUUGCUUUGACUUGCUCGGGUGUUUUUUUGAGCCCUGGCAACCUGCCAAUUGCCUCACCAAACAAGUUGAUAGCUAGAGUUGCCCAAGCUCAAAAAGAUUAUUGUUCUUUUCUCCUUCAAUAAUGAUUUUGCUCCCAUGUUUUGUGAAGCGCUUUCCACGAUUGUUUUCACAACAUGUUCCAUACUUAUAGCUCAAUGCAAUGCAAAAGCAUCCACAUAUUCCAAUAUUAAUUCACUGGUAUGUGGAAUAUCCAACACCUUCUUGGAUUCUAAAAAUUUUGUGCCCAAGUAUCAAUAUCAGGUGCAACAUUUUCGUGUCAGUUUACCUGUCCGCAUUGCUUCACAUAUCCGUACCUUGUCAAGAAAGGUCUAUUUUCCUGACAGAGAUUUCAUUACCGUCAGUGCAAUGUGACCUUCCACAAUAGCCUGUUGCCGCUUGGUGUCCAUUGUGCUGCCACGGACGGAGUGAUCCCUUUUACAGUUUCUUUCUUUUGUUUUCUGUGGAGGACUUGAGAAGAGUCCGGUUUUCUAGAGAAUACUUUGUGCAAAUGAACAGAAGUAAUGUUCCUCCCUUCUAUACGAAGUUCACGUUAGGUGAGUACUCGAUCAUGUUAUUAAUUUAAUACUAGAUACUCCUCGCUCCAUAUGGUUGCGUGAGUCCGCGAAACUUGCUGACAUUGGCUUCUAGAGCGAGGAAAUAUGUUAACAGGAAUGAGAAUAUAUAACAAGCAGCUCGUACAACUAAGUGCGCGCCUUAUCACCUAAUCACCUAGCCAAGCAUCUAAUCACGUGGGGUACCUUUUUUUAUUUGUCUCCUCUUUGAGUAUCCUAUGCUUGACUUGAACCUAGUCUUGCGUAACCAAUCCAUCUUCUCCCGGGUUACUUUACAAGUUUUGAACUGAAUCAACAUAAGGGGCCUCUCAUAUCAGAACCUCGCUUUGCUCCCUUUCGUUGUGUUCUCCCAGCUAGGAUCCCUCAACUGUUUUUCUCGGCCCCGAGGUUAGUACCUUUAAUCAAGAAGCUGGUGUUUUUUCUGUUCCACAAACAGUUAAACAUAUCUAUGUAUAUUUUGUAAUUAUGUCUAGUUGUAAUACAACUGUUUUGUUUGGAUAAAAGAUCUAGUUGUAACGAUAUGAGUUGUAGCAGCUUAAAUCUAUAUCUAAAAUCAUCAGAAAUGGACACUGGUUCGAGCACGCCAAGCCUGCUGAGUACAGUGCCGAAGGAUCUAUCAGCAGCAUUCCUGCGUGAUAUUACGGAUGGUUUUUCCACUGACAGAGAAAUAGGACAAGGGGCGUUUGGAACAGUUUAUAAGGUAUGUUUACGACCUUUUCUGCGUUUUUCAGAAACUGGUAGGCAUGCCAAUAUAUAGUAUAUGGACGGUUAAACAGGGAAUCCUCCCAGAAGGGGAUUGUAUUGCUGUGAAGAAGCUUGUGGAUGAGGACAUAUAUGACAAACAAUUUCAAAAUGAGAUUACGCAUCUUAUGAAUGUCUGUCAUGAAAAUAUUGUGAGGAUAGUUGGCUUCUGCCAAGAACGUGAAAAGAAAGUUGUGGAGCAUAAUCGAAGAUAUAUUAUUGUAGACUCAGUUGAAAGAUUUAUCUGCUAUGAGUAUUUACCAAAUGGGAGCAUUGAUAAGUGUAUAUUUGGUACGGUAAUUUUUUAUCUUUUCUUUCUUUCUUCACUCAUACUUUUUAAUUUGGAGUGUGGAUAUCAAUUGUUAUAUAUUACUUCAGUUUCCUGCACUAAAAUAUUAUUCUCUCCAUCCCAAAUUACUAUUGCUUUUGUUUUUUCUAGAUAUAUAGUUUUUAUAUGCACCUAGAUAUAUAUUAUCUCUAGGUACAUAGAAAAUGUUAUGUAUCUAGAAAAGUCAAAAUGAAUAGUAAUUUGGGACGGAGGGAGUAUGAUGGAACUGAUUAUGGUUCAGGCUAUGAACAUACGCUUUCUAGUCACUAUGUUAUGAAAAUUGAUGUUUUGGAGGUCCUUAUACCAGAUUACUCAUAGAGGAUCUAUCCUUUUUUCUUUCUUCAGAUGAUACACUUAAUUGGGCUACACGCUUCAAAAUUAUUAAGGGGAUCUGCCAAGGUUUACAUUUCCUACAUGAGGGAAUGGAAACACCUACAAUUCAUAUGUCUCUUCAGCCUGCCAAUGUAUUGUUGGAUGAUAGAAAGGUGCCUAAAAUUACAGAUUUUGGUUCGUCGAGAGUCUUUGGUCGUGCUGAUAAAUCAAUGAUGAUCACACAAAACCCUGUGGGAGUAAUGUAAGUUUAAUUCAGAUAGUGCAAUAAGAGUACUUUCCCAUCAAGUAACAAUGCUUACGAAACUCUUGUUGGUAAUGUCAUUCAGUGGAUACAUGGCUCCAGAAUAUCUUUAUAGAGGUGAAAUCUCAACCCAAGCAGACAUAUAUAGCCUAGGCUUAAUGAUAAUCGAGAUCACAACUAGGAAGAAGAAUUAUUCAGACGAUCGAGACAAGUCUGCCCAGAGAUUUAUUGAUGAAGUAAGGCAGUGUUGAUGAUUAGUUGAUUACAAAAUAAUUUUCAUAGAAGCAUGUGUUACAUUUAUUUCGUGUAUCCGUUUUUACAAAAGAUAUAUUUUUAUUUUUAUUUCGUGGUUUAUUAGUGAGUAUUAUGAGUUGAGUUAUGUAGGUGCGCCAGACAUGGACGGAUGAUGUGUACAUUUUAUCCAAAUACUCCCAAUUGGAUGCAGGCUUACUGCAAGAAGUAAAGGCAUGCAUUCAAACUGGGCUUAAGUGUGUGGAUAUUGAUCGCAAGAGAAGACCUUCCAUAUCUGAAAUUGUUAGACUGCUCAAUGCUGCAUGGUAAACGGUGGACGAGGUAUGACUAGGAAUAGCAUACAUUCCCUCUGGUCUUUGCACAUACUUACCAAAUUUUACUUUGCACAUAUAUAUUUAAAGUCCUUAAUAUUUAUGGGAUUUUGCAAGUGUUGCUCAAUACAAUUCCACAAAUACAACUUGCAUGCUUUCAAACUUAAUAAUGUAAAAGUUAUUGAUGUUUUUAAUUUUUAAUCUUUGACAAAACCUUGUCCUAAACAACAUGUUUUUUAUGACUGGAGUUACGGGGUGUUUGGAUACGAGGUGUUAAACUUUAACAGUGUCACAUCGGAUGUUCGGAUACUAAUUAAGAGAACUAAACAUGAGCUAAUUAUAAAACUAAUUGCAGAACCCUGUGCUAAUUCGCGAGACGAAUCUAUUAAGCCUAAUUAAUCCAUCAUUAGCAAAUGGUUACUGUAGCACCACAUUAUCAAAUCAUGGACUAAUUAGGCUUAAUAGAUUCAUCUCGCGAAUUACACUCUAUCUGUGCAAUUAGUUUUGUAAUUAGCCUAUAUUUAAUACUCCUAAUUAGCAUCUAAACAUCCGAUGUGACGGGUGUUAAACUUUAACACCUGGUUCCAAAUAGGCCCUUAGUAUAUGAUCACUAAUAGUUUUCUUAGUUUUUUGAGAGGAGAGGAGUUUUCAUAGUUUUACAUGCAACAACUACAUAUGAUCACUAUUAGUGGAAUCUUGUACUUCUAUAUAUGGCAAACUGAUCAGGUGAUCUUAACAUGCUAUCUCAAACUACAGGUCUACAUAUAUACCGUGUUCGCAUCAUGAAUAAAAGUUGUCAUUGUGGAGAAGACAUGGCCAAGAUGAAAUAAAGCAUGCUCUAUUAUUUCUAGAAGACCUGAACUUUUCUAUCACAACUAAGAUUCCUUUGAUGUAAUUUCAUUGUGGAAGCUACAUUUACUCCUCUUUUGGAGAUUGACACUCCAAAAGUGAUUUUCGAAGACACCCCAUUUACGGCACAGGUGGUCCACAAGGGAAUACGCUAGGGUCCUCAGUCAUGGAAAGCCUAUAGAAAUGAGUUUCCAGAGAAUGUUGGUUCAGCCGAUCAUGUCUGAAAAAGGUUGCUGACUUAAGUGACUGCGUUAGGAAAUCCCCAUUACUAGACGUAGACACUUAAGCUGAUGGACUAGAAAUUGAUUUCAAGAGAUGGUUCCUCAAUUUGGGCUGCCUCUAGAAACUGUUUUCCACAAGAGGCAAAAGAAAAGGUCAUCCCAUUUCCGUUAUCAAUAGGUUUGUGGUGGGAUGGCAAGGGGGGAUGUUGUUGUGGGUUUAAAGGUUGACACCCCCCCCCACACACACACACACAUUUCACGCAAAAAAUUGCAUGUGUGGUGCAGCUCAAUGGUUUUUACAAAUCUUUUUGUAGUUUUUCCAUGCCCAAUGUUAUCGUAGACAGACCGACAUAACCAAUGUCAUGUGGAAAUGCAUUUUUAGAGGUAAUUAAUUCCAGAGGUAGUGAACUUAGGGAACUUCCUCUAAAAAUGUCUUUUCUUAAUACGAUUGAUUGUCCACCUAUGAAAAUGCACCAUUUCCAUAUGCGAUGUCACACCUGGUUUUAAAAAUAAAUCAAAUGUACACCAUAUGUGUGCCAGGAUCAAGUUUCAAACAUACAACAAGCCAAUAGUGAAUAACAGAUACAGUAUCAUGUACUAACGAGUUCAACUAAUACAAAGUGACAUAAAUCUCUAAACAAAAUAAACAUACAAACGUCUCCUAGCAGCGGAUUACCAUUCUCCAUAGGCAUUCAACUGGGGGAACAUACGCCUAGCACUUAUGGAAAUCUUCUAAUACUAACAUCCUCUUGUUCUGAGCAGCAUUCAUUGUGUGGUACAAAUAUAUGUAGGAAAUAGCAAGUGUGAGUACAUGCCGUACUCCCACUACUACAGAAGAGGCCAUCACCGCUGGGCUAUCACCACCAGUUAUAGAUGAAUCAUUUGUGAUGCCUUUUCACUGUCGGUUUUGGAGCAAAUGGGGGCAGCAGCCUUUACAACCGGCGGUGGUGCUCGUUUUCAUUGCCGGUUCCUUAUUGAGCCGCUAGUUUCAAGCAAGAGCCAGCAGCGAUACUCGAUGCGAACCUGAAAUUUUUCUUCAACCCAAUUUAGAAAACGACUUUGCGUCCACUUGCCUCCCUCUCCCCACUCCUCCCCUCCCCCACCCUCUCUCCACCCCCUCCCUCUCUCCCUCUCACCCCAGCCCUCUAUCCCACUCUCCGCGGGCCCCCUCCCUCCCUUCCUCUCCCGCCGGCCCUCCCCUUCUCUCCCUCUCCGUUCGCCGCCCCUCCGCUUGCUUCCGCACCCCCCCCUUUCCCCCUCCACUCGCUACCCCCUCGGCCUGGCAUAGAGGAGCGCUGGCAGCGUGCAGGGAUCCGCAGCGGCAUGGCAGGAUCCGCGGCUGGCAGUAGGGAUCCACAAUGCAGCGAGGCUCCAGUGACAUCAAGAUGUGCGGGGUAAGCAGCGGCAGUGACAAGGCCGGGUCAACGGUGGCGGCUGCAGCGUGAGUAGCAGCAGCGAUGCUACCUAGGGGCCCACGGUGGGCGCGGUGCGAUGGCGGUGGGGACGCCAGGUAUAUUUCUUCUUUUUUUUGUGAUGUGCAUCACCGUCAGUUCCUGGUUUAGCGGUGAUAGGGACUCCUAUCACCGCCGACCUAAUAAUGUCCUCACUCAAAAUGAGGGUUGCCUAUAUCAUAUUGAGAUAUGAGAUACAUCCCCCUAAUGCUGUUCUAUGGACAUUCUUGAGGCACUGACUCUGGAGCCAAAAAAAAGGUUUAGUCAACGAGCACAAAAGUUUCAUACUAGAACCACUAGACCUAUGCUAGUCAAUUCACUGUGCUAAGGGCACAUGCAAGAGCUACAACCACCCUAUGCCCAUUGAUCACAAUUAAUUUGAAAGGAUGUUUAUGGAUGCUUUUGUUUACCAUAAGUGUAAUAAAUCUUGUAGUCAUUUUCGGCACAAGUCUUGCAGCUAGCCAAUAUAAUCCAAGUUUUUGGUACCCUAUAAUCCAAGAUAAGAUAUAAUCUCCUACUGUUUUCAAAUCUCAGAAUCUUUUGCAGUAAUCUCCUACUGUUUUCAAAAAGUGGUAUGUCAAUCGUAACAGGAUUAGACAGAGGGAAGUACCGAAUGGUUGCUUGCAGAUGAGGUGAUUCUAACUUUAGACUUUGCAUGUAGACGGCGUGGAGGAUAUGAAUAGUUGCAUGCAGAUGAGAUGGUGCUGACAUUAGCCUUUGCAUGUAGAUGGCGUGGACGAUUUGAGGUAAAUGACACAAGAACACACACCAUAUAUAUAGUGGCAUUGUUGGACCUUGUUUAGUUACCCCAAAAUCCCAACUUUGGCACUAUGCAAAAAUAAGAUUCCCCAUCACAUCAAACUUGCGGUACAUGCAUGGAGUACUAAAUGUAGACGAAAUAAAAAACUAAUUGCACAGUUUUGUUGUACUUUGCGAGACGAAUCUUUUGAGCCUAAUUAGUCAAUAUUUGGACAAUAAUUCAUAAAUACAAACGAAACACUACAGUAUGCUACAGUGCUGGCACAGUGAUUUUGGUUGUCCAAAAUUGGGCAACUAAACAGGGCCUCGUUCUCUUCUCAUUAAUUGUUAAUAGAAGUUACUACAUGUACCUAGAACUCCUAAACUAGGUGUCCUAUCAUAUGAUUUGCAAUUAAUUCCAUUAAGCUUGAAGCAGGUGGAAAGGGCACUUGCAUCGAUAGGAGGCGCACGUGCACAGAGAGUCUGUUAUGUCUUUUAUCUUUUAAUGAAACUAGGUGGCGUUGGGGCUGCUGGCCUUUCCUCGCUGUUUAGCAUCCUGAGAACAUCCGGCAUGGUUGGCCGCUCCCUUGGAUUGUCUUGGGUGCACAACAGUCCGAUAUGUAUUCUUCUUUCCACUUCCUGUAGCUGUGACUCUCCACAAGAUGCAGAGUCAAAUAAAUCCUUCAGACUCUGAGCUUCCCGUACCUCCCAAGCCUGUGAAAAAGGUGUCAGUGUGUAUAACAAGGCAACAAGUAAAACCCAUUGUGUAACUGAAGUUCUUCAUGUGGUCAGCUAAGUUGCCAUUUUCUUCAGAUCCGUCUAACCAAUUUUGAUUAACGUGUUGGAUCAUUAACACACUAUUGCUUCUUGACUGCAUCAUUUUGGUCGAGAUUGGUCACUGACUAGUCCUAAGAUGAACAUCCACAAAUUCAAACAAUGAUGACCUAUAUGCUACGUUAUUGAGACUGCUAUUUCUUUGAUAAUCUUAUACUUGUCUGUAUUGAAAGAUCAUGUUGAUGUUUGGUGUAGUAAAAUUUGGAAAGGUAAGAGAACUUUUGAGAUUAUACGAGGCUACUACCCAAAGUAUGAGGUGGCACCCAAAUAGAACGACAUAUCCUUAAAAGGAACAACAUGACAUGAAGAGAUGAGCAAUUAUAAACCAAUCCAGUUUUUUAUGCUCAGAAAUUAUUGCUAGCGCUGACAGCGAGCAAGAUGCAGAAUUACCAAAUAAAGUAUGACCUACAAAAGGAUUCCUCUUUUUUUUGUGUCACAGCUGAUUACACUUUUUUCCCUUGUUGAAAAAAGUGGACAGUUUAAGGCCAAUAUCUCCACCGAAGUAUGGAUAUCAGAAUAGAUCGAAUAAUGAUGAAUGCAAAAAAGAGAAAACCUUUAUCUGAACAAGUUCCUUGUGAAGAUACCCAACCAAUGCCUGCCUAUAAAUGUUUUACGUACCCACUCAAUUGAAUGUUGGAGAAGUCCAGACCUGCUCAUUCCUCUAAUGGUAGAUAAGACUAAGAGGCCAAAACUGUAGACAUCAUUCUUGGCUGAGAUGACACCUUGAGCAAUAUAUUCUGGAGCCAUAUAUCCCCUAAAUGGUGAAAAAAUAAAUAAAUGGGUCAGCAGAAGGGGGGAAGCGACAAGAAGCUUGAUCGUGCAUGUCAUGGCAACAAAAAUACAGUAUAUAUGGAAAGUCGUCCUACAGGGUGCCUGCUAACUCUUCCGUGACUUCUUGAGUCACCUCUUGAUCAAAUAUUUUGCACAUUUCAAAAUCACAGAUUUUAGGGUUCAUAUUAGAGUCAAACAGGAUGUUUUCUGGCUUCAAAUCCAUAUGGAUAAUGUUUUUCCAGUGCAGAUGAGCUAUGCCUUGUGCCAUCCCUUGAAUUAUUUGGAAUAUGAUAGACCAAUCCAUCUGCGGACACUGUCCUGGAAAAUUAAAAAAUCAAACAUCCUAUAGAGUUAACAUUGUUAAGCUAAAUUUUGCUCCAAAUGAUAACUGGAGUCAUUCUUUAAGUGGAAACAUGCCUUCGAUAAUGUCGGACAAGUUUCCAUUCGGGGUGUACUCUUCGACCACUAUCAUACUAGUUAUUUCAGCCUCCACAUAGCGGCCCUUGUAUAGCAUCUUCUCGUAUGUGGUUUCCUGGCAAUAUCCGAGAAAGCAAACUAUAUUUUGGUGCUGACCCAGCAAUGCAAAGACAUUCACAUAAUGAUCUACAUCUCUUCGUAAGUGCCGAGCUGCACAAAAUCUCUUUAUGGCAACCAAUACGUCAGAUAUUACACCCUGGAUCAUAGGCAGCAAUUUUAAUCACGAAUGCAGUUAACGUGAUAUUAUAAUUUGAAUGCCUCAAACAUAAUUAAAAUACCAAGCAUAUGGAGUACCUUGUACACAGUAGCACUGCCACCUCUCCCAAUCAGGUUGUGUUCCGAGAAGUUAUUUGUAGCGGCCUUCAUCUCAGAUAAACUGAACAUUCUAAAUCCUGUCAUAAAAACAGGUACACAUACAGGCAUAAAUGAUGUUCUGCAAACACACACCAGCAAGAUCACUAUCACUAGUGAAUAAUAAAUAGCUCGAAUUCAAGAUCAAAGAGGCCGGUAAACAAAUAUGUGAUCUUACCUGAUUGGUUGAGAAAGUGCUCCAUACAGGCUGGAUCACUUUUUCUCUCACCAUCAGCUCCAAAUCUGUCAUCGUACAUUCGAUAAGCAAAAUGAGUGCCCUCCGAUCGAUGUAAUAAUACUGAAUGGAGGUAGACCAAUGGUGGUAGCAUAAUGGUAAGGUUUUAGAUGCUUCCUCCAUCCCAAUUGUAAAUCGUUUUGGCAUUUCACCUAGAAAUGCCAAAACGAUUUACAAUUUGCGACAAAGAGAGUAGUUUACCAGGGCUUUUAUGGAAAUAAAAGCUAAAAUUGCGCAAGUGCAUACUUUGAUGGUAUACAGACUUGCCAAGGGAAUUACAGUUUUUCGUAAUGGUGAUUAAUUUCUAUGUUGAACUCACUAAGUAUUACAACAUAUAAUUUACUAUGCUACAAUUGGAAUGGCACACUGUAAAUAUCAGACCUAGUAUCAUUGUUUGACGCACUGCUAGACGAGCUCUCCACUGCCCCUAGAUGGCCAGCAUCCUGAAAUAGAAAACCAAAUCCCUCAAGGUAUUAUUGAUGAAAUUUUUAUCCUAUCUUAUUAGUUGAAAUGGAAGAGCUAGGAAGUACCAAUUGAAUGAUACCCCUGAAAUAAAGAAACUAUCUAAAGGUUGCUGCGAAACAAAAGAAACUGUCCGUAUAUUGAUCUUGACGAGGUGAGGUGGGACACUUAAAUCUGUUAAUGCCGGACCCAACACCUGGGUCAACCGUGCUUGCGGUAGAGGCAUACAUUCUACAAAUAUGAUACGUACAGGUUGCAUCUGUCCAAUUUUUAUUCUUAACAAAAUGAGUCUAUCAACCCAAAGCUAAUGAAAAACAUGGAGAAGUUUCUCUAAAAUGGUGGAUAGAAUCGUAAGGAACAUUAUAUAUGGAAGUGACAAAAUUAAAAAUACGCUGUAAAGAUGUAGUACCUGUGUAAUCCAGUUUGCGGCCGCAAUUUGGUCCAUGAUAACCUGGUUUACCUGGCGCAACUCUUUGGUCAGGUAUCCAGUUGCACCCAGGUGAAUGUUGCGCGUCGACUGGCAGGCCCUGACAAGCUUCAGCGCCCGAUACAGGGUCUCCUCGAGGUUCUCAAGCGCCUGGAUCAUCGCCUGGUCCUUCACCAUCUCCAAAUUCUCCAUCUUUGACAGGAUAGCACUUAAUCUGCUUACGCGCCUUCCGAUCUCAUAACAAUCAGCCUUAUUCUUUCGAACGGUGUCGACCGCCUCCUUGAUCUGGAGCGCAACCUCGACAAUGUUCCUCACCCUGCCCAAUGCAUCGGACAUCCUCUCUCUAGGGGAUUAUAAUCUGCAGAUCGAAAGGAUAAGGGAGUCGUAUCGAAUCAGACGAACAAGCCUGAUGAACCAACUGGAACAAACAAAAAAAGCUCUUCGAUUUUCUUUCUCAAAGCAAUCAAAGCAAAUAAAGAAGCAAGCAUAAACCUGGCGUCUUCGGCCCUCCUUUACUAGCUGCGUCAGGGAUCUCUUCCUCCAAGCUAUGGUACGCCCGGAGCAUCCGGUGUUCGCCGGGAAUCAAGUCUGCUCGAUGGGCAAGCUUAUCUGAUAGGGACAUAAACAAUUCCGUGAAAAACAAAUAAAGGCCAGUGUGCUCUGUAAGAAAUAUAAACCAAUAAAAUACAUCUUGGCAGAAUGGGGUCAAGUGGGUCUAUAGUCUAUUCUUGUGGCAGCAAGCUGAUCCUUUAUAAUAACGCUGGAUCGGAUCUCGAUCUCCUUGAAUAGCGCUCCACUAACCCACUAAUGCUUGUCUCGUACUCCACCCACCGAUACCCAGCCCAAAAACUAUGCAUCGGGGAUUGACUUAACUUUUUGUUAUUUCGAGGUCUAAUUGAUAACACUGUUUGAAUUACGUAUGGGUUGCCUGCUGCUGGUAAAUACAUCUAUUUAUCCGUCAGCAAAAACAUGCCUGCUGGGAAAUAUUAGUUCUGACUUCUGAGCGCAUACCAGCUGUCAGUUAACAUAUUGUCUGUCAGCAAAUCCCUGCCAGGGCUUACGAUAAGUGGUCUGUCAGAAGACGUCAUCCCCCAACGGGUACAGUACGGCAUAUUACCUUCUUUGUGUUUCAUGAUGAAUGCACGGUUGUCACACCUUGAAAUUUUUGGAUCUCACGAUGUGAUUAGGAAGAAUAAUUAAACAAUGAUUUUUCUCAUAAUUUUAAAAUUUGCCAACAUUUGUUUUCUUGAUAGGAAAUUUAGUGUAGGAAAAUAAUUGGUUGUUUUUCCUAAACUAAAUGAGCUUGUUCUAUGUGUGUGCAUUCAUGCCCAUGCAUCUUGGUGUUUAUUGAGUGCAAAGGUUUUAAAAAUAUCUUUAGACGACGACCAGGUUCUUCUGAGAAUUUACCAAUUUUUUCUGGAAAUUAUUCUCAUUUUCCUAGAGCUAAAUCCUUUUCCCAAGCUCCAGUAAUUUUAUUUAGACUCCUCGUGUCCCAAACUAUCUCUAGGAAUUUUCCUGGAAUUUUUAGGAUUUUCAGAGUAUUUUUUGUGGGUUUUAUUGAAUUAUCUGGAUUUUUCUUUAUACGGGAAAUUACUUCUGAAAAUAAAAAGAAAAGAAAACCUCAACCUACCCUUUUGGGCUAAGCCCGCACCCAAAAGCUCUACCAUAGCCCAACUCUCCUUCCCUCCCUCGAGCCUCGCUAGCUCAGCCCAGUCCAGGCCCGACCAGCCAAGCCAGGCCCGAUUGGGACCAUAUGCUCUGCAGCUCUCUCCCAAGCUGCACAGGCAGGCAACGCCACCGCCACGCCCUUUUGGUGUGCGUGCCACGCCAGGCGCAGCCACCCGCGCCCUAUCAAUAGCGAAGCCCGACCCCCGCACGCCCCUGCCAUCCUCGCAAGCCACCCUGCCUCGCCUGUGCUGCGCCGCCACCUUGCAAACCCGCCAGCCGAGUCGGGCGCCGCCGCCAACUUUCCACUCGAUUCACCAGCUCCGCUGCCCGCCGGAUGAAACCGGCCCCUUCUAGAGCUUCGGGACGUCGUACAACGGUAGAAGCACCAUCGGUGUAGCCUGGGAGGAUGAGCCACAGCGACGGCUGCGUUCUCUCACCGUAUUAACUCACGUACACGUAAGAUGAACUAGCUUUGCUGGCGGUAUACAGACGCCCUCGCAACCACCGUGUACGUGCCCUAAUCUGUCCUGAAAAUUCUAGAAUGCCUUAUAUUAGGAUAGAGGGACAGAGGUGGUACUCUUCAAAUAUCUAGCCCAAAAACCAUGUCAAGAACUUACAACAUGCCUAUAAAUACCCGACUCAAUUCAUUGCAUGCUGCGACACUCCUACCUUUUGCCUUUUUCUUAACAAAUCCUUGCAAUGUAAAUAUAAAUCAUAAGCAAAUCAAAUCAAUCGAAAUUUUUUAUAUAUCGUUUCUUUGUAAAUAGCCACACCAAGAACAAUGUCUUGUAGUCUGAACAGACGAAAAUGGUGGAUGCCUUGGCUUGCUCAGGUGGCUUCUCAAACUUGUAGUCUUAAUUGAUGAAAAUGGUAAUUGCUUUGACUUGCUCGGGUGUUUUUUUGAGCCCUGGCAACCUGCCAAUUGCCUCACCAAACAAGUUGAUAGCUAGAGUUGCCCAAGCUCAAAAAGAUUAUUGUUCUUUUCUCCUUCAAUAAUGAUUUUGCUCCCAUGUUUUGUGAAGCGCUUUCCACGAUUGUUUUCACAACAUGUUCCAUACUUAUAGCUCAAUGCAAUGCAAAAGCAUCCACAUAUUCCAAUAUUAAUUCACUGGUAUGUGGAAUAUCCAACACCUUCUUGGAUUCUAAAAAUUUUGUGCCCAAGUAUCAAUAUCAGGUGCAACAUUUUCGUGUCAGUUUACCUGUCCGCAUUGCUUCACAUAUCCGUACCUUGUCAAGAAAGGUCUAUUUUCCUGACAGAGAUUUCAUUACCGUCAGUGCAAUGUGACCUUCCACAAUAGCCUGUUGCCGCUUGGUGUCCAUUGUGCUGCCACGGACGGAGUGAUCCCUUUUACAGUUUCUUUCUUUUGUUUUCUGUGGAGGACUUGAGAAGAGUCCGGUUUUCUAGAGAAUACUUUGUGCAAAUGAACAGAAGUAACGUUCCUCCCUUCUAUACGAAGUUCACGUUAGGUGAGUACUCGAUCAUGUUAUUAAUUUAAUACUAGAUACUCCUCGCUCCAUAUGGUUGCGUGAGUCCGCGAAACUUGCUGACAUUGGCUUCUAGAGCGAGGAAAUAUGUUAACAAGAAUGAGAAUAUAUAACAAGCAGCUCGUACAACUAAGUGCGCGCCUUAUCACCUAAUCACCUAGCCAAGCAUCUAAUCACGUGGGGCACCUUUUUUUAUUUGUCUCCUCUUUGAGUAUCCUAUGCUUGACUUGAACCUAGUCUUGCGUAACCAAUCCAUCUUCUCCCGGGUUACUUUACAAGUUUUGAACUGAAUCAACACAGGAAUUUUCGUGGAAUUUUUAGGAUUUUUUGAGUAUAUUCCGUGGCUUUAAUUGAAUUAUCUGGAUUUUUCUUUAUACAGGAAAUUACUUCUGAAAAUAAAAAAAAGAAAACCUAAACCUAACCUUUUGGGCCGAGCCCGCACCCGCGAGCCCAACCAUGGCCCAGCUCUCCUUCCCUCCCUCUAGCCUCGCUGGCUUUCCGCUCGAUUCACCGGCUCCGCUGCCCGCCGGACGAAACCGGCCCCUUCUGGAGCUUCGGGACGUCGCCCCGCACACCCGCCGCUACACCCUGUCGUCGUUUGGCCGCCGGAGGAGCCCCGCCCUGUGGAGCCCGAACUAGCCGCCGCCUCCACAGUCCGCCAUCGAUUCCGGCCGGUGCCGUCGUCCUCUACCGUCGGUGAGCACGCCCCCGUGACCCUCUCGACCUCCUCUAUCUCCUUCGCCACCCACCUAAGCCCCUACCUCUCAACCACCGGCGAUUUCAUCUCCCAGUGCGCCGUCCGCCAUGGCCAAAAGCUCCUCGAGCUUUUCCGUGGAGGCCCCUGAAGAAAUCUAUAAUUAUUCCAAGAUCUCUGUGUCUUGGAUCUUUUUUGAAAAGCCCCCUAGAUCUAUUAGGUUCCUUCAACCGAGCCCAAGCCGUGAUCUAUUUCAGAUCGAACCCUGCUCUUUAUCGUAUUCACGGGCACUAUGUGUCUCGGGAAUCUUCCUCGCUAGCCCUUGUUCUCUAGGGUUAAUCGCGAUUAGACCCCUGCAGCUUGAUUAGCUCGUAGAUCUUAUGUUUCAACUCCGUUUAACCUCUUUCUUGUUGCGUUAGAUUCAUAUCAAUUUAAAUUACGCAUUAGAAGCAAUGUUAAUCAUUUUAUCUAUUUUAUAAUUUACUUCAAAUAUUAAUAUGAUUAAGUACUUACAUACUUGUUUUUCUAAUUAAAAUACAAUAGAGUUUAACCCCGUGUUUUCAUGCUAAUGUUAAUUUGUUUAAUGCUUAUCUAAAUAAUUUUUCCAAUUAAUAGCUAACUAGAGUUAUACCUCGGUUUUCAUAGUCAAACUUAAAUUGAUUAAUGUUUAUUCAAUUUGCUUUCUAAACAAAAGUUGCAUAGGUUCUAUCUCGAGUUUUCGUAAUUAAAUGUUAAUUUGGUUAAAUAUAAAUAUAAAUAUAAAUGUGUUUCUGAAUUAUAAUUUGUCUAGUUCAACACGAAUCAUAAAGUUAUGCGCUUAGAUCUUCCCACCUAAGUUAUUUUCCAAAUAAAUGUUUAACUAGUAUAAUUUAUACAUGAACAUUUAUAAAUAAAACUUGAGUAGGAUUUACCUCGGUUUUUGCCAAUAGAGUAAAAUUUGCAUUAUUUCUAAAUUAGGGUAUUUUCUUUCCAAAAUAUCCUUUAGAUAUGUUUUGCUAAUUAAAAUAAAUCCAGCAUAUAGCCUUGUGUGCUCUCAUAAUUGUUUGAUAGCCGUCUUUGUUAGCUUUAGCUUUGUAUCUCUUUUGUAGAUCUAGUCUUCUGUAAAGCUUUAGAUCUUUGUAGUUCCAGAUCAAGCUCACACUCAGUUUCUUUCACAAAUCUAGCCAAGCCUUUCCUUUUCAAGCACGGUUUGUGUGCUUUAGUGAUCCAAAUAGUUUAUCUUAGAGUUUUUGUUCUGCCUAAUAGUUUUGGUCUUCAUGAGUAGUUUGGUGCUGCUCAUUUCCCUAGCUAGUAUAUUUUUUAUCAUGCUUGUUUCCUGUUCCUCUUAGAAACCUGUUUAUCAAAAGCUAGCUCAUAAUUACUAUGUCCUAGUUGUCUCUUUGUGAGUCAGCUAUGUUCGUUAUGGCCAAACCUUUCGCAGCCAUCUCUUUAGAGCUAAUCUUGUUAGUUGUGUCUCUAUCGACCAGUUCAGUUUAGCUUUGACUAGUUUGUUAUCUUUGCAACCUAGUUGCUCUCUUUGUAGACUAGUUUUCCCUAAACCAUAGUUUAAGGUUUUCUUCUGCGCUCUAAAGUCUGAUUUUGAUGUUCUUGUUCACUUAACCAUAACUUAUGCGAUAGCAAUGUGUAUUGCCUGUUGCUUGUCUUUAAAAUCAAAAUUGAAUGUCAAUUUGACUAAUACUUAUUAAACCAGUUUUCUAAUUAAAAGUUUACUAGUUAUACAAUAUGGGAUUUCAUAUAAAAUUUUAAACUUUACUAAUUCUUAUUCAAUUAGUUUUCUACAUAAAAAUUUAUUAGGUUCUAUCCCGGAUUUCAUAAACUAAGAUUUAAUUAAUUAAUUCCUAUUUAUAACUAGCUUUUCUAAAUAAAAUAUACCUAGUGUCAUACAUCAUUUUCCAUGAAUGAAGUUAAUAUGCUUAAUGGUAUUAUAAACACCUUUUUCACAUUAAUAUGUUUAGCUGAACACAAAAUACAAAGUUAUUCGAUUAGAUGUCUUAUACAUGCUCUGUGUUUCUAAAGUUAACUGUUAAAUUGGUGUAACUUGUACUUCAAUAUUUACAAAUAAAAUAUGAUUAAAUUUAUCACGUUUUCAAUGUUCAAAUAUACCUUCUGUUAAUUCCAACUAAGGAUAUUUCUCUAAAAUAUCUACGCAUUGUUUUUUAUUAAAAUCUAAAGUUAACUGUUAAAUUGGUGUAACUUGUACUUCAAUAUUUACAAAUAAAAUAUGAUUAAAUUUAUCACAUUUUCGAUGUUCAAAUAUACCUUCUGUUAAUUCCAACUAAGGAUAUUUCUCUAAAAUAUCUACGCAUUGUUUUUUAUUAAAAUAUAUCAAGCAUAUAGUCUUUUUAUUUCUUUGAUAAUUCAAACCUCUCGAUAGCUUUGUCUUUUCAUCCAUAGUUUCAUUUUCAGCAUUUUUUCUACGUUGCGAUCUUAGAAUCAAGCCCUAUCCUUUGGUAUGAUCUUUUAAAGCUUUUCUUUUGAUUGGUGUACUGUUCUUAGUUGUGCUUGUUUGUUUGCUCUGUAUGGUUGUGCCGAUGAUUGUUUUGAGUAGAAGGAUUGCUAUUCGAAAGCUUUGAAGAUUAAGAGUUUCAAGAGAGCAAGAGCUGAAGAGCAGUAAGAGUAAUUUUUCAUUGGAGAAAGGCAAGUGUCCCCAACCUUCCUUCUAUCUAUGAUUAUUUAAAUACCAUGCAUGCAUUAAUUGGAACAUUGAGCGACCACCCAAGAAAACAAUGCAACCACAAGAACUACAUGGCUCUAGUCUUGGCUAAUUAAUUAGAUACUCUUGUUUGAAGCGGUCUUACCGAAAGGGCAAGAGGGGUGACGGCAGAUGGGGUAUAACCCAACCCUCAGACCGAUAUGCUCAAUGGUAGCUUCGCAGUCUUGAGAGAGGUUUACGCUCUGCUACUUAUCCGGAAACCUUAGCUGGCUACAUCUUAUUAGGGAAUCUUUGUAGAGGUCUUAUAGCUUCCCUAUGCAGUCACAUCUCGGUAGUGUGAUGAGUGCUUGAUUAGCACAGUAUGGUUGGGUCUAAAGUUUUUCUGAACUUCUACGCAACUUGUGGUGAAAAUGUACAACUUCUGCAGAGUGUUAUAUCAACUGUGCUCACAGUCAAGAGUGGCCUGAACCCUCACAUGAUUAAUAAACUUGAAGAUAUACUUAAAUCAUUAUUUUGGUUAUUUUUUGUGUUCUUGCUGAGUAGCAACCAUAAGUGUACUCACCCUUGCUAACCGCUGCUCAGAAUAAGGUGUCUGAAGUUAUUGAAGAUGAUGCUAGGCGUACGCAGCCCCAAUUGAUUGCUUGUGAAGUCUGAAGUCUUUGUUUUCAGGAUUAAGCUGUAUAUCUCUGAUAGACUCGUAAAUUUUUAUUUAUAUUCCUUUACGUGAUACUGUUACUGUUAUUCACUGAUAAUGUCACUAUAUGUAUGAUACUUGAUUAUGGGAUACAUAGGUAGCACUUGGUUUUGUUUUAAAAUCUGGUGUGACAUCGGUUCACAUCAAGCGUGACGAUAAGAAUUUAUAUAAAUGUUGCCCAACCACCCGAAUAUCAUAAAUUGAAGGUAUGUUUGAUUUUUUUACCAUACUUACCUGUGGCUAAACUCCAAAUGCUAGUUUUAGAAUAGUCGUAAUGGAAUUGCCAAGGGCGAGAGAAGAAUUGUUACUGUUGUGCCAUAACCCACAUUGGCUUAUGUGUCUAGACAGCUUAGAUGUCCAGCGUGGCCUAGCGCAUUUUAUGUAAACAUUUACAGGUGCACUGCUGCUGAUUUUAUGUAAUUAUUAAACCUAAUGCAGUUUCAUCAUGGCAAGAUGCAUUAAAGAAAGAAAGGGAAAGACAAAAUGAAAUACACCAAAGAGUUCAGUUCCAGCUGAAAACGUGUCUGCCCCAAGCGAGCUCCUAUACAUCUUCUGUGUUGAUUGCACAGCCCAUAAGGCCCAGCAAUUUACAGCCCAAGCAGCAAUAAUACACAUGCGCCGCAGGCCCCAAUACGAAUAUGUAAGUAUGGGGAAAAAAAAAGAUACGUACCACCUAAGCAGCAUGCCACGGCAGGCCCCAUCAGCCACCAGCCGAAGAUACGUGUUGCUUUACUAUUUUUAUUCAUAUUCCAUUCUACAGUAAUCCUCCUAAUACUAUAUUCAACAUUUUGUGCGAAUUGAUUCAAACAUUCAAAAUAACUAGUUAAACAUUUUGAUAAAACGAAUGCAAAAUUUUCUUAAAAUGUUGAAAUAGUAUAUUAAAAAUGUUGAAUAAAAUGUUGGAAUAGUGUAUUAAAUUUCAACAUUUUUUAUAAAUGCAAAUUCAACAUUUUUAAUAAAAUAUUGAAAUAGCGUAUUAAAAAUGUUGAAAUAGAAUUUAUGAUCUAAUAUAUUCAAAUAAUAAACUAAUAUAGUUAACAUUUUAAAUAAUAGAUUCAUCAUUUCUUUGCAUACUUAACUGUUGGGUAGUUCAUCAAAAAUUUUGAAUUUUAAAAAUUAGCAAAGAUAUAUUCGGAUAUCAUUAUGUUCGAUUAAUUCUCAAUAAUGUAGUGGUUUAAACGAUUAAAAAGGGUUCCCAGUUUGGGAGAAAAAUGCAUUUGAAGUUUGGAAUCCAAAAGCACCAUGCAACCACCACAAGAACCACACUGUCUGUCCUCCCCAUCAGCCGUGCAUGUUCUUUUCUACCUGGAGCCAUGGUGCGCCUGGGCUGUUGCUGUCAAUUGUGGUGGAAAAGGCAAAAUCAUUCCUACAGCUUGGAGAGUACGACACAAGUCGCGAGCAUUGGAAGAUGCUUAAGAAAAAAUUCUUCAAGAAGACACAUAGGAUUUCCAGCCCGGUCCAGCCUAGAAGAGUUUGACCCGCCCAUCAGUCUGUUCAGGCCUAUUAACUUCAGGUCCAAUUAGAAUGUGGGUCGUCCAUUCUCUCUCCUCUCAUAAAAAGACUCGUUCUGUCCUGCGUAACCCAUGGGCCGGCCCAGCUUCCUGUCGCGCUCGUGCCCAGAGCUCGCAGACGGAGGACGGGGAGCCACCAGUGUGGCACUCCGAGGGGCGACCGCGGCGGCGGGGGCACUGAGCAGUGAGCACAGCACAACCCAAUGCUAGCGCAUCGGAGAAGGGCGCGGAUGCCUCGACGAUCUCCGAAGGGUCCCACUGUAAUCUCGUCCGCCAUGUCCGACGGCCUCCUGCAGCCGCGUGCGUUCAAGCAGGUGAGAUCCCACAACUAAGGUUCGUGGCCACGGUCGGAUUCCCGGCCUGAAAGAAACUUAUCAGCCACCUCGUUCUGUUCAUGCUUCUUUGUGCUCUCCAAAUUAAAGUUUCCCCAAUUUUGAUGUAAAUUUCGGUCACGCGCAUGUGGUGUGGCAGUCACCGGAGUGUUGGCAAUACACAUAAAAUCGACAAAUACAUAGACAUCGUAGAGUCUUGGCACUAUGCAUAACUAAUAUCUUACGAAUUUCCCUGUAUGGUCUAACAAGUGCCCUGAAAGGUUGUAACAAGUCUAAGAUGGUGUAGCUUAGUCUCCACUUACCGUCCAUAUCGACCGAGUCUGAGGAGGACGUUACUUCUUCCAGAUGCUGACAAACAACUGCAGAGCACUCCGUCCAUCCUUCUUACUCGCAUUGAGCCCCUUCUCUCCUUCUCGAGACCAAUUCCAAGAGGCAAAACUUUUGGAAACUUUGGAGCAAUGGCAUGGUGCUUAAGUGUAUUAUUGUCAUGCGGUGCAGAACCUGAUUCCUUUCACCCAUUAUUAUUGUCAUGCGGUUGAUUCUGAAAACUUUAUUUUGCUCAGGUUCUAUUUCCAUGUUGCAGAGCCUCCAUGCCUGGUCGAGGCACUUUGUCCUCAACAUCAACUAAAGGUGUGUUUGGAUGGAGGGACGUGACGGAAUGGGAUCAUCCCACUUUUACAUAUGUUUGGUUGGAGGUUAGGUGGGACGAGGACGGCAUCAAAGUAAAAUAUUCUUCGAAAAAGAGGGAUGAAACAGUUCCUCCAAAUCGGUCGGACCAAUCCGUCCCACUUCGAUGACACAAACACCGUGACGAGCAAGACGACACAAACGCCGUGACGACACAAACGCCGUGACGAGCGAGCGCCUCGAGCGCAAGCGCACGUCCAACUCCAGCGCAGCGCCACGAGAAAAGCCAGGCGGCAGGGGCACGUAGCUCGGGCGGUAGAGGAAUGGAGCUGGGUGGUGGGGAGGGUGGAGCCCGGUGGCGCAGGGGACCGCCAGGAGGAGACGGGGAUCGACCUCCUGGGUUCCAGUUCCACCCCACCAACGAGGAGCUGGUGGUGCAGUACCUCCGUCGGAAGGCCCUGUCCCGCCUGCUGCCCGCUGCCAUCAUCCCCGUCAACCACGACCAUGCCAGGCUGGAUCCAUGGGACCUCCCUGGUGCGUCCGCACGCUCUCUUUCAGAUUAAUGGGAAGGAAGGCUGAGACAGAGUGUUCUGAUGUUCCUUGAUUGAUUGGUGUGUGUACAGGAGCGAGCGAAGGGGAGGGGUACUUCUUCAGCGCGCCUUCGUCGAGCAGCGGCCGCUGGAGGAGAGCUAGCAGCGGGUACUGGAAGGCCACGGGGAAGGAGAAGCCUGUGUUCCUGCAGUGCGGCGGCAAGCGGCAGCUGCUCGUGAGCGUCAAGACGGCGCUCGCCUUCCAUCGCAGCGAGCCGUCAUCGUCACAGGGGACCGCCGGUAGGAGACGGGAGGGCGAAGCCUGGCGGCGCGGGGUGGUGUGGGCCUCGGCUGCGGUGGCGCGGGUGAUUGCGCCGCGACACGCCGAGAAGGGGAUGAGGCUCUGAGGCUAAUAGUGAGCUCCGCGGCUAACGGAAUACAAACACCGUUUAUUUCAUCGGUCCUCAUCCCUCAAACCAAACAACGAAAUUAGGAUGUUCCCAUCUUUCCAACCAAACAUUAAGUGGGAUCAUCUCAUCCUAAAAAAGAGGAUGAUCCUAUCUCAUCCCACCUGUCCCUCCAUCCAAAUACACCCUAACUGCGCCGGUCGAUGUGAUUGCGACUGCUUGUUCUUACCGGACUGGUUAUAUGAAGCUGGCAUCAGAAGUAACCAGGUUCUGAUCCUCCCUGUGUUGAGUUCCAGCUAAUAUCACUCUAGGAUCAGUGCAAUGAAUGGUUUCUGUGAAAUCCAUCUUCAUCUCCUUUCGUUCCAAAAAACUAUCCUGUUAUCUAAGGAAGCUCCCAACUGCAAUCCACUCCUCCGUAUUUUUUGGGUCCCGGAAGAUAGAACUCUUUUUCAGUGUACAUUCUAUUUUCGGUAUAAUUAACAUACAUUAUGAAAAUCUAAGAAUGAGGCCCCCUCCCCCCGAGAGAGGCGACGCCCAUGGUGACACCCCGCCCGUACACCAACCUCGUCCCAGACCCCCCACCCCAGUAACCUCCACCAACCAACCGGCCCCAGAUCCGAGCGCAUCUGUAGAAGACCUCCAAGCUCGUACUAGCCGUGUCGUGAGGGAGCAAGAGAAGGAGGAGAUCGAGUUCACUCAGAAGAAGGUCCAAGAUCCAGAUCCCAUCGGUGAGGUCGCAGUACAGGAGCAGUUAUCGCCGGAAGAUCGACAGUCUGGCCAAGCUAUGCAUACCCAGAGGCUAGAGGCAGCGACGGAGGCCAGCAUCCUCCCGGAUCUCGUCCAAGAUUUGCGAGCACAAGCUAGCCUUAAGUCGACGCGGCUGGAAACAGGCAUUGAAUGCGACGAGGCAAAUCACACGCCAAGCACAAGCAUGCCAGUGAGGCUGGCGAGGGGCUCGACGAGGAAGAAGAAGACCGGUGGUUCGCGCCCUCCUCCAACGGCUUGUCAAGCAAGAGAAUCCACAAAAUCUGCCGCACAGCAGAGUUUUUGAGCCUGUAAAGCAGAAGCUCACCAGCGCAGUGAAAGGAAAAGGAGCAGGGACAGAACGGCAACCAUGCCAGCCAUCAAAUCUGCAUCAGAGAAGGGAGCAGAGCAUUUCAACAAGCAGCUGGCAAAAGCAGCGGGGUCAAUGCUUGAGAGAAGGGGAGGUGGGUAACCUUCAAUUCCCCUCUCCUCCAUUCAGGUCCAGCUCAAGGAAUAGACAGCAAUGACAUCAGCAACAAGAUCCGACCAUGGACAAAUCUUCAAGGACACAACACACUGCACUGCAGUCAGAGACCUGGAUUGAUGAACACGGCUUCCAAGUGGUAAAACCAGCAUAUUGGUGGCGAAGGACUGGAGACCAUUCAAGAGAAGAUUCAAGGCUUCACCAACCGGACAUGGAAGAGCAUAGGAGGAAGAGGUACAGGGAACAUGUCAGGGGAAAAUGUCUCAAUUGUUUCUCCACAGAACACAAAGCAGCUGAAUGCAAGCAACGCACUAAAUGCUGAAGAUGUCUGCAGACGGGGCACAAGGCCCUCGCCUGCCCAACCUGGAGAGACCAUGUUAAAAGGCCACCACCGGAGACUUAUUCUCAUUCUUGUCAAACCAAGACCAUCCCCACCACCACAUCUUUCCCCCCACUCCUGCUGGCCGGACCGUCUGCACGGCCGGCCGUUUCUACCUUCGGGCAGCAAAGGGCGAGGCAGCUCCCAUGGCGACAUACCCGGGUGACCCGCGUGCCCGCCCAGAAUACGCGGUCUGUGCGCUCUCAGCGACUGGGCACAUCAAGCGCAAGCAGGAGUCCAUGAUCGGCAAGACAGCAGUCUGUUGGCUCAACGGCAACAGCCACGACAUGGAGAUAUGCCACGUCGCUGAUGCCCUUGAAGAACAGCUCCUCAUCAGCCGCCAUGAAGUGCGCGUCGUCAAGCACUUCCCCGAGCAAUAUCUGGUGUUCUUCACCGACUGCCGAGCAUACCAUCGCGCUAUCGACCAGUGGGGCGUCCACAAAUGAGGAAGAGUCUUCAACUUCGAGCCAUGGACAGAGCGUUGGAACGUCGUGGAGAGCAAGCUAGAGUUCCGGGUCAGGCUGCGCAUUGAGGGAGUGGCGCUGCUGCAUGCCUGGUCCGAGGAGGUGGCGGCCCAAGUCAUUGGCCAAUACUGCGCCAUCCACUACGUUGAGGAACACGCACGCCAGUAGGAGUGCACACGAACCUACGAUCUGUGGGCGUGGUGCUCCAACCCCCAAGAUCCCUAAGAAGUUGCUGCUCACCAUCACCGACCCUGACAGGGAGCAGCCGGCAAUCGACAUCCCGCGGCAGCUCGUCAACCCCAACCACGACACACCUGAUGACAUCAAGGGCGCGUACAACUACAAGCUGCACAUCCACCUCGACGUGGUCGAGGACCUCUCCUUCCUCAGAGGGAGGGACGGAGGGGACGGAUAGCACAACAGGAGGCCAUGCCGUGAGUUCCUCUGAAACUACGGGGCACCGGACUCCCAGGGGGAACGGCGCAGUGACCAGUACCAUGAUAACUUUGCAAGCCGCGACUACCACCCACGCCGUGACAGAGACGACCAUGACGACCAGCACCAUCGAGGCACAAGGCGCCACCGUAGUGCCUCUUCCUGGGGGCGAGUGACGCGCUGCCGCGGAGCCAUGGAGGACUGCUACAGCUCCACACACCGCAACGGCAACUAGGUACACUCGGGUCGCCACAACAGAGUCCAGAACAACACAGCUGGCCAGGACAACAAAAGCCAUUCUCUGAUGGCUUGGCGCAAGAAGAGCACAGGAGGCAAGAAGGUCUCCUUUGCAAAUCCUCUGGUGCAGAUCAUGGGUGAGUUUGAGUUUGACCCUAGUUGCUAUCAUUUCCCAGCGCCUUCGAAUUCUGACUUGGUGGGUGAGUGGUUUGACCCCAUGAGGGAAGAGAUGCUCAUCCCUAAUAUUUUUGUAGGCGACCCAGGCAAGGAGGAUCGUAUCCUGAACAUGCUGCACUCGGCAGUGGGAUGGACCCCGGUUGCUUCACCAAGGAGUGCUCCGGAGGAAGGCGAGCUGCCGGAGCCAGUGACCGAGCUGCAGGAACCAGAAGGGCACAACAUGCAUUCGCCAAUCACCAACAAGCAGUCACAGGUCUGUCUGGUUUCUACUCCUCUAGAUGCAUCAGUGAGGCACACACAACAAGCUCAAAUUUCAGAAACUGUCAACACGGAAAACACUAGCUCAUCGCCUUUUGCACAGUACACCAACAGAGUAGAGCCCCCUAAUGUCAACAGAGAAGAGGUGAACGGUAGCAACAUCAUUAGUGAAAAUAACAACAACAUAGCAGCACCGCACAACACCGUAGCUACUUCAGUUAUAUGCAAUGAUCAAGAUAUGGUAGCCACUUCUGUUGAAAAUGGGGAGGGUAACAUAGAGGUCGGUGAGGGUCCUAAAUUUGACGACCUUUCAGCUUUCAUUGAUUUCAUAGCCUGCAAGCCAAAUGCGCAUAUUGUUUGCACUCCACCCAGAGCAAACCCCAUCACAUCAGGCAACGAAAAUCAGGGCCAAAACACAGCACAAAGAAAAAGCUCUAGGCUAGCGGAUAAAGCUAAGCUAAACCCGGGCAAGGACAGCACCCAACUUGCCCAAAAAGUCCUUAGUAAUAAGCUUGGGGAGCUGUCUCCAAAGUCGAAAGUUAAUUCUAAUGCUGAGGUUGAUCAUUUGGUGCAGCACCUUCCAAAGCCACUGACGGACCUGAAGAUGAUGGCCAUCAAAACCUUGGUGGAGCAGGGAAACCAGGCCAAGCACAAGAACAUGAAGAGGAGCAAGAUCACUCCAUCAGCAAUUGGAGAGAUGGAGGCCCAAGUGGCCUGAGGGAUAACCAUCCAGGGAGGAAGCGUUUCAGUGGUUUUUACUUCCCUAAUGUUAGGCAUAAAAUAAUUGAACUUAAACUUAGUCGAAUCUGUAUCUUUAAAUGGGCCAACAAUUAGGCCCUGCGACUUCAGCGGUGCUUUGUAUCGGGCAGAAUGCCCAGCAUCGACGUCCACGAAGCUCGCCAAGCUCUCCUCGAGGCAAUGCUUUAGUGAAAAAACAAGUCUCCUGGGACUUCUCAGCUUUGUAUCAGGACCAUGCGCCAAGCAAUGUUGUCCGCAGGUUGACGCUUUCCAUGAGUCUACUAUUAGUUGUGCACCUCUGAUCCAUGUCACAAAAGGAUUGUAAUGUGUUGUGUUGGAAUGUUCGUGGGCUUAAUGUGGCAGCUAGGAGAGCAAGUGUACGAAGCACGAUUCGUUCAUCCGGAGCAACGAUAGUAUGUCUGCAAGAGACCAAAAUAGCACACUGGACAUCUAAACUCGUGGCAGACACCCUGGGCAAUAAUUUUGCAAAGAACUUUGCUGUGUUACCAGCCCUUGGCACAAGAGGAGGCAUCCUUAUAGCGACAACGGUGAACCAUUUUGAUAUGCACAACAUCCACACCAUCGAUCACACAGUAUCCACAACAAUCACUAUGAAAGUAGACAAAAAAAUCUUGGACACUCACUUGCGUCUAUGGCCCUCAGGAUGAACACGACAAGCUACUAUUUCUAGAGGAACUGAAGAGCCUAAAAGAACAAGUUCUCACGGAAUGGCUCAUAGUUUGUGACUUUAACCUUAUAUAUAAGGCAGAGGACAAAAGUAACAAUAGGCUCAACAGAAACUUGAUGAAUCGUUUCAAGCAGGCAAUUGACAAGAACCAACUGAUGGAAAUCGACCUCCACGGAUGGUGUUUCACCUGGAGCAACGAACAAGAUCACCCAACAUUCACAAGGAUAGACAGGUUCUUCGGUACACCAGAAUGGCAUCUUCUCUUCCCAAACCUUGACUUGCAAGCCUUGCCAACCAUGGGCUCAGAUCACUGCCCAUUAUUUUUAACAGGUGACGUAGAGAGACAGAACUAUAUGGGCUUUCACUUUGAAUCUUAUUGGGUGAACAUGCCAGGUUUCUUAGAGACUAUACAAGAAGUCUGGAGCCAGCCAGUGCAUACUCAAGAUGCCAUACUGCGUAUGCAUGUCAAACUCAUUCGCACAGCAAAGGCACUUAAAUUGUGGAAGAGAAAAAACCUUGGCAAUCUAGCCCUUAGACUGGCAAUAGCCAAUGAGGUGCUAUGCUUCUUGGAUGCAGCUCAGGAACAAAGAGCCCUUACAACAGAGGAAUUAGAAUUUCAACGAUACCUAAAAGCGAAGUCGGUGGGCUUAGCAACGGUUCAGAGAGCCCGUGCAAGACAACACUCCCGGCUCACAUGGAUGCGAAAAGGAGACGCAUGCACACGCCUGUUUAUGCUGCAUGCUAACAACACAAGAAGAAAUCUACACAUCCCGUCCUUAACCACCGUAAAUGGAACAACAAUCAACAACCACCAGCAAAAAGAGGAAAUAAUAUACGAUCACUUCGUAAACCUGUUGGGCAAAACACAAGAGAGAUCCCUCAGCCUAAACUGGACAAAUCUCGGAUGUCAUCCACAUGACUUGACCGACCUGGAAGCACCAUUUGAGGCAGAAGAAAUAAAAAAGGUCGUCAUGCACUUACCAGCAUAAAAAUCACCUAGCCCGGAUGGAUUUAUUGGUCUAUUCUAUAAGAAGUGUUGGGAUGUGAUCGGAGAGGAUCUGAUCCAAGCUCUUCAUGCCUUCCACUCCCUUAGGACCAGACGCAUGGAAUUGAUUAACGAGGCCAAUAUCAUUUUGCUGCCAAAGAAAGAAGGAGCAACCAUGGUUGCAGAUUUCCGACCCAUCACUCUCAUUAAUAGUCUAGCCAAGAUCAUAACAAAGGUGCUAGUAGAUAGGUUGGCUCCGAGACUGAAUGAGCUAGUUUCCGGAUGUCAGAACACCUUCAUCAAAAAAAGAUGCAUUCAUGACAACUUCGUCUACGUACAUAGUGUAAUCAAGGCGUUGCACAAAUCAAAGAGACCGGCACUCUUUGUAAAACUCGAUAUCUCAAAAGCAUUUCAUUCGCUUAAUUGGGUAUUUCUCAUCGAAACAUUACAGGCCCUAGGUUUUGGCCAAAAAUGAGAGAUUGGAUUACAACACUAUUAGCCACCUCAUCAUCCAAGGUGCUACUUAACGGGAGACCUAGGAAAAAAUUGAAGCAUGCUAGAGGCCUCCGUCAAGGAGACCCACUAUCACCCAUGUUGUUCAUCCUUGCCAUUGACCCACUCCAUAAAAUGGUGGAACUAGUAGCCGGCAACAACAUCAUAAGACCAAUCCUCCCCAGAGCGGCAAAGCUACGAUGCUCCCUUUAUGCAAAUGAUGCAGCUAUUUUUACAAACCCAGACAGAGAAGAACUACAACGUAUCGGACAGUUGUUACAUAUCUUUGGAGAAUGUUCAGGACUCAAGAUAAAUAUGACUAAAACGGAAAUAUUCCCUAUCCGGUGUACCAAUGAAACCAUCUUAGAAGCUCUAGAGCACUUCUCGGGAAAAAUUUCCUCCUUCCCUGGAAAAUAUUUGGGCUUGCCUCUUCACAUGCGCAAACUCCGAAGGGUGGACGUCCAACCAUUAAUUGACAAGAUCGGUGGAAGGCUUCCUGGAUGGAAAGGUAAAAUGUUAUCGUCGGCCGGGAGAGAAACACUGGUGAAGAGUGUAUUAACAUCACAACCAAUAUAUCACCUCACAGUUUUCCCUACUCAAAAAUGGCUGAUCAAACAGAUUGAUCACCUACGUCGCAGUUUCCUUUAGAAAGGAGAGGAACCAAAAAAGGUCAAUGGAGGACACUACUUGAUUAAAUGGCCAACAGUAUGCACGCCUAAGGACAUGGGAGGGCUCGGGAUUCUCAACCUCGAGAGACUUGCGAGGGCUCUAAGAAUGAGAUGGUGCUGGUUCCAGUGGAAGUAUAGUGAGAUACCUUGGGUAGGACUUGAUAUCCCGUGCGAUAAGAAUGAUAAAGACCUAUUCUAUGCGUCAACAGUAGUAAUGGUGGGCAAUGGAAAGAAAGCAAACUACUGGAUAGCGCAGGUUUACCCACUCAUGACAGGAGAGGAAAUCAGAGAGUAUGUGCAGCUAUUUGAGGAAAUAAACAUGCUACAACGUGACACUAAUGCGGAGGAUGAAAUAUCAUGGAGGUGGACGCAGGACGGGGAGUAUACCACAAAGAGUGUAUACCGUAUACAAUUCCAAGGCCAACUGAAGAAGUUGAGUAUCACCUCAAUAUGGAAAGCUAGAACUGAACCAAAAUGCCGGAUCUUUGCCUGGCUUCUCCUGCAUAGGAAAAUCUUAAUAGCAGACAACUUGGAAAAGCUGGGGUGGCCUAAUGACCCUCAGUGCAAGCUAUGCAAUUCGGACCUGGAGACACCCACACACCUGUGCAAAGACUGCCCUUACACAACGGCAGUCUGUGACCGGCUGCAGGGAUGGUUUUCUCUUAACCACUUACCCCCAGGCAACACAUCGCUUUCGAUCCACAAGUGGUGGAAGAAAUGUAGGAGCAUGAUCGACAAAAGGAACAAAACUUUCUUUGACGGCCUCAUCAUAUAUUUCUAGUGGAACAUUUGGAAAGAGCGCAACAGACGAAUCUUUAAUCACGAAACCAAACUGGUGGAAGACGUCGCGUUCUCUAUCAAAGAAGACAUCCAACAGUUCCAGUUCGCCAAUAAAACGCAUGAAGCUCCCGCGGUUGAGCCAACCUAGCAGCAUUUUUCAUCUUUUAAAGUGGGGUUUUGAAGUGGAGCUCGUAGUUGUUGUUGUUUUUUCCUUUCUCCCUAGGGAGUGCUAUUUAGUUGGUGCAGUGAGAGCCAUGUACAUAGAGUUAUUUUUUGUUUUAUUUUCUUGUCUUGUUUGGUUUUACCUCUUCUAAUAAAAAUUCGGCAAAGCUUUUGCCGUCCGUUAAAGAAAACAUACAUUAUGAUAAUUUUAUAAAUUUUAAUGGAGACGGGGAUGCAUAUGAUAUACUCCCUCCAUCUAUAUUUAUAAGGCGUGGAAGGACUUAGCACGGUCUUCCAAAUAACACUUUGACCCUUUAUUUAUCUUAUAUUAUAGUAUUUAUAGUUAUAAACUUAUAAUCAUCGUAGAGUAUAUUUGAUUACGAAUCCAACUAUAUAAAUUUUGAAUUAUAAAAAUAAAAAAAUAAUAGUUAAAUUAUUGGUCAAAAAUUGUAAAGUUUAAAUCUUGAUAUGCGUGUGCGCCUUAUAAAUAAAAACGGAUGGAGCAUAUCCCCCAAAUGUUUCUAUAUAUUGUGGAACUCAACUUAACUGAAGGAUAUAAAGACAAGAUUUUCAUAGGAAAUCGAACCAUUUUAAGAGGCGGUUCACACGAGGGAUCUCCUAGGAUAAUGCUAUUUGUGCACAACCAUACCCUUACAUGAACCGUCUCUGGAACCAGAAAUCAUUCCGUUUUCACUUACGGCAGACACGAGUGUAAUGGAGCCGUACAGGUGCAGGAGGGCGAUCCCCAUCUAGACUUUAAUUUGGCCAUGUGGAAGUAGGACACACUAUCUCUAGCACCAGCACCAUGUGUAGUUGGUCCCCCGUGUAUGCAUCAAUGCUGCACCUAUCGACUGUGACCUGGCACCUAACCGGACAGUUGGUUACGGUAGCCAUUCUUGUGAUUUCACAACUCAAAGGCAUCGUUUAUCCUCCCUCUCCCUGCUGCUGCUCAUCCUCCCUUCACUGAACUACUUGUUGCAAUCAGAAGAAAGAUCAAUCGAGUUGAAGAGACAGAUCGGAAGCUAGUCAACGUUGAUUGGUUCGUGAGUGAUGUUAUGAUCCGUCCCUCUGUUAUAACCAUCCAACCCAGCUGGUGCAGAAGCUAAUUACCUGAAGCAAUAUAUUUGUAGAAACGAAUAGUAAUAUAUUUAUAGAAACGAAUAGUACUGGUUAGUUCACUUAUUUCUUUGCUCAAACUUAGCCGUUUGGCAAGGCUUCGUCUUGGGUUAAAAUGACUCCGGAGCUUCGGCUCAUCAAGCAACUUUUUAUAUCUCUAGCUCAUCCUAUUAAAAAAUAUUUGGUAAAAUGAUUUCUCCAAAUUAGUUUGAGGUUGAUAGAAAGAUAAAAUGUCCAAAAUACUCUAAGAACAUAUAUUUUUCAUUCCAUUUUUUUCUUUUCCAUCAUUCUUUUAUUCCAUCUACUAUUUUUUCCUUACGCUUUUUUUUUUGGCCAGGUGUGCCUUAUCCGCUUCGGCCCUUCCCACCAUGCCUUUUUUCCUAUUUCUUUUCUUGCCGAGCGUGCUUUAUCUCCUUCGUUGACUUCAGUAGCACCUGUUGCGUUCGAUGCUCGCGCGGCAGCCCGGGGACCUCGACCUCGCCCGCCUAGGAGCUCCAGCAGCCGGUCCGCUCCGCCGCCGGUGCGGCAACCACGCCGUCGUCAGACCGCCUCACGCGGCCACCGGUCGUCCCCGCGAUACACCGCCGCCGGUGCGCCGUGCGCGGCGGCGCUGUCCCGCCGCUCCGCCGCCUACCGUCGGCCUGCGCCACCACCAGCGCACCGGCAGCACCGCGAGCUGCCGCGCCGCCCCGACAUUGGUCCUUCCCGAGCCCGGUGUCGUCACCAGCGUCGCGGAGAGAAGGUAAGGGGAGUGGCAAUUUUGCAGUAGUUUUGACGAACUUGAGGAGCAAAGUUAAAGCACAUGGCUGUGGGGAAGAGGAGAAGCGGGGAAAGCUACUUUUUAUGACUCACGCUGCUCAGUUCGAUUUGAUGAUUGGCUUCACACCGGCUUUUCCUGUGAAGCCCUUUUCAACUCACCCGUUUGGUAGGGUUUGGCCUGAAGCCGGUUCAUAAGCGGGAGCCAGAGCCCUACCAAAACUAUUUGGUGAGACUAUGAGCCGUUUGGUUCUCUGACUUAUUUUUAGCACAUGUCACAUUGAAUGUUUAGAUACUAAUUAGGAGUAUUUAACGUAGACUAUUUACAAAACCAUUACACAGCUGGAGGCUAAAUGGCGAGACGAAUCUAUUAAGCCUAAUUAGUCCAUAAUUUGACAAUGUGAUGCUACAUUAAAUAUUUGCUAAUGAUGGAUUAAUUAGGCUUACUAGAUUCAUCUCGUCGUUUAGCCUCUAUCUGUGCAAUUAGUUUUAUAAUUAACUCAUAUUUAGUCCUCCUAAUUAGCCUCCAAAUAUUCGAUGUGACACGGACUAAACUUUAGCUCAAGGAACCAAACCUCGCAUAAAUUAGCUGCUUAUUCUGCUGGUUGCAUGCAGGAGAUCGAGCUGCGGGCACACGGCCGGAUCGGAGGAGGACAUAUCAGCCGGGUUCCUGUUGGUUGUGUACUUGUGUUCCUGCCAGCGGAGAAGCAACCAUGGCCGAGUUAGUGAUCGGGCCACUGAUCUCCAUGGUGAAGGAGAAGGCAUCCAGCUACCUGCUGGACCAAUACAAGGUGAUGGAAGGCAUGGAGGAGCAGCGCAAGACCCUGGAGCGCAUGCUGCCAGCAAUCCUGCAAAUCAUCCAGGAUGCGGAGGAGAAAGGAGCCUCCCGACGAGGAGUAGCAGCUUGGCUCAAACACCUCAAGACAGCAGCCUAUGAGGCCAACGACGUCUUUGAUGAGUUCAAGUACGAGGCGCUUCGGCGAGAAGCCAAGAAGAAGGGCCACCACAGCAAGCUUGGAGUGGAGGUAGCAAGACUCCUAGUCCCCACUCGUAAUCCCAUUGUAUUCCGUUACAGGAUGGGCAAGAAGCUACGCAAGAUUGUGCAGACCAUCGAGGCCUUGGUCACCGAGAUGAAUACAUUUGGUUUCAGGCACUUGCAGCAAGCAAAGCCAUCAAGGCAGUGGCGACAGACAGAUUCCAUAAUCAUUGACUCCGACAGAGAUAUUCUUAGCAGAUCUAGAGAUCGGGAGAAGAAGAAAAUCGUGGGGAUGCUCCUUGAUCAAGCUAGCAACAUGGAUCUCAUGGUUCUUCCAAUUGUUGGGAUGGGUGGGAUGGGCAAGACCACCUUUGUGCAACUCAUUUACAAUGACCCUGCAAUCGAGAAGCACUUUGAGUUUCGGAGGUGGUGCUGCGUAUCAGAUGAUUUCGAUGCAAGUACCAUUGCAAGCAACAUCUGCCAGACCAACGAGAAAGGACGUGAAAAAUCAUUGCAGGAGCUCCAGAGUAUAAUAAUUGGAAAAAGGUACCUCAUUGCGCUAGCUGAUGUAUGGAAUCGGGAUGCUGCUAAGUGGGGAAAACUAAAGACCUGCCUUAAGCAAGGUGGCAAGGGCAGUGCAGUACUAACAACAACUUGUGAUGCAGAAGUGGCUUGCAUUAUGACCAUGGGUGUAGCUGAAGCCCAUAAUAUCGAGAAUCUGAGUGACAAGCAUUUAAAGGAAAUUGUCCAAAGCAGAGCAUUCAGCUUGCAAAAUCCAAAUAUUGAAGAGCAAGAUGGCAUUCUCAGUGGAUUUGUUCGUCGAUGCGUUGGAUCUCCCUUGGCUGCCAAAGCCUUUGGCUCUAUGUUGAGUAACAGGACUAGUAUAAAUGAAUGGAAGGAUGUAUUAGCUAAAAGUAACAUUUACCGAUCCUCAAGCUCAGCUUUGAUGACCUAUCCUCAGAUAUGAAGCAAUGCUUUGCAUUUUGUGCUUUAUUUCCUAAAGAUUAUGAGAUCGAUGUGGACCUCUUGAUUCAACUGUGGAUGGCACAUGACUUCAUACCUGUGCAGGAGGAUGACAAUCCAGAAACCGUAGGAAAAUAUAUUUUCGAGGAGCUAACUCAGAGGUCAUUCUUUCAAGAGGUCAGGCAAACACAUCCAAAGUGCUAUUAUGGAAGUCUUCGUAAGUCAACCAUAUGCAAGAUACAUGAU